UAGUUGUAGUUAUUUAAUAAAACAAUAGAAGUAAAAAUAUUAGAAAAUAAUGAGGAUUAUUAUUAUUAUUAAAAUAAAAUUAGAGUGAAAAAAAUGGUAUUUUGGUAAAUAGGGGAAUAAAUUAGGGCAUUGUGGGAAUCACUAAUUGAGAAGGAUUAAGUUUCUCAUAAAAACGAGUUAGUAGAGAGUUUUUGGGGUUAGUACGUAAAAACUGAAUUUGGAAAAGAAGAGGCUCGGAGAACAAGGGCUUAGGAGAACCUCCAUUGUUAGAGCUUGAAGGUGCUUUUGCUGGAAAUCCAAGGUAAAUGGGGAUUACUUCAAAUAUGGUGUUGCAUGCAUAAUUGGAUACGGGAGGUCCUUAAUCCCAUUAGAUUUUCCCCUAAUUUUUCCCUUUUGAUGAAUAAUUGAUGAAUAUGAACUGAUUUAGGUGGUAGCAUGAAUUAUGUGUUGUAUUAUAUGAAUUCCUUGUAUUGAUUUACCAUGGAGAUUGCGUGUUCUUGUUAGUGAAAAUGGUAUGAGUGGGUGUUUAUAUGGGUGUUAUGAUUUUGAUUAACAAAACAUAUGGAAACCAUGAUUAAUCAAAGAAAUUUCAUGUUAAUUGAUGGAUAGAUGAUGUACUAAUGUUAAAUAUUGUUUUCCUUAAUGUUGUUGAUUGAUUUGAAGGUUAGGAAGGGAAAAUCAGAGUUUUUAAUUGAACUUCGUGGGUGACAAGUGUCACCCUCAUGAGGACCAGGUCGUCACGGUCUUUGAGGCGUUGACGGGUAGAUCAUCAUGGUCCCUAGGCCCUGUUUUGUGGGGCGCGGGUCAUAUGAAUGACGAGCGAGGUGGUGUGAGCGGCUAAAGGGAAUCACUCUGGUGACGGGUAACCCAUCAUGCUUCCAAAAUGAAUGUUGUUUGCUCAGUUGCAUGUAAUCGAGUGUCAAUUUAGAUUUUUGAGGUUGUGUUGUGAUUAUGCUAUUGUUUGCCCACUAUUUAGAGGUAUUUUGGUGUUGUUUACUAUUUAUUGUAGAAUUAAGCAAAUAUUAUGUAUUGAGGAUGAUGUUGUGUGUAAUUGUUGUGAUUAUAUGGUUAUAAUUUUGGUGACAUUGAAAGUUGUUGAAAAUCAUGCAUCAUGGUAUAACUUCGGUCUAAUUUUUGUAUACUCUGGCCCGAUGGUAGGGAUUCAGGAGUGAGUAGCUAGUUCCAGAUGAGAAUCGGUGAAGCAUUACUAAAGGUGUUAGUAGCGAAUUGGUGUGCUCUGUUUCUACGGAGGGAAUUCAGGAGCGAGAUGGACCUGUGUUAUCCAUAAUGGUAUUGCAUGCAUGUAGAGUCGUGGUGUUGAGUACAUUACAUCCAUUGUUUGGAUUUUUAAUUUAAUGAUUAUGUUGAUAUGGGUGAUUGAGAUUACUUAUGUGGUUAAUGAGAAUGAAUUAUGUUGAAAUCAUGUGAAUAAGAUAUGUGAUUGUGGAUGUUUUCUUAGACUUCCCUUGCAUACUUUUGCACCAUUAUAUAUUUCUGGCGUAUUCUCACCCCUUUGUUAUUUGUGUGAUUCUGUGCUUCUUCUUGGAGUACAGACCAUUAGGUAAAUGAGUAGCUGCUUAGAAUAUGAAGGAUGGUGCUAAGGUUAUUCUUUUUUCCCGUUUUAUGCGAUAUUUAGACUUUGUUGCUCUUAUAUGUAACACUGGGCGGGCAAAGUUGUGUUUUAUUAUUUGUGAUUAUUGAUGGUGUUGUUGAUGUUGAAGGCAUUAUUCCAUAAUGAAGUUUUAUGUUUGAAAAGAAAUUGUUAUGAUACUUAAUUAUUUGUUGAGUUACUUUAUUUGAUUUAUUUUCUGUUGUGAUUAACCUAUGUAAAGGCGAGCAUAUGAUGAUAGAUGUUUGAAUUAUUUCAUGUUUUAUUUAACCCAUAUUAUAGAGCAAGUUUAUGUUGUGUUUGCAUGACACUCUAUGUGUAUAGUUGUUUUAAGUUCAUAUUAUUUUUGCGUUGGGGUUGUUUGGGUGUUACAUAGUGGUAUUAGAGCAAGUCGGUCCAUCCAACCAGGUUUUUGUAAUGUUGUAUAUUCCCUAGUAUGCAAUGAGUGUAUGAAUAUUAUCAAUGCAUUGUUUCUUUUAAUGUCUGUUUAUUGGUGUGAAGAAUGGUUGGAAGAAACUACCGAGCGAUUGUUGGUGCUUUGGAGGCGAUGACUCAGGCACUGCAAGAUCAGGAGAAUCAGGCUGGUGAUGAGUUCCACAUAUUGGGGAAGUUUCAGAGAAACAAUCUUUCAACUUUCAAGGGAAGAUAUGAUCUGGAGGGUGCGCAAACAUGGCUCAGAGAGAUUGAGAAGAUAUGGUUCUCGAAAGCAUCAAUGCAUAGACCUAGCAAUGCAAGUUUCAAGUGAACAUUCAACAAUACAUUCACUUAGCAGAAUUAUGCCAACAGAUGGUAACAUGAAAUCAUUUGCACAGGAUGAUAUUGCAUCCAAUUGACAAUAGAAAUUAAUACCAUAGUUAUUUCAUAGCAGCCUUUGAAUUCCAAAAGUUGCAGUUAAUAGUCUGCAGGUUUGAACCAAGCCAGGCCUGCAACAGAAAUGGAAAGCUAAUUGAAUUGUGUUGUUUUCUAACUGCCAUUGUACCUAACUAACAACCAUGUCUAACAGAUUCUCGUUCAGAAAAAUGAUGAAACUAAAUCUAACCAGUUCAACAACAGGUUUUACAUUGCAAUUGCCUUCUAACAAAACAUGCACUAGCAAAACUAACAAAAUAUGCAUUUGGAAAUUCCGCAAACUAACAAAACCUGCAGUUCAAAAGCAUACCUGCACUAGUAAGUCAUCAUUUUGAUCCAUAGAAACCUUCAUUCAUCUGGCAACCUGCAAUUGGCAGUGGUAACAAUUACUAACCUUUGCAUUACAAAACCUAACCAACUAACUAACGGUUCUAAUCAAGUCUAACAGCUUCAACUGAUUCCAACAUAAAUCACGUUGCCCUAGAACUAACAGUGUGAGUCAUAUCUAACUAAUUUUGCUUUAAUCCAAGUUAAUAAAGUUAACUCUGUUAACUCUCUCAUCAUCUAUAAAUCACCAUUCACUCUUCAACUUGAGGGCACUCUUUCAUUUUCCCAGAAAAUCGAUUUCAGAUUUCUCAAAUUCUCUCAAUCAUAAAUCCUCGCAAUCACUCAUUCACUGCACAUUAAUUGAACCACUAAUCCUCUCAAUUCUCACAUGAAUACCACCAUAGAAGUAAGAGGAAGAAGAAGUGAAGCAGAAGAAAGAAGGGAAGAAGGAGUUCAGAUUGAAGAUCAUACCUGCAAUUAUCUCUUGCUACCUCUGCGAAUUGCUCUGAGCUCGAAAUACUCUUCUCUCCGGCAGGCAAGUAUCACUCUUCAUCUUUAAUCAUCACUCUGGUUACCAGCAUGUAAGGGAGAGGCCGAGGAAUCAAAUCCCUAACCCUAGGGACUUUGGUUUCUCCAAUUUGAGAUUUAAUUUUUGAUUUUGUUGUAAGUAUCACUCUUCAUCUUUAAUCAUCACUCUGGUUACCAGCAUGUAAGGGAGAGGCCGAGGAAUCAAAUCCCUAACCCUAGGGACUUUGGUUUCUCCAAUUUGAGAUUUAAUUUUUGAUUUUGUUGUUAGGGUUCGUAUGGGAUUUCAACUUGAUUUAGGAGUUUUAGUUUGAAAUAGGUGAAAUUGAUGUGGGAUUAUGUUAGAUCUCGUGGAGUGGAUUUAAAUGGCAUAAGUUUUUUUUUGUGUUUGAUGCUCCGCCGACGUCGGUGGUGAGCUCAGGUGUGGCGAAGACUUUCUUUGAACAGGUUGAGAUGAUGAAUGCACUGAAUGCUUGUGAAACACAUGAUAUUUGCUUGAGUUUGAUCCCCGAGACUCUCAUAGGUGCAAUGGGAUAAAUGUUUCCCAUAAGCCCAAUGUUUUUCUUUUGACACCAUAGAAGUUUCCUACAUCCCCUCUGUUCAAAGGUAAAAGACCUGUGGGCGUACUGAAUGGGCCUUGCGCCCCAAAUCUUUUUGCAUUCUGUAUUUGGCAGCAAACCUUCCGGUUUCCAUUUUCUUUUAUUUUGUUGUUUUUACUUUUUUUUAAAUCAUAUUUUAGCAUGUGUUUUUUUGAUGAAACUAGUAAAGAAUCCGUACGUUCGCAUGGGUCGCGCAAGUGCAAUAAUUUAUUUAAAAAAAAUUAAAAUAUAAUAUAUUUUUUGUUUAUAUCUAUAUAUAUACUAUAUAGUAUAUAUAUAUAUAUAUAUAUAUAUAUAUAAUAUAAUAAUAUAUAAUAUAAUAUAUAUAUAUAUAUAUAAUUAUAUAUAUAGUUGGAUCAACGUACACAAAUUUAUAUGCAUAAGAUUUUUUUUAAUGUAAUGGAUGUUAAAUGAUACUCAAUGAAGCACUGCGAUCAAAGGGUUAUCAUUUCAUCAUAAAAUAAAUCUGUGUAGUGUCAGCAUAUAGCAACAGUAAUUAUAUAUAAUUAUAGAUCAUAUAUAUGUCUACCAAUAUAGUUAGAACUCACUAAUUCUAGACCCUUUAAAAACUUUCAUUGGUGCCUGUGGAAUAACCUCACAUAUUUAGCUGGAAAUAUCCAAAAGAGAUUGAAUGUGAUAAUACUAUGAGUAUUUAUAUUGGAUAUGUGUUUCCUGAUCUCUCAUGGACUUCUCAUAGUUUCUUGAUUUCUCUUAUACAUAAACAUAUCGCAAUUCGAGUUAAUGUUUAUCUGAAUUUCUAUAUACAUUGCGCACCCUUCAGCCAGUAUUAUGAUCUCGAGAUUUUUGGCACUAGAAAAUAAAAAUAUAUUUAUAUUAGUAAUGAAUGAUUAGUGCUCAAUUUUACUAAUUUGAUGUGGCUAUGAGAGUCAAGAGUAUUAACUCUCAUCUAAUAUACAUGAGUCGACAUUCUGUAAUAUCUCCAAUACUACCUACUAGAGAGUCUACUCAAGCUGUCUUAGCAGGAUGCUCAAAUAGUACAUAGAACAUAUCCUGACUCGGAUGCGAUAUUGUGUUAUAUCAAUAGUGAUCUACUGUGAUCAUUUUAUCACAGAGAGAAUUCUGAAAGUUCUUUUGCAGAUAUGAUAACAGUACAGUUCAUAUAAUGCAACAGAGUGAUAUAGAAAUACUUACAUAAGCUAGUGCAGCCUAUAUUAGUUAAAAUGAGAAUCAUUAGUAGUUUCUCUACAAGCAUAACUCGAGACAAUAUGUAUACUAAUGUUAACGUGUACAUUUCUGGCCACCGGUGCUCUGUGUAAAAAUAUCUAGCAAUCAUGAGUGCAACGACCUCGCGCUCGGCACACUUUUUAGUUGGCUUGCGGUGACCUUCGAAAGAACACUUGUGUCAGCCAUAUAAAACCAUCCAUACUUUGAGGACAACAGAAUGUUCUCGCGCUCCACUCGCCUUCUAUCUUAUAGAGUUCUUCUCUGUGUGACGUCGCGAGUCACUAUAACAACUUCUCAAAGUUUGCCUAUUACGUGCCAGAGAUUUACAAAUAACCUGACUUAUCUCAAGUUUCUUCCUCUCACAUAAUAACGACCAUUUAUAUCUAUUAGUGUAAGUUUGCCUAAUGAUUAGAAUCAUGAUAGGGACUUAAUCCGCGCAUCUCCUCAUCAGCUCAAUAUCUACUGAUUCACUUAUGUCUAUGAUUAUAGCUACAGUGAUAGACUAGCUUAUGUACACAUUUUCUGGUUGGAUAUACAUGCAACACCAUUACAAUAGAUGUCUACUCGUGAGCUGGAAUGACUGAGACACUACCAUGAUACCUCGAUAGAAAGAGGAUAAUUUUCCAGCAUUAAGGAUAGUUUACUUCACAUCUUUCGUGUUCUUCAUUAAUUGCGCAACCGAUAGAAAUAGAUAGUUGUCUUGUAAUAAGGAACUUUACAUGUAUAAGUGAACUAUAUGGCAAUAUAAAUAAAUAAAUAAAUCCAUACUUAGACAUUAAUCUUGAAUUUCAGGGUGUCUUCAUUUAUCAACAAUUUGGAACCACUCCAAUGCAUUAGACACUGUAAAUUGAUAUAAUAAAUAUAAUAUAUAUAUUAACUGAUACGUAAUUAUCUGAAGAUAUGAAUAACCAUAAAUACUCUGUAUUAAUAGUCUGACUAUGUAACACACUUGCCAUAGCUGUAAUUUACGGGCAUCUAUUGCAAGUGAGCUGAAACAGAUAGUUACAAUAGCUUCGCAUCUCGUUCUUUAGGCUCAUUGUAGUAAGCCAAAAAUUUUGAUCCAUAGAUUUUCCAUAAAUUGCAGUUAUGCAGUUACCCAUAUUUUGUAUAAAUAAACAAUAUUAUAUCGAUGGAUUUCAGUGAUGCAAAAUCAUAUAAUUUAUCAAAACAGCUAAAGCUUACUCGAUAAUACAGAGUGGUGUGCUCACUUUACUCUCCUAUAUAGUGAUGUUGCUGUUCACAACAGGAACAUCAACACUUAUUUCUCAGCGCGAAGUAGUGUCUGAGGUGUGCAAUUAUGCGUUUAUUCUCACUUCAGACUCACCAAGAAUCCCUAAUGUUUUUAAAGUAAUAUGGUUCGGUGUGUGAAUGUUGUCUGCAAAUAUAUGAGUAAAGCAGCUCUUAUAAGAGUAACCUCUAUUAAUAGAAUUUAAAUACCUUCCAGUCGUAUCGGUUUUGCAAUGGUCGCCUCUAAUACACAGUGUGCUCAUCAUACGACCAUAUCUAGGAUCUCUUUGUAGAAGUAAAUAUCCAUUAUAGUGCUGGUCAACACGUUACUUGUGUGGAUGUGAUACUACUUGUCUUAACAUUUCGCUAGCCACUCGUGAAUUCUCACCGCCAAUGUACAUACUAUGAUUUUUAUUCUUCUGUGAGAAAUCGAUACACAUACCAUAUACUACUGUUAUCUAAUUGAUUCAUAUAUACAAUAAAAGUGUUUAGUAAGCAAUAGGAUCUCUCUCUUCCUCAAUUGAUUCUGAAGUAUCCUAAUCUCAUCUCUCUUACCCAUACCUCUCACUCACAGUUGUUGUUAGUGUUUAUUUCCCUCUGAGGAUGGCCGAGGUGCCGUGAUCUUGAAAUGGACCACACACAUGCAGAAGUGGUACGAAGCUGCCGCGAAGCAUGGUGUUGGCUCUGUGGUAGCAGUUUUUCUGACGGCAGAAUGGCGAGAUUGCGUGUGUGAUGUGUUGCCUGGUCCAUGGCAAACUGUUUGCAUGGACUUGUUGGCGAAGGCUUCUUAAUUGACCCGAGGGAAUUGCCAGUGACGCGGCAGAGCGUUGCUUUUUGAGAUUCAGGAUGGGUUUUUAAGCUUCUGGGAGAAGGUUCGAAAUGGGAGCCAAAUCUUCAGGUCUGCCACAAGCUCACUCUGCGCCGUUGUCUCAGGCAGCUUGCUUGCACUAAGAGGCAUUUCUGAGGUCCGCGAAGUUCUGACAUUCGAACCGGUGUGAAUGUUUGCUAUGCGCGUUGCCGUGUGUCUGAGCGUCCAUGGAAUUGCAAGCUGGUGCUGAUUGCGAGUCAUGGAGCGAGGCGGUUGGGCAGGGGAAGAGAUUUGUUCCUUCAUGGGUAAGGCUGGAAAGAGUCCGUUUGCUCAAUGAAGGUCUGUCGCACAGCGUGGGCGAUCAGAUUGCUGUGACUGGAUGUGGCCUAGGGUACAGUUACACACGGUUGUGAGAGUCAAUGCGCUGUGCUUUUCCCAUUGUUCAGAAUGCACGUCUGACGGUUUCGCCAGUGACCGGUGCGUGCAUUAGAGGUGAUUGUGGUUCGCAUCGAGCCACAUGCUGAGUCUGUUGUCCUCUUCAGGAGGGUCAGGAGAGGUCAAGCGCGGCCAUUUCUUUUUCGCGCAGUAAGGAUGAGUGUGAAAGCGAGGCCAGAUUGGUCGCCGGUGAUACGCACGCAUGGUCUAUGCAGGAUGCGCAUGGAUGGAGUCAGAGGGUUCAUGAGGCCGGAUGCAAGUAGCACGAGGAUUCGGUCAUUCGGAGAGCUGUCUGGCAUAGAGGUUGAUAUGUGUUUCUGAUUUUCGUUCCUGUGUUUGACCGAAACGGUGCUCUAGCAAAGUGACCAAGGAACUGUCGGGUACGGAGGACGAAGAGUAAGCAUUGGAUCAGAUUGUUCUUUCAGUGACUUGCGUCGUCUUUCCCUGUUGCUGAGCAUUGCUGUGGGUUGUCUAUCGAGAGUGCAGCGUGUUCGGACUUCGUGAGGCCACAUCAGAUCGUUGCUGCCGUGGGCUUGCUGAGCUGCUUCGGAGUACGGCGCUGGAGUCAGAGAAGUGUGGCGUGCGGUUUCGAGAGCGCUGCUGGGCGUUCUACUUUCCGUUUGCAGAAGGUGCUUGCUGUUCAGAGAGUCAAGGCGCAGACUGCGUGUAGGCGCUGUCUAGACGUGCUCGUGGGCAGAGGCUCUUGCGAGAUGGCUGUCGGAGUGGUGCUCAAAGUCCUUGUGAAUGGUGUCUAUUGCUGACCAGACAAGUGUAAUCAAAUGGAGAGGUAGAGGAUGCGAUCGGAAUUUAAGCGCGUGGCGUCGCUCAGGAGUGGAUUGGUUUCUUCAGAAAGAGUUUCUUCCACACGCUGUGCAGGUCAUUUAGGUGAUGCAGACAAUCAGCUGCGUGGAGGAUGUAUCAGAAGACUUUCUCGAUAUGUCUUCGAUGUUGAGUGCUCAUGAUUGCUCUCAUGAGCUGAAGCGGGCACGCGUUGUUUCGACUGGGAUGCGUGCGACCCAGCCAGAGGUAAGCAGUGCCUAAGCCAGGUGUGGUCCCACGCAGCCUUGUGGCUGUCGUUGAAAUCUUGGCAGUGCUUCUGCUAAAAGCAUUGAGUAGCAUCAACAGAUUGAUGGAGGAUGGAAGGAGAGCAAGUGCCUUGUCUGAGUCCUUGCUUCGCCUUUGACCUUCCGGUGUUGGCGCGGGUUUUGUCGUUGCAUCCGUGCGGCAUGCUGCUCUACGCGGGAAGCGAUAAAAGCGCAUCGAGUGACGAAGGGAGUCGGGUAAGGAACAGGAUCUUGGAGCAGGGCGAAGCAAGUAGCGACGCAUGUUGGAUCAUGACCAGACGAAUGUCAGUGUUUUGUACCGGAGUUCGAAUACUGGAAGGUUUGGGCGGUGGUGUCAGUUGUUUACGCGUGUUCGCGUUCGAUCUUUGCGUACGCUGUGGCAACGGGUACGAGAUGCAGAGGUUUCUGGCAGCAGGUGGUGCCCAAUCGACAGAAGUGGUAAGAAAGUUGCGGCUGGAAGGUCAGAGUUUUGUGUCAAGGAUUCAGACAGCGGAAGGUCUGGUAGAGAUCGAAUGCGAGACAGCAGGCAGAGAACGCUUACGGUUUAGCUCGGUGUUUCUGGCUGGUUGCCGCAAUGAAUGGCGGAGACCGGGUCUACGAGGUACAGUAAGUUUGUUGGUGCGAGAAGGGUAGAAAUGAGAUGGAAAGUAGUUCUGAUUAAGAGAGUGAGCGGGCUUAGCAAAAGCAUGAGAAAAGUUACAAUGGAUUGCCACGCGCUAGUUGGCGUAUAAAGCUAAAGAGCGUGAGGGUUAGACGGCGGAGAAGUCGAGCGUAAAAGACUAGAGAGAAGUACCCGUCUAGACAAAAGCUGUAGGGGCGGUAAGAAAAUGAGUACAAGCGUUAAGUAUAGAGGCAUGUGACUGUCUAAAUAGUGAAUAUGUGCUGAUAUGAGUUUAACGACGAAUGAUGAUGUGUGACUCGGAGGAAACAUGUCGUUUUCCAUUCGGGAGAUAGAGGCCAACCGGGUCCAAAGGUCCAUGCGAACGCAGUGCAUGUUGUAUUGGUGGUCGGUGUAUGCAGAGAAAUAGACCAGUUUGUAUGGAUAGAGGCAGGUUAUUUGGGUGUGUUUGAAGUAAGUGUAAAGGAGGGCGUCGAGUGUGGAUCGUGAGAGCUUGGCGAGUGAUCGCGUUAUUGUGGUUGUCUGUCUUGUGACAUUGUGGCACUAGCCUGAGAAUAUAUGGGGGGUGGGGAGGUUCCUUCUUGUGAACAGUUUUGGGUGGUAUGUGUGUUUCUUUUCAAUGCUAGCUCAACGUUGUCGUGAACGGGUCUUCAAUCGUUUCGAGAAAAGUGGAUUCGAACCAAGUGGGUGGAGGCACUCUUGGUGCGAAAUUUUCCGGAUGCCAGUCUCCAGAUUUGAUGUCUUUGGGACGUAGGACAUGGCCCGGUUUUCAAAAUGAAGCUUGGAAACGAAAAUGAUGGUUUUUUGAUAAGGCCGAAGCCAGAUUAGACAGGAGAAUGCGUUCAAAGUGGGAUUUUGAGGAGGUGGCUUACUCCCGAGAAGUUGGAAGAUGAAGGUGUUUUGAGAAGGACCGAAGGUAUAGGUGUUAGAAUAAAUACACCGGAAGUUUAUGAUGUCGAGUAGCACUUGCGUUAGUGAAGAGAUGUCCCGAGGCUUUUCGGGAAGAGACAGGAUCCAUUUUGUUCAAACGAGAGCGGACUACUAUAGACAAGGAAAGAAAUAAGGCAUGGAGAAGAUGUGCAUGCGGUUAGAUUGUGCAUUGUGUGCGCCCGGGUGAGUGGAGUUGUGGUAUGUACGCCUAGAUGCUUUCGUCAUGCUCUUGUAGGAAGAUGCGAGAAACAAACAAGGUUAGUAGUUGGUCGUGUGCCUGUUAUCGAGAAAAGCCUAAAGCAGAGCGCUCAGAAACCACGAAUGUUGUCAUCACCGUGGGCAAACUCCGACAAUCCGUCAGAGUGGUGAUGUUUGCAUAAGAAGAGCAACGAUAGGUGUAGGUGCAGACAUGUUUUGAUUUUUUGGGGAACGGAGUGGUUAACGGGAGAGUGGAUUGCUAAUGCGGGAGCACCUUGAGAGAAUACGGUUUUUGUGGAUUGUUAGAGUCGGGAGAAUCCAGGAGAGAAUGUGAGUGCGAACGAUAUUGCGAUGAGUAUGAAGGGGGCGUCUGGUGUGAUGUGUGGUCACUUGGUUGUCGUUGUGACUUUUUAGGAGCACGGCGUUAUGGUGGUGAUAGACCGAUGUUCGCGGAAGGUUGUACAGAAUCGGCUGUUGCGCUGAUGUAUGAAAUCGUUCCCCGGAGUUUGGCGCUCUGGUGUGAUGUGCGCGCGCAAGUUUGCAUGAUGCAUCAAGCUGUUCGAAGGGAGUCCGUCUGUGGACUCAGCGUUCGCCAUUCAGUCGAUGAAGUAGAAUAUGUGUUAGAUUUUCGAUGCCUGUCAUGCACAGCGAUGAUGCGAUCAAGAGACGCAAGGGUCGUGUUAGCUCCCGCAGGUGAGGAUAGCGAAGAAGACGUGUGAGCAUUGCCAGGUGACAUUAGUCGGGGUUUUGGCAAGGCUUCAUCUUCGUUGCGAAAGGUUAGGAGCUAGCACUAUUGAAGAGACGCGCUGACAGGUAGUUGCCUAGGUGAGUAGCAAGCGGCAGGUGACUGUUGGCGUGAAUCUGAACGCGUAGUUUUUAUUGUAUGUCCGGUGGCAACUUUGAAGAAGUAGAAUGUCAGGAAGACACGCCGAUGGCCGAGAAGGUGACGGUGUGGCGCGAACGCGAAGAGCUGUGAAGUUAGAAGAAAGUAUCGAUGUGUUGGACUUCGGAUGUUCAGAAACACAGAUAGAGGGAUUGCGUCUGGACCAAAAUGAAUGUGUGUAUCUUAUUGGUGUUGUGUUCAGGAGGCAUAUGCGUGCAGUAGCGUGGAGCGGUGCCCAAUCGAUCGAAUAGAAAAGGGCUCGCCUUUAUGUGGUGUUUGCUCAAGUACGGAGAGUUGCUGUCAGGAGUGCUAGCAUGUGCAGAUAUCAGCUGCUGUGUAGUUGCUGGUGUAUUGUGCCGCGCAAGGAGUGGGGUGCGAGAAGCCUAAGGAUCGGGGUGCUAGGGCACGGCACAAUGGUUUUUUUCGUUGUGACCGCAUCCGAAAAUAUGCCGCGUUAAAGGUAUUUCGAGCAGAAUACUGGAUAAGCCACGGCACAGCAGCGACACACGAGACAGCCGAGCACACGACACACACACACACAGCACAGCACACCACGAACAGCGAAGCACGAGCGAGCAUGACCGAGGUGGCCCACACGAUAGUGUGGCAAUACGAGUGCAGCGAGGCACGGACGGAGUACAGGUACAGCACAUACGAUGAGCGACCAGCAGAACGAUACAACGUGAGAGCCCCAACGACGGAGCGCACACGAGAAGAGCGACGAGCAGUAGGCGCACGAUGACACGGACGGGUACGAUGCUCGGACACAGCACACAAGUUACACAGCACGACAGGGACGGACGAGCAGCGGAGCACACGAAGUAGCAGAACGCGGUGCCGGACGGACCGCACUCGCGCCAGAUAGCGAGCACACCAUGCGACGGCACGACACACACAGCAGCGAUGAGCGGCGCGGAAGCACACACGCGAGUGGGCACACCCCGAGCAGCACAUAGAGGUACAUGUGCGCGAGUACAGCACGACCAGGAUGAGCACACUGCACAUUGUACAACACGGGAGUGCAGCACACGGAUGGUGACAGGGUGAUACCCAUACGUUGAGCGGCGGGCGUGCAUGGCGACGGCCGCGCGCUGCGGCCGUGCUACCGCGUCGCAUAACAGCAAGCAUUAGCGACAGCGCACAUCCGGAACUAUUAUGCACACAGCAGGUGGCAGCAGCAGGCGAGACCACGACAGCGACGACGACGGAUGCGGGAGGGCACGGCACGGGUGCGAGCUUCAGCGGUGCAGCAAAACAUAAGAGCGGAUAUAGCAAGCCAGCAUAGGCGUGUAGCAAACACAGCAGCGAUCGCAGUCGACACACAACAGCACACGAGCGCGACGAAACGAUGGUGCAGUCGGAGCACCCGACGACGGGCACACGAAUGCCGUUUGACGGUCGAGCGCGUCGACACAGGCACGGGCGGCGAUUGCGCAGGCGAGAAAGACAGUACAUGAGCACAGACAGCAGCGUCGGGAAUGCACGCACACAACACGACGGCUCGGCCUGACGAGACACACAGCACACACAGUGACGACGGGCGAAGGUAGUAAGCGACCAUUCAGACACAUGCGACACAGAGCGAACACACAAUGCUGGCGCGACGAUCAGGCCAAUCACACAAUGUGGCAGGCGCACUUGUACGACGGCGAUGAACGCCAGCGACAACACACGACGACGGCGCUGUGCACAGCGCUGGACUGUUUCACAGAGUCAAGGCGCUGAAGGACUGCACGCACGGCAUGCAUGGCAGUCAUGGCACGAGACCGGCGGUUAGCAUACAUUAAGUGCUCGCGUGGUGGUAUAGUGGUGUUGGUGAUGGCGGUGAUGUUGUUGAGGGUUGGUGUAUUUGCCAAAUGGGUGUGGAGUCUGGAUCGAGAGGGUCGUGAGGGCAGCAGUAGCAACUGGUGUGUUCUAGCUGUUGGAACGCGUGAUGGGCGCAAAGACUAGGGGUGCCUCGGGUAGUAGGUUUUGAGGGCAAAUCUGGGGAAUAGGACUACACGAACACAAGGAGCGCAGGAAUAGUUAGCGAGGUACACCACGAGCAGCAGCGGAUGCGAGCGACACACGACAAGCACACCACAAGCAGCAGUGUACACUCACAAGCAGCGAACGUGCACAGCAGCGGGCACACGGGCGGGCACGAACAGUUCGAGCGAGAAAGCAUGCAGCGCGAGAACGGAGGAAGGCGACAAUGCGAUGGCAGUGCGGACACACGGAAUGCAGCGACAGCGAGGGUAUGGCACGACAGCACGAGCGAGACCCACAGCAGGUACAGCGAUGGACGCAGCGACGACAGGUACACAGGGGUACAGAGACAGAUGAAGAACACGAAAACCGAGAUGCGAGCACGACAGACACAUAGGUACACGAGCGGUUCAGCGUGCAGCGGCAGAAGGCACAGCAGCAGGAUGCGGGGGGCGGGGCGGCGAGCGGCACGACCAGCCAGCAGAGGCGCGCGGCGCGUGGCGCGAGAGCAUACACACACACGCCAAUGACAUACGCGGGGGUGACACAGGCGGGAUGUGGGCACGUGCAGUUACGACGACCGACGCGACGGCAGGCACACACAGGCGACGAACGGGCGUGGCGUCAGCCCGAUGACAAGCAGUGCGACAGCAGCUAAGCACACAGCAGUUGCCGUAGGGCAGAACACACAUGGAGCACGGGGACGGCUCGCCGCUGGCGUACGGGCGCGUAUGGCGAUAUGGCAAAUAGGAGUAGCGAGCAACACGAGCACAGCAUCUGGCAUGGCAGCAUGAUAGCCACAACAAUAGCAGCGAUGCGAGCGGAGUACGACGGAGGAUGCACAGCACAUUUCGCGACGACACGACGCGGCGACAGCACACUCACACGACGCACCACAGCGAGGCAGGCACACGACACAGGGACCGAGGACGAAGCACGUGAGUUUAUGGCUCAGUGCGACGAGCGGCACGAUGGGUAGCGCGGGCACGACGAGUACAGUUCGCACGUCAGCGGCAGCAGAACGAGAUAGCAGCAGCGGGCAGCAGUAGUGAGGAGUAUACGACACAAGGACACGAAAAGACACAGCGAGCACAAACAGGGAAAAAGGGGCGAUACGCGGCGGUAAGCGACGAUCAGGCACGAAGCACACAGCACGACCUUAAGAGGCACACACAGGAGGAGCAGCGACACGAGGCAGCACAGGCAGUGGAUAGCCAAUGCGACCGACGCAAAUGCGCGGAUGGUGCGAGAGCACACACACACACGACACACAACAGCAAGUGCAGCAGGCGCGCGCGGACACGCGCGUAGGCGAUGCGAGCGGUACACGGGAACAGCGAGCACAGCACACGACAAUAGCACGGCGGAUGGCGGAACGGGUGGCAGGUGCGUGGAGACCGGUGCAUGGGCAGCAUGAGGCGGAACGACGGGCGGAAGACAGAGCACGACACGGAGCGACAGAUAGCGGCGUUGUGAGAAUGACGGUUGCCAACCAAGUUAUGGAGAAUGGAGAAAUGAGUGUGUCUUUAGAAUCGGAUGUUCGUAAGCACGGAGAAAAUAAUGCUUGCCGAGCCCAAGAAAUAUGUUGUGGAGUGAUCGUAGAGUGUGUUGGGUAUGGUAGGAAGCAGUGGAUAGGGUUCAGUAACGUCUCCGAAGUCUCGACCAAAAGAAUGCGUUCGUGUAUGUGUGUUUCCAACCGAGAGGUUGCUUGUGAGGGUCUAGACAUGUGGUGGGCAGGGGAUUCAGGAAGUCGUAUGAGGGUUGUAGUGGUAUUGGCCAGAAGUGUUGACGUGGAUCGAGGUGCCGAAGCACACACAAUUUUGCUGCUCAUGAGACCUGAUCCAAAAGUAGUGCCGGCUUAGCCAGUGAUGUUCAGCGAGAAUCCGUGGAGAUGACACGGAGCAGACACAGCACAGCGGACACACGACGGACGACAAGGCGACAAAAAAAGAAGCCCGAAAAAAAGCGUCGCCACAUCGAGACGCAGCACAGCGAUGGCACGCCGGCCACACGGGCGACGGAAUGGGCGAGCGACGGCGACGCAGCGCGACGAAAGAUGCGAGCAGUGCGGAGCAAGUGGCGGCUCAGAGAUGAUCUAGCACAAGCACAGGCAUCACUGCGCAUGGCAGUAUUAGCACACAGGCGAGAAGCACACAACGCCGCUACGUAACACAUGGCGAGUGGGGCGAGCAUACAGGCAGAACACAGCACACGAAAAAGACACUUGCACGACAGCGAGUUUACACCGAGCACAUGGACAGUGCGAUGAGCACGGAUGGGCGAGACGACCGGCGCCGCCGAGAGAGCAGGCACCAGGUACCAUAGCAGACAGCGCGGAUUAGCGGCGGAUAUAUACAUUCGGCACCGCGAGCGAUUGCACAGAGCACAGUAUGCGAUGCGAGCAGCGCGAGCACACAGUAGCGAAGAGGACGCCUACUGCACGAGAGAAGACGACGACACAGAAUUCAUUUGAAGAGAAGCAUGGUGGUGUCUCUGUAGUAUGAGUGGAAUGAGAAAAUGAUGAAGGAGAGGACACGAUACGAGCGGUGAACCUACAGCACUGCUCAGCACAGCACGAGGAAGCACCGGCGCAGUACGAGGGCAGCAGGCAUAUAUGCAUGCACAGCACAGCAUAGCACAACAUGCACAGCGUAGGGUACAGCAGGAGAUAGCAUGACGACGUACCAGCCACCGGCACGGGCACCACGAGGCGGUCGCGGUCUAGGCAGUGAGGCGCGAUGACGUACAGGUGGCAGCACCCGAAUUCACGGAGGGAAGCGGUAGUAUAAGCAUACAAAUACGAGACACGACCACACUGCCCGGAUGCGACGUACAGCACGCACGAGACGACAACACAGCGACGACAGCAGUAGUAGCGAGGGAGAUAUGAGUAGUGAUAGUAUACACGCGACGAGCACGACAACACGACGGGAGGUGUGACAACUCGCCGAGUGGAUGAAGCAGGACAGCGAGCAGAUGCACACGCACGCAUGGCGAUGCAUGCGACGGGCACGGAUAGCUUCUCGAUUAAGGGCGACGGUUCCGCGGGCAGGCUUGAUGCAUGCGCGGCACACAUGGCAAAGGCACGAACGUCACAACAGGCGGUACAUGACGCAAUCAGGCGACACAGUGUGUGGGCGAUGGCAGCAUGAGCGAUCCACACCCAACGGCGGAGGCAGUGCACGGACGACGCGGCGAUGUUUCAGCAACAGUGGAUCGCAAGCACGCGACGACACACGUAGUACACACAACACACGGACACAGCACACUGCACAGCGAGUAUGAGCGAACACGACAGGCGACAUUGAGCGGGCGGACCAACACAGCGGUACACACAUUGCAAACUACAGCAGGACAUAAAGGAAGACACAGGUAGACAGUGACGGCACAUGGCAUGCGAGCGGCGAUGCAGCCCGGACACCCGACACACAUAGUGUCAGAACAGCGGCGACAAGACGACCAUCACAGUAUGCACCGUGCAGCGUACGACGAACAGCGAGUAGAUACAGCCACAGGACACUAGACAUGACGAUCACAGCACACAGCACACGACACGGACGACAACCGAGCACAGCACGACACCGACGUGGCAUGCGACACGACACUAGCGAACACGAUACACAGCACAACGAAUAGGUCGAAGAUUAGCGUUUUCUUAGACCGAGAUUUAUGAAGAGAUAGAAGGAUGUCGGUCGUGGUCAGAAGUGUGAAUAUGUCUAAGACAGAUAAUGACUCAGGACCAAGAAUAUGGUUUGUUAUCGUAUAUUCGUGGGUUCAGAGCAAGUAUGGUUUAGGCGUUGGCGUCGAGGUCUCGGACGAAAAUGCUGGUACUUGUAUUGGGCUUUCAGCGCAAACAAUUCGUUCAGUGCGUGGAGGCAUGGUACAGGAGUUCAAGCUCAAGUUGAUUAUGUGUUGAUUGCCAGGAGGAAGGCAAUGGUCGAAGCCUAAUCGGGGUUCAGACAGCACGACGAGCUUUUCUUGCUUUGAAGCGCUUGGAGUCGCAGAGCGAGUAGAGUGCCCUGUAACAGUUAGUCGGCCGCGGACUUUUAUGGGAGGCUGAUUGAGGUAGUUAAGCUGGCAAGUGCAAGUCUGGAAGUGGGCGGUGUGAGUUUUUAGAAAGAGUACGAUCGCCACACAGGGGACUUGAAGUGAAGGUCCGAGGGUAUAGUGGUUUUCUGAGGUGUACUUUCGUAAAGUGAAGGCGUUGAUCGGAUACUUUGGAUGGAGUUUAGGGAGAAAGAGGGUGAAAGGCGUAAGAAUUUGGGAGUCAUAGAUGUAAAGUAGUUCAAAUAAACACGGGAGUAUGCGUAUGUGAGUUACGUCGUGAAUUAGGAAAAUUGGCGAAUUCUUCGGUUUGGGUUCUGGUUAGGUUUUAAAAUAAGAGGUCGUUGGAUGCAGUAGGAGCGGGAGAAGUGAUGUGGAUUAAAAGUCUUGUUCUCAAAAAACUGUCGCUCUGGGUUGGAAGUCAGACUAUGACUCUUUAGUAUGUAAGCGGGACGGCGAUGCACUAUUUAGUGUAAAUGCUAAAUGCACUUUUGAAAGCGAAGGUGGGAAUCUUAUUAGAGAACUCGUUGUUUGAGUUAAGAUUUAGGCUAGACCGCCGUUGUAAGACACGCCGUCGUCUCAAACUCGUCGCGUUGUUGGAGGCUUUAGAGAGUGAGUAUUGAUUGAGAACUUGAACGUGGCUGUGAAGCUCUCGAAGUCCUGCAGCAUUAAAGCGUUUAAAAGGAUACUUUUUGAAAGAUGAGUGUGAGAGAUUUUAGAAUAACUUUGAAGAAAAGGUGCUGAUCGCCCCGAUGUUGAAAGUUAAUGGUCGGAAAGGUUGGUACGGACUGUGCGCAGUUUUAGAGAAGCUCGAAACGCGUGCUUGCUUUAUUUUUUGUUAAGACUUCUGUCAGGUCGUUUUGACACGUCGUGACAAAAACGUUUGGUUGGUUAAACCGUGUAAAUUGGAGAGCCAUAAAAGAGGACGGUAUAUUUUUUAAAUAAUUGUGGAGAGGCCAGGACUGGCAGUGUGUUGAUUCCUUUGGUAUUUCCGCUUACUGUUACGAUAGGCGCGAUGAUCUGAAAGUUUGAUUAGGAGCGGACGAUGCGGUGAAGAACGGAAGGCGCUUAAACCAGAUAAGGAUGUGAUGCUUAAAGUACAGAAGGCAUAUCGAGGACAGAGACAUGGUGUAAGCGAGAUAAGACGGAGCGAGGCAGGCGCAGUGGAAGCAAUAUAUAAGUUAAAAACAGAGAUUUAAAAUUUAGAUAAAGCGCGUGGUUAAAGAAUAGGGAAAUUCUUGGCUGUGGUNUAUAAAAGCGCAAAUAUUAACCUUCAUAAUAAAUGAUUAUUUAACCAAAAUACAUAAAUCAUGUAAAAGAAAUACCAGAACCUCAUUUGUUUUAAAAUAUAGUAAUGAAUACUACCAAAUGUUGAAAUUAAUUGCAAUUGAUACAGUAAGGUAUAAUGCAACAAAAGAUAUUGAAACAAAAGGUUCACAAUUUUAGUUAAAAUUGUGAGAAAUAAGUCCAGCAACAAAAAUGAUUUAACUUCGUACAAUUCUUUGGUCUUUAAAAAACUGAGUUUAUACAAAACCUGCCCGCAACCUUUUAGGAUUAGGUGCCUUCGAAGAACACCUUGUGUAGCCAUAAUAAAACCAUCCAUACUUUGAGACAACAAAUUUCAAUGUGGUUGCUACGGUAACACAUAAAGUUUCCUAAAAGCAAAUCAAAAAUGAUAUUAAUUUCAAAAAACAAAUAAUAUAAUUGUAAUAGUAAAGAUAAAUUCGGCUCUAUAGUAUUCAACUUACAUGUUUGAUUUUGCAGAACUGACUUAAGGACAUACAUUUCGCAUUAUGAACAAACAUUUCUACUGGCGAAUACUGAGAACUACCAGACCAAUUAGAAAGAGAUUUUGCAGAUUUAGUAGGUUUCUCCUUCUGUUCAUUAGUAGGCAACCUAUAGAAAUAAGAUUGUUUUUGAAAUUAAAAAUUAUGUAUAAUAAUUUGAAUAUAAAUAAAUAAAUAAAAUCCAUACUUAGACAUAAAAUCUUGAAUUUCCUCGUAAAAUAGAUGCGCUUGUCCUUUCGUCGGUUUCUCUUAUUAGAACGGUCGUGACGGCCUCGGUCGCCACGGAUAGGUAUAAGUAUAGGUUUCCUUUUCUGACGGCCGUGAUACAGACCGGGGUUGGGACAGAACCUUCUUUAGAUGGAGCUACGCUUCUCGCAUUCAUCGGUCCAGUCGAAGUAGCCUUUUGCGGGGAAAGACGUCUGAAGAAUGGCCAAUGCCGUGCUGGCGGACUUUGCGAUGAAAUCGGAGAGUGAGGCGAGUACUCAUGAGCGACUGGAUCGAUUUUUUGGUUUUCGGGUCGGAAACUCCGAGAAUGCCGGCAUUGUCGGGUUGGCCCUCUCGAUCCCUCUCUUCGGUGAGAUAGAAACCGGGAACUUGCCUGCCCGGACACCGAAGUGCAUCUCGGGUUGAACCUCAUUACACUGUCUCGCUGCUGCGAAUACCUUCGUAAGGGUCAGCAUGGGUUAUCUCCUCGUUGUAUUUGACGUCAUGUCGUCCAUGUAUACUUCGAGCAUGUCCCUUAUUUCGUCCUUGAACUUUGUUCAUCAUGCUGUUGUAGUAGCGCCAGCGUUCUUGAGCCCGAACGGCAUCACGUUGUAAUAGGCUAAUUCCCGUUGUCAUGACGCUGUGUGUUUUUGCUCGGCGGCGACAUAGGGACUGUUGUAUCACUAUAUGCGUCCAUGAAGGACAAGAGUUUAAAACCUGCCCCCAGAGUUGUCAACGAGCGAGUCUAUAUUAGGGAGCGGGGAAAGCAUUUUCGGGCGAAGCCCAUAUUAGAUCAGUUCUAAUCAAACACACAUACGCAUUUUCCAUUAUUUUUCUACGAGGACUACAUUAGAAGCCAGCUUGUUACUGGCUUCAAAUAAAUUGCUCUAAGAGGUCUGUUACAGCUCGCUCGCAGCCUUCUCCCUUUCGGGGCGAUUGCUUGCGUUCUACGCUGUCUAUGGGCUUGGCUGCCGGUUACAGUAGCUUAUGACACGCGAUCCGGGCGUCCAGCCGGGCUUUCUGCGCAUUCACGCGAAUGAGGUCGGAGUUCUCUUUGAGGCAUGUACUAGUCUUCUCUUGUUUCCUCGGGUAAGUCCCUUGCCUAUCUCACCGUUCCUUUCCGGAUCGUCCCCAAGACGAAUGAGUAUCGAACUCGCCCGUCGGGAAUGUCGGACCGGGUGUUCGAUAGAGAGCGUCCUUGGGGAACCUCCCUCUUCGUCUCGUCCAGCCCGAAUGCGACAGUCGAGGUCGAUGGCGUUGACUCUCGGGCGGAUCCUCGUCUUGAGUUUUUUUGUUGUUGCAGUUGCUCUGUGCUGACUACGGCCUGUCCUUGUACUGCGGCGUCGUAGCAUCGGGUCGGGUGCUUCGAUGUGCACGCAUGAGAUGGUGACCACAGUCCCAAUUUGGUGUAGUUAUUUCAUCUUCAGUAGUGCGGUGAAGGACCGCAGUGAGUUCGCCAGUUCCGGGGCUCGAUGCAAUUGUAGAGAGACGACAGUUCUACACCAGGAUUGGAUUUUAUUCCCUGGCCGUUUCUUGUUCGCCAAGGUUGCGGGAGCUCAACAUAUCCCCACGGUCUGUUUUGCUCCCGUUGAAUCCUUGGAAGAUCCGAUCGACGUAGGGGGCCUAAGUGGUGUUAGCUUCUAGAGUCUUGAAAGAGUGGUGGACGUACCAUGAUAUCCCACUGACUGCCUUCUCGACCAGGAUGCGUCGUACGUCGAAUCGGGCCAUCUUUGCUCUUAUCAAAGUGGGAUGGCCGAAGUUCGGGGAUCCGCCGGGAGUUCCUCAGGAAGAAGGAUAUCUGGGUUGGAUUUCCCCCGGUAUUUUGCAAUGUCGCUUUCUCUCGGGGGCAGUCAGUAGAGUUCGUCGAACUUACGUUUGACGGAGAGGGCCCGGCGAUUCGUAGUCCUCCUCCCGAUUCACCAGUGGUAGGGGAAGUCUUCCCAGGGGCUGAGUCAGUGAUCUUGCCCUGGGCAGUGGGUUCGGGGAGGCAGAAAUCUUCCGGUCGGACCACGCAGAGGGCCACUUGAUAGGGAGAGUUGCCGGAGGGGUGUGUUUUCCCGGGCGUCUCUUUUUCUCUGGCUCGUGUGUCUGGAGCUUCGUUCUUCCUCGUGUACUGUUCAGGUGCCCUUUGAUAAAAUUUCAAUGCGCAUCUUCAGGGGGACGCAGUCUUCGCGUCACGUGCCGUGCUUCGCUGGAACGGCAGUACUUGAUUUGUCGGUGUGGGCUUUGUGCAGACGGUUUGGAACCUGACCCUGCCGCUGCUUGAAUUCAGAGUUGAUACAUUCGUGCGAGGAUACGCUUCGAGGAGCCUGUACGUAAGGUUGUACUCGCUAUAUCUGCCCCGGCGGCCCUCUUCCUUCGGAUGCUCGCGAUCUUCUUCUUCGUCUGUUCUCCGUGCCGACGGAAAUGUGUGUCCUCGCGUUUUGAGUGCUCGGUCUCCCAGCGUUACGCCGCUGCGGGCAUUGUGUCCACUGUUUCCUCGUAUCUGAUGUAGGCUGCUUAAUGCAGGAGCUCGUAAGCGUUCGGGGAGGCCUCGAUCCCUACGCUCUGCCUAAGUUCACUGCCGAAAACUCUCUCGCAGGAGAUACUUCUUCAUGUGCUCGGGGUAUCUACCUCAGACAGCUUCCUGGCUUGAAUCGCUCGAUGUAUGAGCGCCAGUUUUCAUUCUUCUUCAUGACUAUGCCUUCAAGGGUUCGCCUCAGUCUUUGGGGUGACGACGGGAAGCUGCUAAAGUGCCGGUGUGUGACAUCGACCUCAUGACUCUCCAUGACGUAAUGGACUCAGGCGGCCAAGUUUUGUACCAGGCCAUGGCCCCUUUCCUGAGGGUCGUGGGAGAACAGUUCGCAUUGAGGUGCCCGGUAUAUCACUUGCGGUAGUCGAGCACGCAGUUGACGUUUCACGUUGAUCGUCGGGAUCGGUAGUCCCGUCGUACACAGCUAGGUUUGGCCGCGUUUCUCCAUGCCUGUGGGGAGCGGGCUUCCAUUAUUGCCCGAGAUAGGGGCAAUGAAAUUUCCCGCGCUCCUUAAGGGAGACAGUUCGUUGUUGUCGGGCUGUGCCGCGCCUUGUGAUGUUCUCGCUCGACCACCGUCACGAUCGGCGCGUGCCCUGCUGGCGUGGGGUUCGGCGAGAGCGACGUCCUCGCUUCUUCGUUGGCUCGGCGUUGUUGUAUCCUACUCCCGGUGGGCGGGCUUUGCGCGUUCGGCUUCGAGACGGCCAUGCAUUCGUCGUGCGCUGGUGGCAGCAUAGAACCGGCCUGAUGAGGGCAUUCACCAUGCAAUCAUUACCGGCCGUCUCCUCUCAACUACGGAACGGGAAGUUUAAGGACGAAAUGUCUCUGCCCCUACAAGUGUGGGCUGUGAGAGACAUCCCGUUGUUUUCGGCUCUGGAGACGCGGGUGGAGGAUGACCGUCCCAACGUCGCCUUCAUGGAUGGCGGGCCGUCGUCCAUGUUGUAGUUGACGAGGGAGGCUGUGAUCGCUAUGUUGUUCUCCGGCCAUGUGUAAGGACAGAAACAAAUGAGCUUUUGAUCCUCGUUUGCGAAGAUGGGAUAGCUAGUUCCCACAAGACGGCGCACUGAUCUCACCUAUCAGGAAGGGCCUUCCAACGUCUUGGUUAAUGGGCCGGAGAAUGAAAUGCAGAGGGGGCGUGUACCUGCAAAGGUGCUCCAAUGCUUAAUCAGAAAAGUACAGAAUGAGGUUAUCAAGUUGUGAGUUAGAAUUAAACCCCCCCCCAUGCCCCUUUGCCAGAAAGGGGUAUUUAUAGUGAGCCCCAGCGUGGGCCAAGGCUCCUAAUGGGCUGCGGGAUUAGCCUAGGCCCAAGGAGGGCUGCCAGGGGACGCGUAAGGAAGCCGUUAAGAUCCUAGACCAAGCUGCCCCUGGGUCCAACUGCCCCUAUCCCUAAAGGCGACAAUUAGGGAGUUGGGUUACGUGCGUGAGUGGGAUGCCCCGUUAAGGCCUGCCCGACACAACUGAGUGCCGCGACGUGGGUUGACGGUGAGUGGAGGAGAUCGCUACGGGAGGACCGCUCACUGUCCGACACGUGUUUAAGAGGGCGGGGAGACGUUGUCGAGCGGGACUGUUGUCCACCUGACCGUCCUCGUGGUCGUGUGGACGAGGCGUUUUGGACGUGCGGCUUUGGACAGUAUUCGCCGGCCGUGCUGGGUCAUGCCCAGUCCGGAACAACAAACAUUAUUACUUGACCGACCUCAGAUAGUUGUGACUCUACGUAAAGUCCAAUUAACAAUUGCUUAACAUAACGCUAAAUUCGUUUUUGAAUCUAGAGCAAGUCAUUUUUAUAAGAGAGAUUUCGGUUCCGACUUCCUCAUGGUAUUGCUGUGAAAAAUAUUUUUCUUUUCACCUUAGAGCAGGGACAUACUUGUUGAUUUUUUCCAAUUAGAGCACUUCUCAAUGUGAUGUAAAGUCUGUAUUUUCAUACUAUCGGGGUGAAUAGUUGAGUGUUAUUCCAAAAAUGAAAAAUUAUCUUUCCUUUUUUUGAGUGCAUCCAAAUCAUUUACUACAUUUUAUUGUAGAACUGUACUUUAAUGUCAGUUAUCGUUAUACUCUUACUUUAUUGCUUAUUUUAGCAUCCUAUAUUAUAUUGUUUAGUUUUGUUAUUUUGCUCACUUGACCUUUGUGUUACAUUGUUACUCUUUUCCUUUGCCCACUUGGACGUUCUUUUUCUUUUAAGACAUUAAUAAAGGAAAAAACCUCUUAAAAAUUUGGUUCUCUUGAUUCAUGGACUCAUGUUUACAUCCUUAACACUUGUUGUGAGUUAUGCACUUUAAAAACUAUGACUUGACCCCUGCUGUGAAGCUUGUAAUUGAGACUUUGAGGUUCAACUGUACCUUUGACUUUGGACUUCUAUUGAGUAUUGUCUUGGUUACUUUUGGUUUCAUUUAGAUACAUGGUUUAUUCUUUGCUUAUUUGGUGGCUUGCUUCGAACUUAAUUCAAAGGAUUCCAAAGGAGGAAUUUUGCUGACUUGGAAUGUCAUUAAAAACUUGCCUAUCUCUGGUUAGCAUAUUUCCUCCUUAAUUUUACUUUAUGCUUUAGUAUAGUCUCUCUUCUCCUUACUCCUUUGAUUUGCAAAAUCUCCUCUCUCUUGUUCAAAAAUAUUAUUGUUUUCAAACUUGAACACUUUCUUAAUUAAACCUUGAUUUUGUUCAAGUGAUUUUCAAAAUCUUUUUCUUAAUAAAAUUCUAAUACAUCUAAACAUAUUCAAACCAAUUCAAAAAGACUAAAAAAUACAUUAACUCAUUCAAAUUAUUUUGUGCCCUCUGUGCACUUUUCUUUUAAAACUUUUUACUCAAAGUUGAGACAUUGAGUCAUGGUAUUCCAUUAGUUGUAGAUGUAAUUCUUCAUAUUCCUAUAGUUAUUGAUGAUAUUAAUUUUCAUCUAGAGAGGCUUAGUGUUCAUACUUCUGAUCUUGUAUCCAAGUUGGCAGGUCCUUCUCUUCGUGCAUGUUAAAAGUUCUCAUAUUAUGGCGUGAAUCAUUGUGUGUUCUUCUUAAAAUGACAAAGUCUUUUCAUAAAAAGAGUUAACAAACAUCUUUUUUAUUUUUACCCGAACUACAGGUUUGAUCUCCAUUGCACUUUGUUGCGUACGUAGGCAUUAAGACUCGGAAAUCUUAGCAAACACAAAAUUAUGAAAAACAUUUCUUUUCUCAUCUUCCCAAUCUUUUGCCAAAUAACACCAUUUUAAAGCCAAAAAUGCACAAAUUUUAAAAGAUAACUUAUAGAGUACUAUAGAUGUUUAGCAUGCUAAUUCUUUCUUUUAUAUAACCAACCCCAAAUCCUGUUAUCUCGUUUUUUAAGUUUGUGUUUUAAACGUCUUGAAUUUUGUUUUGUACUUUCCCUUUCUUUGGGAAAUAAUUAAAAGCGCCGGUGACGACUCUUGCUUUAUGAGUUAAGUUAAUCAAUAGCUUCAUCUUCAAAAAAUUUACCGUACAAUAUUAAUUUGUGCUGAAAAGAAUGCAAGAGUAGUUUAAAUCAAUAAAAAACACACAUUCUAAUUUAUACAACUAAUUAACUCACAUAGCCUUUAUAUGCAAUGUGACUCACAAUUCGACUUCAAUGCAUGUUGUACUAAUUGACAUCAGGGUUGUUACUAAUUUCGUUAUGUAAACACCCUGUUGUUUGUAAACUUAUUUAUUUAGUUUUGAAUUUUUACGUAUGGUAAUUAUUUAAAUCAACUCCUAUGUUAUUUGGAUGAUGUUUAGAUGGUUAGUGUUCUAUAGGAUGUUUUAGGUGGUGGAACAUAGUUGUAGUUAUUUAAUAAAACAAUAGAAGUAAAAAUAUUAGGAAAAUAAUUGAGGGAUUAUUAUUAUAUAUAAAAUAAAAUAGACCGUGAAAAAAAAUUUUUUGUAAAUAGGGAAAAAUUAGGGCCAUUGUGUGGAAUCACUAAUUGAGAAGAUUAAGUUUCUCAUAAAACGAUUUAGUAGAGAGUUUUUGGGUUAGUACGUAAAAACUGAAUUGGAAAAGAGAGGCCUCGGACAGAACAAGGGCCUUAGGAUAACCUCCAUUGUUAGAGCUUGAACGUGCUUUGCCUGGAAAAUCCAAGGUAAAGGGGAUACCUUCAAUAUGGUGUUGCAUGAUAAUUGGAUACGGGAGGUCCUUAAUCCCAUUAGAUUUUCCCCUAAUUUUCCCUUUUGAUGAAUAUGAUGAAUAUGAACUGAUUAGGGUGGGUAGCAUGAAUUAUGUGUUGUAUUAUUAGGAAUUCCUCUUGUAUUGAUUUUACCAUGAGAUUGCGUUUCUUGUUACGUGAAAAAUGGUAUGAGUGGGUGUUUAUAUGCGGUGUUAUAUUUUGAUUAACAAAAAAAACAUUAAUGGGAAACCAUGAUUAAUCAAAGAAAUUUCAUGUUAAUUGAUGGAUAGAUGAGUGUAUAAUGUGUAAUAUUUGUUUUCCUUAAUGUUGUUGAUUGAUUUGAAGCGUAGAAAGGGAAAAUCAGAGUUUUUAAUUGAACUUCGUGGGUGACAAGUGUCCACCCUCAUGAGGACCAGCGUCACGGUCUUUGAGGCACGUUGACGUGGUAGAUCAUCAUGGUCCCUAGGCCCUGUUUGUGGGGCGCGGGGUCAUAUUGAAUGACGAGCAGGUGGUGUGAGCGGCUUAAAGGAUCACUCUGGUGACGGGAUAAACCAUCAUCAUGCCUUCCAAAAUGAAUGUUGUUUGCUCAGUGCAUGUAUCGAGUGUCCAAUUUAGAUUUUGAGGUUGUGUGUGAUUAUGCUAUUGUUUGACCCACUAUUUAGAGGUAUUUUGGUUGUUGUUACUAUUAUUGUAGAAUUAAGCCAAAUAUUAUGUAUUGAGGAAUUGAUGUUGUGUGUAAUUGUUGUGAUUAUAUGUUAUUAAUUUCGUGACAUGUGAAAUCGUUGUGAAAAAUCAUGCAUUCAUGGUAUAACUUCGGUCUAAUUUUUGUGUAACUCUGCGCCGAUGUAGCGGAUUCAGGAGUGAGUUAGCUAGUUCAGGAUGAGAUCGGUGAAGCAUUACUAAAGGUUAGAGCGAAUUUGGUGUGCCCUGUUCUACGGAGGCGAAUUCACAGGAGCGAAGAUGACCUGUGUAUCCAUUAAUCGUAUUGCAUGCUGUAGAGUCUGUCCGUUUGAGUACAUACAUCCAUGUUGGAUUUUUAAUUUAAAUGAUUAUGUUGAUUAUGGGUUGAUUGGAUUACUUAUGUGGUAAUGAGAAUGAAUUAUGUUGAAAUCAUGUGAAAUAAAUAUGUGAUUGUGGAUGUUUCUGUAGACUCCCUUGCAUUUACUUUUGCCACCAUUAUAUAUUCUCUGGCUAUUCUCACCCGUUUGUUAUUUGUGUGAUUCUGUGCUUCUUCUUGACGGUACAGGGAACCCCCCCAAAUUAGGGUAAAAGGAGUAGCUGCUUUAGAAUAUGAAGGGAUGCUGCUAAGUUAUUCUUUUUUUCCCGUUUAUGCGAUAUUUAGACUUUCGUUGCUCUUAUAGUAACACUGGCGCGGCAAAGUUGGUUAUAUUAUUUGGGAUUAUUUGAUUGUUGUUGAUGUGAAGGCAUUAUUCCAGUAAUGAAGUUUAUGUUUGAAAAGAAAUUUGUUAUGAUACUUAUUAUUUGUUGAGUUACUUUAUUUGAUUUAUUUUUGUUGUGAUUAACCAUGUGUAAAGGGAGCAUAUGAUGAUAGAUGUUUGAAUUAUUUCAUGUUUUAUUUAACCCCAUAUUAUGAGAGCCAAGUUUAAUGUUGUGUUUGCAUGACACUCUAUGUGUAUAGUGUUUUUUAAGUUCAUAUUAUUUUUGCGUGUGGGGUUGUUUGGGUGUACAUAGUGUAUUAGAGCAAGUCGGUCCAUCCAACCAGGGUUUUGCUAAUGUUGUAUAUUCCCUAGUAUGCAAUGAGUGUAUGAAUAUUAUCAAUGCAUGUUUCUUUUAAUGUCUGUUUAUUGGGUGAGAAUGUUGGAAGAAACUAGUCGAGCGAUUGUGGUGCUUUGGGAGCCGAUGACUCAGGCACUGCAAGAUCAGGCAGAAUCAGGUGGUGAUUUGAGUUCCAACAUAUUGGGGAAGUUUCAGAGAAACAAUCUUUCAACUUUCAAGGGAAGAUAUGGUCUGGAGGGUCAGUGCGAAACAUGGGCUCAGAGAUAUAAGAGAUAUGGUUCUCGAAAGCAUCAAUGCAUAGACCUAACCAAUUGCAAGUUUCAAGUGCAAUUCAUUCAACAAUACAUUCACUAACAGGAAUUAUGCCACCAGAUCGUAACAUGAAAUCAUUUGCACAGAUGAUAUUGCAUCCAAUUGACCAAAGAAUUAAUACCAUAGUUAUUUCAUAGCAGCCUUUUGAGGUCCAAAAAGUUGCAGUUAAUAGUCUGCAGGUUUGAACACAGCCGGCCUGCAACAGAAAUGCGAAAAGCUAAUUGAAUGUGAUUGUUUUCAACUGCCAUUGUACCUAACUAACAAACCACUGUCUAACAGAUCAUCGUCGAAAAAUGAUGAAACUAAAUCUAACCAGUUCAACAAACAGGUUACAUUGCAAGUUGCUUCUAACAAAACAUGCACUAGCAAAAAUAACAAAAUAUGGAUUUGGAAAUUCCGCAAACUCAACAAAACCUGCCAGUUCAAAACAUGACCUGCCACAGUAAGUCAUAUCAUUUGAUCCAUAGAAAACCUUCAUUCAUCUGGACCUGCCAAUGGCAGUUGGCUAACCAAUUACAACCUUUGCAUUACAAAAACUAACCAACUAACAACGGUUCUAAAUCAAGUCUAACGCUUCAACUGAUUCCAACAUAAAUCACGUGCCCUAGAACUAACAGUGUGAGUCAUAUCUAACUAAUUUGCUUAAUCCAAGUAAUAAGCUUAAACUCUGUUAAUCUCUCAUCAUCUAAUAAAUCACCAUUCACUCUUCAACUUGAGGGCACUCUUCAUUUUCCCAGCAAAUCGAUUUCAAUUUCUUCAAAUUCUCUCAAAUCAUAAAUCUCGCCAAUCACUCAUUUCACUGCACAUUAAUUGAACCACUAUCCUCUCAAUUCUUCACAUGAAAUACCACCAUAGCAAGUAAGGAGGAAGAAGAAGUGAAGCAGAAGAAAGAAGGAGAGAGGAGUUCAGGAUUGAAGAUCAUACCUGCAAUUAUCUCUUGCUACCUCUGCGAAUUGCUCUGAGCUUCGAAAUUACUCUUCUUCUCCGGCAGGCAGUAUCACUCUUCAUCUUUAAUCAUCCACUCUGUUACCAGCAUGUAAGGAAGGCCGAGGAAUCAAAUCCCUAACUAGGGACUGUUGGUUCUCCAAUUUGAGAUUUAUAUUCUUGAUUUUGUUGGUUAGGGCGUCGUAUGGGAUUUCAAACUUGAUUUAGGUUUUAAGUUUGAAAUAGGUGAAAUUGAUGGUGGAUUAUGUUUAGAUCUCGUGGAGUGGAGUUAAUGCGCAUAGAGUUUUUUUGUGUUUGAUUGCUCCGCCGACGUCGCGUGUGAGCUCAGGUUGUGGCGAAGACUUUCUUUGGAAAGGUUGAGAUGAUGAAUGCACUGAAGCCCUUGUGAAACACUAUAUUUGCUUGAGUUUGAUCCCCGAGACUUCUCAUUAGGUGCAAUGGAUAAAUGUUUCCCAUUAAGCCAAUGUUUUUCUUUUGACACCCAUAGAAGUUUCCUACAUCCCCUCUGCUUCAAAGGUAAAAGACCUCGUGGGCGUACUGAAUGGCCUCCUGCGCCCAAAUCUUUUGCAUUUCUGUAUUUGCAAGCAAAACCUUCCGGAUUUCCAUUUUCUUUUAUUUUGUUGCUUUUUUACUUUUUUUUAAAUCAUAUUUGUAGCAUGUGUUUUUUGAUGAAACUAGUAAAGAAUCCGUACGUUCGCCAUGGUCGCGCAAGUGCAUAAUUUAUUUAAAAAAUUACAAAUAUAAUAUAUUUUUUGUUUAUAAUAUAUAUAUAUAUAAUAUAUUAAUAUAUAUAUAUAUAUAUAUAUAUAUAUAUAUAUAUAUAUAUAUAUAUUAUAUAUAUAAUAUAGUUGAUCAAACGCUACACAAUUAUUGCCAUAACGAGUUUUUAAUGUAAUGCGAUGUUAAUGAUCAAUAAAUGGAUUACAAAAAAUUCCACAAAUAACUUUUUCCCAGAAUUGGAACAUAAUAAAGUAAAACAUUAUUAUUUAUGUAAAUAAAUUUGCUUAAUUUUUUUGUAUACUUAUUAAGAAAUAAUCAAAAAAUAUAAUACAAAAAUAUUUUUACAAUUUAUUGAUAUAUGAUAUAAGAAACAUUCAUUGUUAAUUUAUGAAUAAACAUUCCAUUUCAUCAUUGAGAUUUUGGACCUAAGAAAUAAAAAUAUAUUUAUUUAGUAAUGAAUGAAUUUUCCAAUUGUUUACAAUUGAGGAUAAAAGCGCCAAAUUUAACCUUCAUAAUAAAUGAUUAUUUAACCAAAAUACAUAAAUCAUGGUAAAAGAAAUACCAGAACCUCAUUUGUUUUAAAAAUAGUAAUGAAUACUACCAAAUGUUGAAAUUAAUGCAAUUGAUACAGCUAAGGUAUAAUGCACAACAAAAGAUAUUAAACAAAAAGGUGGUCCAAUUUUUAGUUUAAAUUGUGAGGAAAAGGUCCAGCCAACAAAAUGAUUUAACUGCGUACAAUUCUUUGCGUCUUUAAAAACUGAAUAUUUAUACAAAACCUGCCCGAACCUUUUAGGAUUAGGUGCCUUCGAGAACAACCUUGGUAGCCAUAAAUUAAAACCAUCCAUACUUGGUGAGACAACAAAUUUCAUGUGGUUGCCUACGGUAACACAUAAAGUUUCCUAAAAGCAAUCAAAAAUGAUAUUAAGUUCAAAAAAACAAAAUAAAUUUAAUAGUAAAGAUAAAUUCGGCUCUAUAUAUUCAACUUAAUGUUUGAUUUUGCAGAACUGACUUAAGACAUACAUUCGCAUUAUGAACAACAUUUCUACUGGCGAAUACUGAAGAACUACCAGAACCAAUAGAGAAAGAGAUUUUGCAGAAUUUAGUAGGUUUCUCUUCUGAUUCAUUAGUAGGCAACCUAUAGAAAUAAGCAUUGUUUUUGAAAUUAAAAAUUAUGUAUUAAAAUUUGAAUAUAAAUAAAUAAAAAAAUCCAUACUUAGACAUAAAAUCUUGAAUUUCAGGGAUGUCUCAUUUAUCAACAAUUUUGGAACCACUCCAUGCAUUAGACACUGUAAAUUGUAUAAUUAAUAUAAAAAUUAUUGAACGUAUAAUGAAAAAUACAAAUCAGCUCUGUAUUAUAUAAAGCUCUGAUAGCUGUAAUACUUGGGCCAAUCUUUUACCAUUGCUGAGUGAAACAGAAUUACAUAGCUCCAUUGUUUUAGGAUCAUGUAGUAAGCAAAAAUUUUUGAUCCAUAGAUUUCCCAUAAAUUGCCAAGUUAUGCAGUUACCCAUUUUUGCAAUAUAAAUAAACAAUAUAUAUGAUGGGAUUCAGUGAUGCAAAAUAUAUAAAUUUAUCAACACAUAAGUUAUGAAAACAAUGCGCAUUACUUCAAAUUCUUUCAGCACAACAGAAACAAACAACUAUUCUCCGCCGAGUGUUGGAUUGAGAUAUGGUUGUAUCUCGACUAACAACACCACUAAUAUCUACAUUUAAAGUAAGUUCAUUAUUUGAAUGUGUUUGCCAAAUAUUAUAAGUUGUAUAUAGUUAUAAUAGAAUUUAAAUUACCUUUCCAGGGCUAUCGGUUUUGCAUUUGCCUUGAAGUAUCUCACCAAAAUCUUUAAAGAAAUAUCCUUUAGGUGGAAUAUUUUGAAAGUGUCGAUUGCCUUCAAUUUGUGCUACCCAAGAAACAUAAUUUUUUUGAAUAUACACAACUUCCACUGAAAAAUGCAUGUUAUAGACACCAGCCAUGUUUAUAAUGCAGGGUUAUUUCUCCUGAAUGCCUAUUUCCAUUUUAGUUAAAUGGUAUGACGAAUAAGGACCUGAAUGCCGAUCACCCUACCAAAAUGAAAAUACUCUUCUUUUUAUAUGAUAUACAAAAAAGCAUUUGUUGCUAAUGACUAACUAUCAUACAAAAAUCUAUACUUUAAAAAAGAAAAGCAAUUUACCAAGGUAAUCCAUAACAUCAUCUCCAAAUGUUCAAUACCCGUUAUUUUUCACAACAUCCAAACAUCCAUUAUUCGAACAGCAAGAGCCAAAUUUCUUUAAGUCAUUGAUGCUUUCACAGAAUAACCUUUCUACUCAUUUUCACUGAAAAAAAAUUCAAAAAAUUAAUGUAACUGCAAAUUAAUGACUAUAAAUUACAAAACCUAAUAACCUGGAAAAAAAAAAGAGUAUAUAAAUUUGAUAGCAGGUGUGUUUGGCCAAAAUGCUGAAAAGGAAAUCCAACCUUUGAUGAUUACACAUAUAUAACAUCGUUGUUGAUUGAUAUAAGUUAUUUAUAAAUCUAUAAUUUAAAUUUAAAAAAUUAACUAUUUAAUAUAGUUGAUUAAUAUUAAUGAGUAUUUAAUAUAUUGAAUUGUACCUACAAUUAAUUAUUAUUAUGUUAUUCAUUAUUGUUGAUAUAUAUAUAAAAGUAUUCUUAUCACAUCAAAUCAAAUCAAAUAAUAAAUAUACUAUUUAAAUAUUUUAAAAAAUAUUCUUAUCAUAUUAUGGGGUAAAUAUCAAAAUAAAUAAUAACAAAUAAUAAUAAUUAAUUCGUAGGUAAUAAACAAUAAUAAAUUACUCAAUUAAGGAUUAAUCAACUAUAUUAAAUAGUUAUUUUAAUUUUAAAGUUAUAAUUUAAUAACAUAUAAAUUAUACAAUGUUAAAUAUUCAUUUUGUCAUUAAAAAAAUCACAGUAAACGAUAAUAUUUGGCCAAAAAAACUACAAUAAUAAGUAAUUUGAUUUCAGAAUAUUGAUUUAUUUUGGAAUGAUAAGAUUUGCCCAACAACAAUAAAAUAAGGGUAAUAUUUUUAGGUAGUAUAAAUAGGUAAUUUAUUUUAUNUCAGGGAUGUCUCAUUUAUCAACAAUUUUGGAACCACUCCAUGCAUUAGACACUGUAAAUUGUAUAAUUAAUAUAAAAUUAUCUGAACGUAUAAUGAAAAUACAAUCAGCUUGUAUUAUAUAAAGCUCUGAUAGUGUAAUACUGGCGGCAAUCUUUUACCAUUGCCUGAGCUGAACAGAAUUACAAUAGCUCCAUUGUUUUAGGAUCAUGUAGUAAGCAAACAAAAUUUUGAUCCAUAGAUUUCCCAUAAAAUUGCAAGUUAUGCAGUUACCCAUUUUUGCCAAUAUAAUAAACAAUAUAUAUGAUGGGAUUCAGUGAUGCAAAAUAUAUAAAUUUAUCAACACAUAAGUUAUGAAAACAAUGCGCAUUACUUCAAAUUCUUUCAGCACAACAGAAACAACAACUUUCCUCCGCCGGAGUGUUGGAUUGAAGAAUAUGGUUAUUCGACUAACAAAACCACUAAUAUCUACAUUAAAGUAAGUUCAUUAUUGAAGUGUGGUUUGCAAAUAUAUAAGUUUAUAUAGUUAUAAUAGGAAUUUAAAUUACCUUUCCAGUGCUAUCGGUUUUGCAUUUGCCUUGAAGUAUCUCACCAAAAUCUUUAAAGAAAUAUCCUUUAGGUGGAAUAUUUUGAAGGUCGAUUGCCUUCAUUGUGCGUACCACCAGAAACAUAAUUUUUUGAAAUAUACACAACCUUCCACUGAAAAAUGCAUGUAUGACACCAGCCAUUGUUAUAAUGCAGGCUUAUUUCUCCUGAAUGACCUAUUUCCAUUUUAGUUAAAUGUUGAGAAUAAGACCUGAAUCCGAUCACCCUAACAAAAUGAAAAUACUCUUCUUUUUAUAUUGUAUACAAAAAAGCAUUUUGUUGUAAUGACUUAACUAUCAUACAAAAUCUAUACUUUAAAAGAAAAGCAAUUUACCAAGGAAUCCAUAACAUCAUCUCCAAAUGUUCAAUACCCUUAUUUUUCACAACAUCCAAACAUCCAUUUUCAACAGCAAGACGCCAAGUUUCUUUUGUCAUUGAUGCUUUACAGAAUCAACCUUUCUACUCAUUUUCACUGAAAAAAAAUCAAAAAUUAAUGUAACUGCAAAUUAGAUGACUAUAAAUUACAAACCUAAUAACCUGGAAAAAAAAAAGAGUAUAUAAAUUUGAUAGAGGUGUGUUCUGCCAAAAUGCUUGGAAAAGGAAAUCCAACCUUUGAUGUUACACAUAUAUAACAUCGUUUUGAUUGAUAUAAUUAUAUGUUAUUAUUAAAUUAUAAUUUUAAAUUAAAAAAUAACUAUUUAAUAUAGUUAUUAAUAUUAAUGAGUAAUUUAAUAUUAUUGUUAAUUUACCUACAAUUAAUUAUUAUUAAUUGUUAUUAUUAUUGUUGAAUAAUAUAUAAAAGUAUUCUUAUCACAUCAAAUCAAUCAAAAUAAAUAUUACUAUUUAAAUUUUUAAAAAAUAUUCUUAUCAUAUUAUGGGGUAAAUAUCAAUAAAUAAUAAACAAAUAAUAAUAAUUAAUCUGUAGGUAAUUAACAAUAAUAAAUUACUCAAUAAUGAUUAAUCAACUAUAUUAAAUAGUUAUUUUUAAUUUUAAAGUUAUAAUUUAAUAACAUAUAAUAUACAAUUAAAUAUUCAUUUUGUCAUUAAGAAAAUCAAGUAACGAUUAAUAUUUGGCCAAAAAAACUACAAUAAUAAUGUAAUUUGAUUUCAAGAAUAUUGAUUUAUUUUGGAAUGAUAAGAUUUGCCAACAACAAUAAAAUAAGGGUAAUAUUUUUUUAGUAGUAUAAAUAGAGUGUUCAGUACGAAAAUUUUACUUAUAGGAACAUGAAAGUAGCUGUAUUAUGGAUUUGUAUUAGAUGGCUAAUUUAAGUAAAUGUAGGUGGUGAAUUAACUUUUAUAUUAAAAGUAGAUGAGUAGUGGAAACUACAUAUUGAUUUUAUAUUCACAUUUUUAGUAGUUUAAUAGUAAAUAGUGUAUUAAUGUUCUUAGUUUUUAGAAUUAAUAAGUUAAUUCAUGAUUAGUAUGUUGAUUAAGGAAAUAUGAUCUUUUUUUAGAAUUUUUUUUUGUAGAUAAUUGGUUGAUCAAUCACAAAACCAUGUUCCCCUGUUCCUACGGCUAUUAUUAGAAUUAGGAUAGUAUUAAAUUUGGGACCAAUCAUUAGUUUUGGAUCACUAAUUCCUUGUGUAGGAUUAAUCAAACUUGAUUUUUACCCUCAUUGAUUAAGUUGAUCAAAGUUUAAAAUUUUGGAAUUCAAAAACUUAAAUUUUCCUUUUAUUUCAUGUGCCUUAUUUCCCCCAAAUUUCCUCUUUCUUUCCUUGGUGUUGUAGUAUAAAUAGAGUUUAGUACGAAAUUACUUAUAGGAACAUGAAAGUAGCUGUAUUAUGGAUUGUAAUUAGGGUAAUUAAGUAAUUAUGGUGGUAAUUAACUUUUAUAUAUUAAAAGUAGAUGAGUAGAAACUACAUAAUUGAUUUUAAUUCACAUUUUUAGAGUAAUAGUAAAUAAGUGUAUUAAUGUUUCUUAGUUUUUAGAAUUAAUUAAGUUUAAUCAUGAUUAGUAUGUUGAUUAGAAUAUUGAUCUUUUUUAGAAUUGUUUUUUUUGUAGUUAAUUGGUGAUCAAUACACAACCAUGUUCCCCUAGUCCUACGCUAAUUAUUAGAAUUAGGAUUAGUUUAAUUUGACCAAUCAUUAGGUUUUGGAUCACUAAUUCCUUGUGUAUGAUUAAUCAACUGAUUUUUACCCUCAUUGAUUAAGUUGAUCAAAGUUUAAUUUGAUCAACUAAAUCCUUUAUCAUGUGCCUAUUCCCCCAAUCUUUUCAAGUGAUCAAAAGUCUCUUGAUCACUUGAUGAGACUAGCCCUCUGUAUUGGAGCUGCAUUGUAUCUCAAGACCUUAAUUCAAGUACAAGACUUCACACCUCAAGUCAAUACAAGUCAUUCAUUGCAAACAAAUUGUACAAUGGGCUACUAUUCAAGCACAACAAAGGUCGUGUAUCAACAUUGUCAAUUACAAUUCGAAUUAUGUGCCAUGAGCCUUAAACAGUAGAGAAGGGGCUAGAGGGAGCAUUCUUAUCCUCAUUCUGAAUAUCUUUGGAUACAUGAUGAAUGACACAGUUGCUCAGAGUAUUCACCUUUAUUCAUAGACUUUAGUGAAAUCCGAAUCAAAUGAAUGUCAAGUCUCUUUCUUCACAAGCAACAUUUCAUCAUAAGGAGCAACAAGCAUAAUCUUCUUCAGCAACUUGUCAGUUAUGAUGAGGAUUACAUGCCAUAAGACUUAAGUAGUAAAGAAGGGGUGAGAGGGAGUAUUCUUAUCCUCAUUCUGAAUAUCUUUGGAUAUGGGACGAAUGAUCCAGCUGCUCAGAGUAUUCACCUCUACUCAUAGACUUUAGUAUGGUUCAAGUCAAGUGACUGUCACUGAGUGCUAAUGUGACAUGGUUCUCCACAGUUAAAGCAAGUCAGAACAUUGCUCAUACAAUCAGCAAUAUGGUGUAUUGGAUUCCCAUACUUGAAACAUUUCUGAAAAGAACUCUUGCUUUUGAUAGAAACAGAAGUGCCUUCCCCACUUGUCUCUUUCCCACCUAAAGCCUUCUUCUUCCCUUUAUUGGAUGGAGCCCCAUAAGGUUUUGCAUAAUUUUGAUUUCCACCUUUCUUCUUACUAAUACUCUUAUAUUGAGCAGAUCUAGCACGACUAUCUUCAUCAUAAACACUACACUUAUUAACCAACACAGAGAACUGCCGAAUCUCUUAGUAUUUGAUGAAUUUCUUGAUCUCUAGAUGCAAGCCACUUUCAAACUUGAUACACUUAGAACCCUUAGCUUAUACCCCAUUGUAAUGCAGAAAAAACCUAGAAAACUCCUCAAACUUCACAACACAAUCAACAACUGUCAUGUUUCCUUGUUUUAGCUCAAGGAACUUGAUCUCAUUCCUACUACAUGCGUCAGUAGGAAAGUACUUCUUAAGGAACUUAGUCUUGAAUUUUUCCCAGGUUACCUCAAUGCCUGCAACUUCAAGUCUAUGAGAAGCAUUGUCCCACUAAUACUCUGUUUACUCAGCCAACAUAUUAGUACCAAAUAGAACCUUAUGCUCAUUUGAACAAGCCAUCACCUUGAAGAUCUUCUCAAUCUCUUGCGCCCCAUCUUGAGCACCUUCGAGGUCGUACCUCCCUUUAAAUGUUGGGGGAUUCUUCCUCUGAAACUUACCCAUCCCACAUAAUUCAUCAACUAUCCUAUAUUGGUCAUGCAAUGCCUGAUUCGCCUGACCCAUCACGUGAUCCAUAACCUCAAAAGCAUCAGCGAUUGCACAAUUAAUUCUUCAAGUCAUUUCCCUGAAUUUCCAGCAUACAACCAUUAGAAGAAAAAUUGCGUCGAUAAUAUUUAUACACGUGUCAUAUACUAGACAACAAAUAACAUCACAAAACCCGAUCGGAUAAACCAACUAGGCUCUGAUACCACUACGUAACACCCUAAAAACCUGACUCUUAAUUUAAAGGAAUAAAACCAUCAUAUUAGGAUGCUACUCAAACAUAACAUGCAUGUUUUCCAAAUAACUUCAAAACUCGUAGUGAAACUCAAGAUAAAUCACAUAAACUUCCAUUAUCUCUUCAAAUAAAGUGCUAAAUGAAAUUAACAAAAUUGAAACAUUAACUCAACAAUUUAAGUGACUUGUUCCCUGAUGUUACAAAUCAAAGCAAUAGUUCCAACUAAACGACGAUAAAACAAUAAAGAAAAUGAAGAGAGCUUCUUAGUCCUCUUCCAACUCAUAAUAAUACUUACUUCUCCUGAGUAUUUGUACCAUAUUGUACAUUACAACAACAAAAAAAUAAGAAAGGUGUGAAAAUAUGCUCAAAUAUAUUAACUUAUGUAAAAGAAUGCAAGGAUAGCUUAAAUCACACAUUCAAUUUACACAACAAUAAACACACAUAGCCUUUAUGUAUGCAAUGUGACUCACAAUUCGACUCAAUUAUCAUUUCAUCAUCAUGAUAAUUCACCUUAAUUAAUUAAAUUCAUCAAAUACACCAAAAUUGCAACCAAACAUCAACCACACGAGAAAACAGUAUCAAAAACUUGACCAAAGCAUAAAAGCUGUCUCUGACAAUCGUGGCGGUUAACCUGUCACCAGGGCGACGACCGUCAGCCAGCCAAUCACUCCCUUUCCUCACAAACUCGUCACUCAGGUGACGAUCAACAAAGAAUUAUUUCUUGGGGACCAUGAUGGUUAGCCCGUAACUCAGCUGGCGUCCGUUAACCCCUUCAGACGUAUGACGGACAUCCUGUCACGUUGUUUCAGAAAACCAGAACAUGUGUUUGGGCCAUCAGGGCUCAUUCGAAGCUCUAAUUUCGACCCAUAGCACCCAAAAUCAUACAAAAUUAAUAUAUACAUAUUAUACAACAAUUAGACAUCACAUAUGCAUAAAUUAUUAUCCAAAUUCAUCAAUUAAUCAUGAAUUCAAUACUUUGUUCAUAAAACCAAACACACAACAAUGGUAGUGAUAACAUUAAGAUCCAUACUCAUUCAUUAUACAUAAAAUUCAGCAAUACUCGAAGCACACAUUUAUACAAUAAACAUGGCUAUUAGCAUGUAUUUUAUAUGAUCAUAAUAAAAAACUCAUAAAGUACAACAUUGGUGAAAAAUACUUAGAGGAGGGUGAUGAUCCAACUCUACCCUUCAUGCAAUAACACAUAUAUUAUAGUAGUCCCUCUACCUAAAUUUCCAACAACCAAACAAGUUUAAUUAUGGUGUUCUUCUUCUCCCUCAAGUCUUUGUUCUCCUCCUCUCACACUUGCCUCCUUUUCCAACUUGCACAACUUCUUCGUAUGAAUAAUUUUGGCUCCACUCACAUACUCUAUUUAUUUUAACCUAAAAAUUGUAUUUAAGUUAAUUAUCACACUUCUACACCUCAACUUUUGUGUACUCCCUCCUUACUACCCAUACUUUACCAAAAUUCUAAUUUCUACCCCCAAUCUCACUAUUUCUCUUAUUUUAUUAUUAUUCUAUUACUAUAAUUAAAUAAACCAUCCCAAAUUCCCAUAAACCCGACAAAAUAUCACAUAAAUCACAUAAUUCAUCUAUACGUAUAGAUAAAGGGGAUACAACUAUUUGGAGUGGCCUAUUUUUCUCCCAAUUUUACCCUUAGAUUUUUUAAUUCUUUUUAUCCAAUAAUAAUAAUAAUAUGUGGCACUCAUACCAUCCUACACUUAUGGAACAGUUUAACAAAAUAUUUCACUUUAUAACUUCUGACAUCACCGUUGAACUUCCGACAUCACCGCAUCCAACGGCCAACCUUCGCGAUUGAACUGCCUUGUCAGAAACUUCUUGAAGGUACGUGAAAUUCUAACUUCUAUCUAUGACUUCUUUGCUUUAUGUAUUUCGAAAGCAACACUGGAAUUUUCGUUAGGAUUCGUUCAUAUUUGUAUAAUCAACUUUUUUCACUUAUUUAUAGUCCUCCAUUCUGCAAUUGUGAAAGUGGAAAAGAAAAGUGCAUUAACAAAAAGAAAUAAGGUUCAAAGUUUAUGGUGUGAGAUUUGUCAUAUUAGCACUUUUUCAAAAGCUGUGAUGUUCAUAUAUUUAGGUACUCAUGUAAAUAUCACAUGUAAACAUUAUAGGAGUUAUAAAGUUAUAAAGUUACACAUUUUAUGACUUCUUAUAUGUAAAAAUAUAUGAACGGGACAAACAUUAUAGAAGUUACUUUAUAAAACGUGUAAUUAUUAUAGAAAAAGCAUUAAGAAAUUAGUAACUUCUAUAUAGUGGUAUACUAAUUAAUUAUAAUUAUGAUGUUUUUAAUUAUUACGUUUUAAUUAAAAUGUUUAAAAUAACCAAUUACGUAUAAUUAUGAUUAUUUACACAGAGUUUAUAAAACGUGUUUAAUAAUUCUUUUUCUGUAAUUAAAACGUUUAAAAUAACCAAUUAUUUAUUGAUGUUUACACGUUUAUAAUUAUGAUGUUUUUAAUAGUUCCUAAUUUAUAAACUCUAUAUUAUAUUAAUUAAAAAGCAUUAAGAAAUUAGUACCACUUUGUAUGUUCAUAUAUUUAGGUACUCAUGUACCGGUUAUUUUUAAUAACCACGUUUUACUAAUUAGUACCUUCGGACAAAUUAUUUAAAAUACCUUUCACAUAAUUAUUUGGACGGGACAAACAUUAUAGAAGUUAUUUUAAUAAUAAAUUAAUAAUUAAGAGAGACAAAAUUUCAUAUGAGUACCUUCGGACAAAAGACCACCUAUAUAUUUAGGUAACGGCCUAAACAAAAUGCAACGGACAGAAUCCACAACUGAUUUAGCGGGGGUGUGAUGUUCACAACUUAAAUUGAUUUAAUGGACUGACAUACUAUAAUAAUUUAAUUAUUAAUUAAUUAUUAAAAUAAUUAGUUGAACGAAAUAUUAAUUAAUAAAUUGGUGGAAAUUUUGGGUAACAUAAUAUUUUAUUACUUAAAAGAAAACAAUAUUAACGUAUUUUGGGUAACAUAAUAUUUUAUUACUUAAAAGAAAACAAUAUUAACGUAUUUUGGGUAACAUACAAAGUGUAAUGCUUAUUUUAAUAUAUUUUCAUAAUUUGAAUAAUAAAAUCAUCUUAUUCACUGCAACACUUAUUUUAACGUAUUUUAAAUAAAGUGUAAUACAAUAAUAUAUUACAUAAUUAUUACAUAAGUGAUAUAUUUAAUGUAUUUUAACUGUGUUAGAUUAAGUAGAAAUAAUUUAAUUAUUAAAGUUAUUUUGAAUGCGCAAAUUCAAUAUUAUGUGGAAAAAAACGGAAAUGAAAUCUCACUAAAAAAUUUAUCAACAUUUAUGUAGGUUAUUUGCGGAAAUCAACAACAUAUUUAAAUUUAUAGUAUACUUAAAAUUGUGUGGUGUUCUUAUAAAAACCCUCAAAGUUUAAUGCAGAAACAUGAAAAAGAUGCAUGACUCAAUUGAAGUUACUGAAAUAAUUUAAAGUUUCUGGAAAAGUAACCAAAAGAGAUAAAAAAUAUUUUAAAAAUGUAAGGGAAUAGAAAGUGUUAAAGAGAAGAAAAAUAUCACUACAGUGAGCUGAAUUAGAAAGGAAAAGGAAAGCACAUAGAGAUGCAAGAAGUGGGAGAUUAGGAUUGAAGCAAGUCAUAGUGAGUAGUUGUGUUCUAAAGGAUAAAGAUGUUUUGAAGAAUUGAUAAACUAAACUUGAGAAAAGUGUAAACUUUGAAGAGAUAAAGUAAAAAUGGAGCCUAGGUAGUAACAGGUAUAAAUGCUUCUUUCACACGUGGCUGACAUGCAAGUGAUAACUUAAACUCAUUUACAAGUAUAAGUGCAUAUUUUGUAGACACAUGAACAAUAUAAUGUGACUAGAAUCUGUUGCAUCCAUUGAUCAUUUAAGAUACAUAUAGAAACACCCCACACCACUAACAAAAAUAAGAAAUGAUAAGUAACAAAAUACAAACGACUAUAACUUCAAAAUAUUUGUAUAAUCAACUUUGUGAUAUGCUCUUUCAUAUUUNNNNNNNNNNNNNNNNNNNNNNNNNNNNNNNNNNNNNNNNNNNNNNNNNNNNNNNNNNNNNNNNNNNNNNNNNNNNNNNNNNNNNNNNNNNNNNNNNNNNNNNNNNNNNNNNNNNNNNNNNNNNNNNNNNNNNNNNNNNNNNNNNNNNNNNNNNNNNNNNNNNNNNNNNNNNNNNNNNNNNNNNNNNNNNNNNNNNNNNNNNNNNNNNNNNNNNNNNNNNNNNNNNNNNNNNNNNNNNNNNNNNNNNNNNNNNNNNNNNNNNNNNNNNNNNNNNNNNNNNNNNNNNNNNNNNNNNNNNNNNNNNNNNNNNNNNNNNNNNNNNNNNNNNNNNNNNNNNNNNNNNNNNNNNNNNNNNNNNNNNNNNNNNNNNNNNNNNNNNNNNNNNNNNNNNNNNNNNNNNNNNNNNNNNNNNNNNNNNNNNNNNNNNNNNNNNNNNNNNNNNNNNNNNNNNNNNNNNNNNNNNNNNNNNNNNNNNNNNNNNNNNNNNNNNNNNNNNNNNNNNNNNNNNNNNNNNNNNNNNNNNNNNNNNNNNNNNNNNNNNNNNNNNNNNNNNNNNNNNNNNNNNNNNNNNNNNNNNNNNNNNNNNNNNNNNNNNNNNNNNNNNNNNNNNNNNNNNNNNNNNNNNNNNNNNNNNNNNNNNNNNNNNNNNNNNNNNNNNNNNNNNNNNNNNNNNNNNNNNNNNNNNNNNNNNNNNNNNNNNNNNNNNNNNNNNNNNNNNNNNNNNNNNNNNNNNNNNNNNNNNNNNNNNNNNNNNNNNNNNNNNNNNNNNNNNNNNNNNNNNNNNNNNNNNNNNNNNNNNNNNNNNNNNNNNNNNNNNNNNNNNNNNNNNNNNNNNNNNNNNNNNNNNNNNNNNNNNNNNNNNNNNNNNNNNNNNNNNNNNNNNNNNNNNNNNNNNNNNNNNNNNNNNNNNNNNNNNNNNNNNNNNNNNNNNNNNNNNNNNNNNNNNNNNNNNNNNNNNNNNNNNNNNNNNNNNNNNNNNNNNNNNNNNNNNNNNNNNNNNNNNNNNNNNNNNNNNNNNNNNNNNNNNNNNNNNNNNNNNNNNNNNNNNNNNNNNNNNNNNNNNNNNNNNNNNNNNNNNNNNNNNNNNNNNNNNNNNNNNNNNNNNNNNNNNNNNNNNNNNNNNNNNNNNNNNNNNNNNNNNNNNNNNNNNNNNNNNNNNNNNNNNNNNNNNNNNNNNNNNNNNNNNNNNNNNNNNNNNNNNNNNNNNNNNNNNNNNNNNNNNNNNNNNNNNNNNNNNNNNNNNNNNNNNNNNNNNNNNNNNNNNNNNNNNNNNNNNNNNNNNNNNNNNNNNNNNNNNNNNNNNNNNNNNNNNNNNNNNNNNNNNNNNNNNNNNNNNNNNNNNNNNNNNNNNNNNNNNNNNNNNNNNNNNNNNNNNNNNNNNNNNNNNNNNNNNNNNNNNNNNNNNNNNNNNNNNNNNNNNNNNNNNNNNNNNNNNNNNNNNNNNNNNNNNNNNNNNNNNNNNNNNNNNNNNNNNNNNNNNNNNNNNNNNNNNNNNNNNNNNNNNNNNNNNNNNNNNNNNNNNNNNNNNNNNNNNNNNNNNNNNNNNNNNNNNNNNNNNNNNNNNNNNNNNNNNNNNNNNNNNNNNNNNNNNNNNNNNNNNNNNNNNNNNNNNNNNNNNNNNNNNNNNNNNNNNNNNNNNNNNNNNNNNNNNNNNNNNNNNNNNNNNNNNNNNNNNNNNNNNNNNNNNNNNNNNNNNNNNNNNNNNNNNNNNNNNNNNNNNNNNNNNNNNNNNNNNNNNNNNNNNNNNNNNNNNNNNNNNNNNNNNNNNNNNNNNNNNNNNNNNNNNNNNNNNNNNNNNNNNNNNNNNNNNNNNNNNNNNNNNNNNNNNNNNNNNNNNNNNNNNNNNNNNNNNNNNNNNNNNNNNNNNNNNUAUAUAUAUAUUAUAUUAUAUUACAUUUCAUAAUUUUGUUCGCUUUCACCUAAUCAACGAAACAACACGAGUCAAUCUGAUACAAGUAUAAGUGAUAUAGUUCUAAGUAUGCGAGUAUUAAUUUUUACAAAUGUAUAUAUAUUAAUUAUUAUUUUUGUAUCAGAUGAUAUGGAUGUUCAUGAAGCUUUGGAGGAUGCAAUAAUAUCAUAUGUUAACAUGGACGCCAGAGAAAAUGGUGCAUUAUCACGUCGUCCUCAAGGUAUGUUCGUAAAAUUUUUGCUUCAAAUAAAUGUAGCCUUUGCUCAUGUGACGUAAAAUUUAAAAUCAUGCAAUAUUAAAAUAUAAUAAUUGAGGCAUCUUGCAAUAUAUUUUUUAUUUGUAUUUUAGAUUUUAGAUAAUAUUUAGUAAUCAAUAUCAAACUCCUACCUGUAGAAUCAGGACAUGCUUUUUGAGCAAAGCACAAUAUUGCUCGAAAUUUCAAAAAUAAUAUGAUGAUGGCAAAAUCCCGGUUGCCUCAUCCAUUUACCUGUAGACACUGCAAUGCAAGAUUGUUUCAUCAUGAAUCACGUGACACGUGUUGUAAUGGUGGAAAGGUAUCAUUCUCACGAGUUGAUGCUCCUAUAGAAUUGCAACAAUUAUUUUUGGAUGGUUCAGCUGAAGGAAAACAUUUUAGGCAACAUAUUCGAAGUUAUAACCAUGUGCUUUCAUUCACUUCAAUUGGUGUUCAUGUUGAUGAGAAUAUUCUUGCAUCUGGUCGUGGUAUAUACACAUUUCGUGCUCAAGGUGCCUUUUACCAUAACAUAGGAGGUUUCUAUCCAAAUGAGGGUGUCAGGUCACGUUUCUUACAACUAUACAUCUACGACACCGAUAAUGAGCUACAUAAUAGAAUGCAGGAAAACCCACAGCUGCACCAAAAUGUAGUUCACAAAUUAUAGAAAAUGCUCCAUCAAUUUAAUCCUUUUGUAAUUAGGUUCAAGCAACUUUCAAUACUUCCAAAUAUCAGUGAAUGUAGCCUCAUACUUAAGGAGCGUCCAAGUAAUCACCAUCAAUACAAUCUUCCAACUGCUGAAUAAGUUGCGGCAAUUAUUGUUGGAUGUGAUGCAGAUUCUAUGGACUAUGGAAGGGAUAUUAAUGUCAUUCGUUGUGAUGGAAAUCUCAAGAAAGUUCAAGAGACAAAGGGAUAUUAUGAUCCUUUGCAAUACCCUGUACUAUUUCCAUUUGGGACGCAUGGUUGGGACAUCAACACAACAAAUUGCAAUGGACGAAGAGUGUCAUGUCGAGCAUAUUACAGUUACAUGCUUCAGGUAAAUUUGGAUUAAUUUUAGUAGAUAAUCUAUACGCAUGGUUGGGACAUCAACACAACAAAUUGCAAUGGACGAAGAGUGUCAUGUCGAGCAUAUUACAGUUACAUGCUUCAGGUAAAUUUGGAUUAAUUUUAGUAGAUAAUCUACUUAGCUAAGUGUUAUUUAAAAAACUUUACAUUUAACACCGACAUUUUUUUCAAUCAACUGUAGAUUCACCCAAAUGAUCAAUCAAUAUUGUUAAAUGCGGGUCGACUGUUGCAACAAUAUGUUGUAUACAAUUAUGUCAAAAUUGAAUCAGGGAGAUUAAGGUGGAUUAAAGAGCACCAAAGUGAUAUAUGUUCUGAAUUGUACCAAGGUUUACAUGAUGCUUUGCAUGUUGGUGAAACUAAUACAGGUACAAAUUCAUAUAGCAUAAAUAUACAGUUUUAGAUUAAUAAUUAGCUGUACUUCUAAUGCUAAUAAUUCAUAUAUUCUAAUACUAAUGCAUUUCAUGAAUCAUCUUAGAGAACAUUGGAAAAAGAACAAUAUUGCCAUCAUCAUUUAUUGGCGGUCGUCGAGACAUGACACAACGUUAUGAAGAUGGCAUGGCUAUUGUUCUUAAUGGCGGUAAACCAAAUAUUUUUCUAACAAUGACAUGCAAUCCUUCUUGGAGUGAGAUAACAUCAGAACUUUUGCCUUUUCAAACACCACAAGAUCGUCCAGAUUUGCUAACAAGAAUAUUUCGUUCGAAAUUUGAGAAAUUGAAGGAUGAUGUUAUUAAUAAAGGAGUCUUGGGUAAAGUUAAAAGCUACAUGUAUGUCACUGAAUUUCAAAAGCGAGGACUGCCGCAUGUGCAUAUGUUGUUGGUCUUAGAAAGUAACGAUAAGUUGCGUGACCCAAAAGAUUAUGAUAGUAUGGUAAGAGCAGAAAUACCUAAAUUAGAAUGUGAACCACAGUUGCAUGAAGCUGUUGUAAGACAUAUGAUCCACGGACCUUGCGGCAUAAUCAACCGAAAGUCUCCAUGUAUGAAAGACGGACAUUGUAAAAAAAGGUAUCCCAAACAGUUCUUGGAUGAAACACGUCAAGGCACUGACUCAUAUCCCGAGUAUAGGAGAAGGUUUGAUGAGUCUGUAUCGUUAGGUAAAGAUAGGUCUGUCGAUAAUAGAUGGGUGGUUCCUUAUAACCCUUGGUUACUGUUAAAGUAUGACUGUCACAUCAAUGUAGAGAUUUGCAGUAGCAUUAAAAGUAUCAAGUAUCUAUACAAAUAUGUGUACAAGGGCCCUGAUCGUGUGGCUAUGGAGGUUCAUAAAGGAUCAUACAUGGAUGAAGUUCAGCAAUAUGUUGAUGCAAGAUGGAUUUGUGCUCCCGAGGCAUUAUGGAAAAUAUUUCGAUUCACUCUUUACCGAUUAUAUCCUUCGGUUGAAAGAUUGCAGAUCCACUUGCCGAACCGCCAUCAAGUGCGCUUUUAUGAUCAUCAGCAAAUUGCAGAUGUGUUAAAUAAUGAACGCAACUCCAAAACAAUGCUCACACAAUUCUUUGCAUUGAAUCUACGAGAUCCACAAGCAAGAAAGUAUCUGUAUAGAGAGAUUCCAGAGCAUUAUUGUUGGAACAAGCGGGAUAUGGAAUGGCAUCAUAGGCGAUCAACAAGAAAAGUUAUCGGGAGAAUCUAUACGGUAUCACCUUCGGAGGGAGAUAAGUUUUACUUGCGACUGUUGUUAUCGCAUGUCACAGGUCCAACCAGUUGGGAAUAUCUUCUUACAAAUAAUGGCAUGACUUUCAGUACAUUCAAAAAAUCAGCCGAGGAUAGGGGAUUUCUAGAGACUGAUCAUAGUAUUCGUGAUUGUUUGGUUGAGGCUACGAGUCUCCGAAUGCCAUAUGCUUUACGAAGGUUAUUCGUGACGAUUUUAAUAUUUUGUGAACCUACUGAUGUUAGAGGCCUUUGGAAUGAGUUUUUUACACAUAUGGUAGAGGAUUAUCAAACAGCUAACAAUGUUGUGGAAUCAAACUUAACUAAUAUGUUGUUGAAGGACUUGAAUGAACUCUUAAACCUGCACGGUAAAAAGAUUGAAGAUUAUGAUCUCCCAUCUUUACCCCCUAAUACAAUAGACAGAGGUGCAGUUCCAAGUAUCAUACAAGAGGAGUUAGCGAUCGAUAUCCCCAAUGAAGAUAUUGAAUCUAUUGCUAAGUUAAAUAAUGAUCAAAUGAUUGCAUUCAACACCAUUAUGAAUGUAAUUGUUCAAAAACACAGUGGGGUAUUUUUUGUUGAUGGUCCAGGAGGAACAGGUAAAACAUUCCUUUAUAGAACAUUAAUGGCAAGUUUAAGAAGUAGAGGAGAAAUUGUCUUAGCAACUGCAUCAUCUGGUAUAGCUGCAACAUUGUUACCCGGUGGUAGGACUGCACACUCUCGAUUUAAGAUACCUAUUGAUAUUCAACCGAGUUCCAUUUGUGGUAUUCAAAAGCAAAAGGAUCUUGCAAAUCUCAUUAGAGUUGCUGCCGCAAUAAUUUGGGAUGAAGCACCAAUGACAAACAAAAAUUGUUUGGAAGCCUUAGAUCGAUCAUUACAAGACAUUUGUAGCAACAAUGCUCCAUUUGGUGGAAAAGUUCUGAUCAUGGGGGGGAUUUUCGUCAAGUUCUUCCUGUUGUAAGAAAAGGUACUAAGGCACAAAUGAUUUCAGCGUGUAUUGUUCAGUCUCAUUUAUGGAAUCAUACCAAGAUUUUGCAUUUGCGUCAAAAUAUGCGAUCAUUGCAUGAUCAAGAGUUUGCAGAAUUUCUUAUUCGCAUUGGUGAUGGUGUUGAACCUACCAAACCAAAUGACAUGGUGAGGUUACCUUUACAUAUUUCAAUCCCAUGGGAAGGUGAACAUUCCAUUCAAGUACUUAUCCAACAUAUUUUUCCUAAUUUAGAAUUGCAUGGUUGGGAUGCCACAUAUAUGGUACAAAGAGCUAUUUUGACACUAACAAAUGAUGAUGUCCAAAAAUUGAAUGAUAUGAUUAUCGAUCAGUUUCCAGGAGAAGAACAUAAUUUGUUAUCGUUUGACGAGGUUGAAGGAGAUAAUCAUAAUUUAUACCAGCAAGAAUUCUUAAACUCAAUUGCACAAGGUAGUUUGCCACCACAUAUUCUAAAGAUAAAAAAGGGUGCACCAUUGAUGUUGUUACAAAAUCUAGAUCCUAGAUAUGGAUUGUGUAAUGGGACCCGAUUAUUAUGUCAUGGUUUACUUAUGAAUAUGUUGGAUAUGGAAAUCCUGACAGGAAGUAACGCAAGAAAACGUGCUUUUUUGCCUAGAAUUAAAAUAAAACAUCUGCAAGUGAUGGACUGCCUUUUGUCCUUAGUAGAAAGCAAUUUUCGGUGUGACUAAGUUUUGCAAUUACGAUAAAUAAAUCACAAGGACAAACCAUUCCAAAUGUUGGAAUAUAUCUUCCGCGACAUGUUUUUAGUCACAGACAGUUAUAUGUGGCUUUAUCCAGGGGUGUUUCACAGACUACAACAAGAGUUUUAACCAGGGAAGAAAAAUUGAAAGGAGAAGAUGGUGACUACACAAAAAAUGUAGUCUACAAACAAAUUCUUUUAUCGCACCCGCAAGUAUUUAUUAAGUACAUUGAAAAAAUUGCUCACAUGUUGAUUCCCAUUUUGGUUACACGACAUACCAAGCUUAUAUUGUAUUAUUUAUAUCAUAGAUAGAUAAUAACUAAAUAUAAUUUUCUUUUGCUUUAAUAUACAGCCAAACUAAAACACGAUGAAAUCUUUCAAUUAUGUAAGGAGUUGAGACGAAAGAAUGUUGAAACUUGCUUCAACAUGAAAGUAAGUUAUACUUAAUCAUUUAUUUUAUGCUUUUAUGUUAGAUAUAAAUGGGGUGAUAGUUAUUCUCACUAUUCUUAUGCAAUAAAUUUUAGAUAACAGACUUUGAAGAUAAAUGGAACACAUGGAAGGAUGAACAAAGUAUUUCAUCCAUCGACAAACUCGACAAUAAGGUGUAUUUUUCUUUUCCGUAAUACGUAUAAAAAAAAUUCUUGCAAUUUCAUCACUCUUUCAGUAACAUUUUUGUCAUCCUCAUUGAAACAGGUCAAACGUUUGAAAAUUUACUCCAUCAGUUGGAGCUCCACAGUGAUAACAGAUAAAACACAACUUUGGAAAAUGGUGAAAAGAGAAAUAAUAUCUCAAAGGAUGGAGAGGUUUUUUAUUUUUGAAUACAUGAAUUUAACUGCUAUUUGUGGUUUAUGUAAAUAAAACCAUAUAUAUUUACUAAGUCCAUUGUUUUCCUUAUUUAACAGAAAUCCAGGUAAUUCAGAAACAAGUCAUAACUGUUGUUCUACCAAAUCUAGACUAAAUCAAAGUAUCUCCAUUCUCCAGGUAUUAUUUGUGUCGCAAUAAACCAUAUUAUAUUCAAAUGAGUCAUAUGUUCUGAAUGUAUUUCUUUUAUAAUAUGACAUUUCGUCAUGUAUUUGUAGUUUUUUAAAUCUCAAGAGCGCAUUGAUAAAGGGAUGUACGAAGAAUUGAUUCGAAUCUUUAUAAGGUAAGCAAAAGCUAUAUUACACAACUUACUAUUAAUUUUACUAUCUUUUUCUCUAAAAAAAUUCUAAUUUAAGAGUCUUACAUUUUUUCUUUACUACGGAAAACAAUUGCAGGGAAAAAGAAAAUACUUCGAAUAGAGAUUUCAUGUUCGGCAUUCCUCUUAAAGAACGUCAUUAAUUACACAGUAUCAAUAUUACUUUGCAUGCUUCAAUAUAAUUUUGAAUAUCUUUAUUUACCAUUUUCAAAAUGUAAUAAUAUUAUUUUUAAUGCGACCUACAGUAGAAACCUCUUAAAAAGAAAAACAAAUAUUUAUUUUUCUCUGCUGUGCGCAUUAAAAAAAACGGGCAGUCUGAACGCUAGUUUAGAAUAAUUUAAACCACUCAAGUAAUUGAAUAAAAUGAAAUAAAAAUUCAAUUAAAUGAAUUAAUCAAAUUCAGGGUGUUACAGUUUGGGUAUUGGGUUUGACCAAACACAACCUAAAUCGGCCCAUGUACACCCCUAAGUGUAUGAUCUCAUCAAAAUGAUGAAUCCAAAGCUAGUUAAGGCAUCUACCUCUCAUGUUGUAGGUCAAGAUGCAGGGAAUGGUGCGAGUGAAGAUGUGGAGAAGGUUGUCCAUGAAGAAGAUGUGUAAGCCAAUAAUAGUACGAGUCAGACUCCUCCAAUGACUCGGAGGAAUGAAGUUAAGGCUUAAUGAAGUUUUUUUUUUUGGUUUUCUUUAAUGUUGGUGAUAUGUGCCCCUGUGUGGGUUAUUUUGAUAUAUUUUGGAAAUUGCCCUCUGGAAUGGAUAAUGGCUCCUAUUACCCCUUUAUUGAUUUGGUUCCAUUUUUUUUCUGAUAUGUCUUAUGCCCCUCAUAUGUUGUUUCUCUUUGGAUUAUUCAGUUAUGUUGCCUCUUUCCCAUUUUGAGGAAAUAAGGGGGAGAAUAUUUUAAUCAUGAUGAUUAAUGAUGGACAACUUUAUGCAAGACAAGUUUAUGCAAUGCAAGCUCUUAUAUCCUUAGAAUAUAUUUGUUUUUCUUUCUACAUGUGCAAUGGAAGUUUUAGUUAUGUAUGAAUGUUUUGACUAUUUUCACUACUCUCUAAUAAAAUCUGAAUCAUGUCAUGAAUUUUGUCUGUAGCAUAAUGUUGCACAUAUUACAUGGUGUAUUAGCCUAAAAAUUAGCCAAAGGGGAAAUUGUUGUUACAUUUUACUGGUGUAAUUUUAAUAGGCAGCAUGUGGAGCAAGAUGUCAUGACAUUGUGUGAGACAUCUUGUCUCUAUGAGCUCAAACCAAGAAGAAACAUAUGGAGCAUAAUGUUCCACAAAUUAUGAGAUAUUUUUUCUCUUCCAGAAGAAAGUAUGUGUUGAGUGAAUCUUGCACCUUGUGAAGAUUUGUUUCCAUUCUUGUCCAAUAUUGUUUAAGUGUUUUAUGCACUUUUUGGAAUAUGGAAAGUUUUCCCAAAAGAUCAUUCUCCAAGAAUUUAAAAGAACAAAUAUGAUAUGAUGAAGAUUUAUUAAAUCAAAUAUUGCAAAUCAACUUAACGAAGAAUCAUUUUUUGCAUGUAUGGGAUUGUUGACCAGUCACCAUUUAUGUUAAAUUUAUCAUCAUUUGAAUGUAAGAAACAUGCAAGUUAUUGUUAAUUAGGUUGUAGUUUAGGUCAGUUUUUAGUAAAUUUUUGUCAUGUCUUUGUCUGUGGUAGUUUGAUUGUUUUUGGGUAAUUCUACACGCUUGAUGUAGUGUUUCAUGUGUUUACAUGUCUGAAGAGAUAAAGGAUAGUCAAUCAGAGAAAAAUACAGGCCAAAAUGAAUCAGUAGAAGGGAAAAGGAGAAAAAUACACACCUACUGCCCAUACGCAUAUGAGGGAGCUCAUACAAGUAUGGCCACUCAACCUCACCCCUCUCCAUAUGCGUAACAACAGAGAGGGAGAAAACCAGAUCACUACCUAUACGCGUAUGGCCCCCCUAGCUCACGCCACCAAAACCAGGCCAAGCCCUUACGCGUAUGGGUCUAGGAAGGCCAUGCGUUUUACCCUGGCCCAUAUGUGUAUGAUAUAGUGAAAAAAGAGCCCAUACGCAGAUCAGAGAAGGCAAUACGAGUAUGGCACAACCCAGAAAAUGAAAAGCCCAGAAAUGUCUACUUAGCCAAAGAACGCGAAUUUCCAAGGGUUGGAUGAUUUUUUACUACAGAAACACGUUUUGAAGGUCGGAGAACUCAUAUUUUAAUGGUGAAUCAAUAUCUUUGUUGGUUCUAUGUGUUGGCAGCAAUUUUGGUAAAACCUAGAAUGUUCACAAGUUGUCACAAGUAUUGUCUUGACAUAAGAUAACUUGUACCUGCAGGAUGUUUAAAAUGUGAUUAUGCAUGAUUUUACUGUGAUGUCAGACCCGAUGUCAUGGCAUCUGUAUACAGAACAUUCAGUCUGAAUGUUAUGUAUUAUGUGAUUGCGUUUUUAAUGCUAAUCUAUGUAUGAUUGAACGCACUAUCAAUCAGUAAUUAUAACUAGAUUGACUUAUUUUCCAAGGAGAUAUAAUCAGCUGUCAUGAGAAGAUAUGAAUGGAAAAUAGUUUUAGGGUUUUAUGAUGUCCAAGCCCAACCAAUUGCUUCUAUAUAAAGGACAUGGAAAACCUGGUUUUAAACACAAGAAAUAACGAAUGAAAUAUUGAGAGAGAAUAAGGGUUUUAGUCUUGUGUGGUUGUGUGUGUUAUAAGCCAUUCAUUCAUCCAUAGAUGAUUGAAUUGGACUGAUUUUUGAGUUGUAAUUUGUCCACUCAAAGCUUUGAAGCAUGAGUGUGUGCUUACUUGAUUGAAGCUUUUAAUCAAGAUCAAGUAUGUGUCUUUGAAGAGUGUCUUCUUUUCAUUGUAAUUCUUAUUUUAUAUCACUGCUGUGAUUGAGGGGGAGUGAGUAGGAUCUCAUAUCUAAGAGUUCUUAGGUAGAAGUCACACGGGUAGAGAUUAGGUGAAAAGACUGUAACUUGAAGUUGUUUACUGAGAGUCUUUGAACUAAUUCUGUUUAGUGGAUUUCCUUCCUGGCUUGGUAGCCCCCAGAUGUAGGUGAGUUUGCACCGAACUGGGUUAACAAUUGCUUGUGUCUCUUGCAUUACUAUUCUUUAUCUUUAAUCCUGUUUGUAUUGUUCAGAUAUUAGUGUCGUGACAUUACCUUCGAUAUCUCAUAUCUGAUACCAGAAUUUCAAUUGGUAUCAGAGUAGGCAUCCUGCUCUGGUUCUGGGUGAGAUCUAGGGACGUUACUUUCUGGUACUAUGGAUAGAGACGAAGGAUCUGUUCACAGACCACCUAUUUUGGAUGGAUCCAACUAUGAUUACUAGAAACCUCGAAUGAUAGCCUUCCUAAAAUAUUUGGAUAACAAGCCUUGGACGGUUGUUUUAACAGGUUGGGAACAUCCAGUUGUUACUAAGGAAGGAGAAGCUACAACUGACAAGAAGGUCGAGGAACAAUGGACCAAGGAGGAGGAUGAUCUAGCCCUUGGGAACUCUAAAGUAUUGAAUGCUAUAUUCAAUGGAAUAGAUAAGAACAUCUUCAGAUUGGUAAACAACUGUGGGGUGGUUAAAGAUGCUUGGAACAUUCUCAAAACCACUCUUGAAGGCACCUCUAGAGUGAAAACGUCUAGACUGCAGCUACUCACUACCAAGUUUGAAAAUUUAAGGAUGAAAGAAGAUGAAAAUAUUCAUGAAUUUCAUAUGAAUAUCCUUGAAAUUUCUAAUGCCUCAGGAGCCCUGGGUGAGAAAAUGUCAGAUGAAAAACUAGUGAGGAAAAUACUCAGGUCACUUCCUAAGAGAUUUGCCAUGAAAGUGACAGCCAUAGAAGAGUUUCAAGACAUUUCCAAUAUGAGAGUUGAUGAGCUAAUUGGAUCUCUCCAAACAUUUGAGAUGGGAAUGUGUGAUGGAUCUGAAAAGAAAGUCAAAAGCAUAACCUUCAUGUCAAACACUGAAGAGAAAGAGGAAGAAAGUGGUCAAGAUACUGAUGAAGAUCUGGCAAAUGAUGUAGCAUUAUCGGGAAGACAAUUCAACAAACUUCUGAAAAAGAUGGAUGUAAGGUCUAAGUCUAAUGUCAAGAACAUUUCAUCUGACAUCAGUAAGUCCAAUAAUGCUGGAAGAAGAACAAGAUCUGAUGAAAAGUACAAAGAAGGAAAAGGAGUUCAGUGCCAUGAAUGUGAUGGGUAUGGACACAUUAGAGCUGAAUGUGAACCUACCUCAAGAAACAGAAGAGGAUCUGCUGCUAACUGGUCUGAUGAAAGUGAAACAGAAGAGUCUGCAAAUCUUGUGACUGCAUUGACUGGAAGAUGGGGUUCUGAUGAAGACUCAAGUGAUGAUGAAGUAACCUUUGAUGAGUUAGCCACUACCUACAAAAAGUUGUGUCAUAGAAGUGAAGAAGUGUGUCAACAAAUUGAAAGUCAGAAGAAAGUGAUAACACAACUGAAGAAUGAGAAGGUAGAACACUUGGAAACCAUCUCUAAGUUAAAAACUAAAGUAGUGUUCUUGAAUUCCAAACUAGAUGAGAUGACAAAGUAUGUCAGGAUGCUAAACAAUGGAUCUGACACCUGAGACAUAAUUAUCCAAACUGGACAAAUGACAGGAGACAAAUCUGGCAUUGGGUUCAAUGAAUCCAAACCUAAGUGCAGUCACACUGGUAGCAAAUCAAAAUCCAAACCUGAGUGCAGUCACACUGGUAGAAAACCAAAGAUGUCACAUCAUAUGUCACAACAUCAUAAAGGAAGACAGCAUAAAGGGAAACAUCAAAGAUGGAUAUGUCAUUACUGUGGAAAAUUUGGCCACAAAAAACCAUUCUGCUAUAAGUUGUAUGGCUAUCCUAGUCCUUCUCAUCAUCAACCUAGACCCAAACAUCACAUACCUGUCAACAGAAAACAAUGGGUUCCUAGGACUGAUGUUACAAACCUGAUAGCUCACACUUCCUUCAGAGUUUCAGCCAAAGAAGACUGGUAUUUUGACAGUGGGUGCUCCAGACACAUGACUGGAAACAAAAACCUGCUAACUGGCCUUUAUCCUCAUGCCACCAGCUAUGUAACCUUUGGUGAUGGAGAAAAGGGUAAAAACAAGGGGAUUGGUAAGCUUAAUUGUCCUGGAGUCCCUAACCUUGACAAUGUCCUACUUGUUAAGGGACUGACUGCAAACCUAAUAAGCAUCAGUCAACUAUGUGACCAAGGUCUAACUGUAAACUUCACAAAAACUGAAUGUCUGAUUACUAAUAAAGAAAAUGAAGUGAUCAUGAAAGGAGUNNNNNNNNNNNNNNNNNNNNNNNNNNNNNNNNNNNNNNNNNNNNNNNNNNNNNNNNNNNNNNNNNNNNNNNNNNNNNNNNNNNNNNNNNNNNNNNNNNNNNNNNNNNNNNNNNNNNNNNNNNNNNNNNNNNNNNNNNNNNNNNNNNNNNNNNNNNNNNNNNNNNNNNNNNNNNNNNNNNNNNNNNNNNNNNNNNNNNNNNNNNNNNNNNNNNNNNNNNNNNNNNNNNNNNNNNNNNNNNNNNNNNNNNNNNNNNNNNNNNNNNNNNNNNNNNNNNNNNNNNNNNNNNNNNNNNNNNNNNNNNNNNNNNNNNNNNNNNNNNNNNNNNNNNNNNNNNNNNNNNNNNNNNNNNNNNNNNNNNNNNNNNNNNNNNNNNNNNNNNNNNNNNNNNNNNNNNNNNNNNNNNNNNNNNNNNNNNNNNNNNNNNNNNNNNNNNNNNNNNNNNNNNNNNNNNNNNNNNNNNNNNNNNNNNNNNNNNNNNNNNNNNNNNNNNNNNNNNNNNNNNNNNNNNNNNNNNNNNNNNNNNNNNNNNNNNNNNNNNNNNNNNNNNNNNNNNNNNNNNNNNNNNNNNNNNNNNNNNNNNNNNNNNNNNNNNNNNNNNNNNNNNNNNNNNNNNNNNNNNNNNNNNNNNNNNNNNNNNNNNNNNNNNNNNNNNNNNNNNNNNNNNNNNNNNNNNNNNNNNNNNNNNNNNNNNNNNNNNNNNNNNNNNNNNNNNNNNNNNNNNNNNNNNNNNNNNNNNNNNNNNNNNNNNNNNNNNNNNNNNNNNNNNNNNNNNNNNNNNNNNNNNNNNNNNNNNNNNNNNNNNNNNNNNNNNNNNNNNNNNNNNNNNNNNNNNNNNNNNNNNNNNNNNNNNNNNNNNNNNNNNNNNNNNNNNNNNNNNNNNNNNNNNNNNNNNNNNNNNNNNNNNNNNNNNNNNNNNNNNNNNNNNNNNNNNNNNNNNNNNNNNNNNNNNNNNNNNNNNNNNNNNNNNNNNNNNNNNNNNNNNNNNNNNNNNNNCUCCAUAUGGAUUUGAUGGGACCCAUGCAGGUGGAAAGUCUUGGUGGGAAGAAGUAUGCUUAUGUAGUGGUGGAUGACUUCUCCAGAUACACCUGGGUCAAUUUCAUAAGAGAAAAAUCUGAUGUAUUUGAAGUCUUCAAAGAUCUUUGUCUAAGACUUCAAAGAGAAAAAGAAAGUCAAGUUAUCAAAAUCAGAAGUGAUCAUGGGAAGGAAUUUGAGAACAACAAAUUUGUUGAAUUCUGUGCAUCAGAAGGAAUUAGUCAUGAGUUCUCAUCUCCCAUUACUCCCCAGCAAAAUGGUGUGGUAGAAAGGAAAAAUAGAACUCUCAAAGAAUCAGCCAGAGCUAUGAUUCAUGCCAAGAAAUUGCCCUACCACUUCUGGGCUGAAGCUAUGAACACAGCCUGCUAUGUUCACAACAGAGUAACCUUGAAGAAAAGGACUCCUACUACCUUAUAUGAAGUCUGGAAAGGGAGAAGACCUACAGUCAAAUACUUCCAUGUGUUUGGUAGUAAAUGUUAUAUCUUGACUAAUCGUGAACAAAGAAGGAAGAUGGAUCCCAAAAGUGAUGAAGGAAUAUUUCUGGGCUACUCAACAAAUAGCAAAGCAUAUAGAGUCUUUAAUUCCAGAACAAAAAUAAUGAUGGAAUCUAUCAAUGUUGUGGUUGAUGAUCAACAGAUUGAUGUCACAAACGAUGUUGAGAUAUCUCUAAAUGAUGUGCCAACUGAUUUACCAGACAAAAAUAAUGAGAGUGAACCUCCUCAAGCUGAACCUGAAGCUGACAAAAUCAACAAGGGACCCUCCAUCAGAAUUCAGAAGGAUCACCCUAAAGAUCUCAUUAUAGGAGACCCAAAUAAAGGGGUCACAACUAGAUCAAGGGAAGUGAUCUCACAUGGGUGUUUUGUCCAAGAUUGAGCCUAGGAAUGUCAAGGAAGCCUUGACUGAUGAGUUCUGGAUCAAUGCCAUGCAGGAAGAGUUAGGCCAAUUCAAGAGAAAUAAAGUAUGGGAACUGGUUCCAAGACCUGAAGGAAUAAAUGUCAUUGGAACAAAGUGGAUGUACAAGAAUAAAUCUGAUGAACAAGGAGUGGUUACUAAAAAUAAAGCAAGAUUAGUAGCACAGGGAUACACUCAAGUUGAAGGAGUUGACUUUGAUGAAACAUUUUCUCAUGUAGCUCGCCUUGAGUCCAUUAGACUAUUACUUGGAGUGGCAUGCAUUAUGAAGUUUAAACUGUUCCAAAUGGAUGUGAAAAGUGCUUUCUUGAAUGGCUACUUAAAUGAGGAAGUAUAUGUUGAACAACCUAAAGGAUUCAUAUAUCCAAAUCUUCCAAAGCAUGUGUACAAGUUGAGGAAUGCCCUAUAUGGUUUGAAACAAGCUCCUAGGGCUUGGUAUGAUAGACUCACAAUGUUCCUCACUAACAAUGGAUACAGGAUGUGAGGUAUUGACAAGACCCUAUUUGUUAAGAAUGAAGGAGGAAAACUCAUGGUAGCUCAAAUAUAUGUGGAUGAUAUUGUUGUAACACGGUGGGAGAACUGACUUUAGUUAAAUGUUGCGGAUAGCAAGAGUCGCCACCGACUUUUAUUUUAUCCAAAAGGAAAGGACAUAAAAGAACAGGAAAGACCUUAAAAAGAUUUUGAGUUCGGGGGGUAGGUUAUACAAAGGGAAGGUAUUAGCACCCUUUAUAUCCAUGGUUAUCCAUGGGCUCUUAGUUACUUAGCUCACUUUGUUUGUUUGCAAGAGUGUAGUGUGUGAUUAGAAAAAUUUCUUUAAGUACUUUGUAAUGACCCUCGUAUGGGUGUAUACAAAGCCUAGUUUAGAAAUUGUGAGGUGUAAAAGUAAUUUUGAAAAGUGUGAGCAAGUAACUAUGAGAUACCUACCCUAGAUUAAGUCUUUCGUGUUCUCGUAUAUUCUUUCAAUGGUAAGACUGUCCCUAUUAUUAAGGAAUAGGUAGUCAUUACCUUGGAUGUGUUUAAGGGACGGGCGUAGGGUCAUCGUAUGGUCAAUGAAGGCAACAUAAGGGGUGUCUUUAGCAACUCGUAGGGACUAUCAUCAUAUUUACCGAAGGGACAAGAUCAUUAUAUCGUAGGCAACCUCGUAGGGACUUGAUCUUUUAAGUUUAUAGGGACUUGAUGAUUUUUCUGUUUGAAGGGACUUUGCUUAAGACACCCCUAUUUUCGAGGGACUUGACCAUUUAAAGAAGGCAACCAAGAGGAAUACCCUAGGAAGUACAGAUGGCGAUCAAAGAUCGACUUACGUGUGUGAGUGUUAUUUUUCAGAUAUUUGUCUUGAAUUUAAUUUUCUAAGUUCAAUUAUUUACAGUUAGUUUUUUGCACUCCCUAAAUUACUAACCACGCAAUAAAUAUUUACAAAAAUAAAAGCAAGAAAAAUAAAUUCCUAAACUAUUACAUGGCUAUGGGACAGAUACAUAAUAAUCAGGCGAGAAAGAAUAAAUUUACAACCUAUACAUUUGUUCCUAAUAUUAUAAAUAAAACAAAAUUAAAAUAAGGAAAAUAAUGAAGCAAAAAUAGAAUAGAUAAAAGCAAAUAAUAAUAAAAUAAUAAAUAAACAAUGGUAAUAAAGCAAUAAUAAAAUAACAAUAAUAAUAAAGUGAUAAUAAAAAGGUUAGAAUUUUAAAAGAAAUUAUUUUAGGUUAAACAAGUUAGAUUUUUUUAGAAGUUAUUAGAAAAAUAUGAGUUUAAAAUAAAUUAGUAAUAAUAAAAGAAUUUAAAAUACAUUAAUGUACAAAUUAUAAAAUAAAAGAGUUAUAUGAAAAAUAUUAAGUUAGUUAUUUACAAAAUAAAUAAAGAUUAUAGAAAAUAUCAAAUUAUUAGAUUAAUAGGUUUAUUAUUAUUAUUCAAUUAGAAAAAUGGUCAAUUAGAUUUUAUUUACAAAAUAUAUAAGGAUUUAUUAUUAUAAGUAAGUAAUAAAAAAAAGUUAUUAAAAUAGUUAGUAUUUAUUAUUUAUUUACAAAAAAUAUAAAGGUUAUAGAAAAAUAUUAAAUAAUUAAUUUAGUAGGUUUUCACGCCCUACAUUACUAAACCACGCAGUUAAUAUAGGAUCAAUGGCAGGAAUUUAAAUGGCAGAAAAAUAAAUGGCAGAAAAAUAAAAUGGCAGAAAAUAAAUGGCAGAAAAUAAAACCCUAAUUAUUACAACGCUUUGGUGCAGUUACAUAAUAAAGAUGGCGAAAAGUAAAACUGAAAAUAUUACAAGUUAAAACUUAAAAUAUUACAAGGGCGAAGCAGUUACAGUGUAUGAAUAACAUAAAUAUGAGCGAAAAUAGGAAAUAAUAAUAAGGUUUGUUAAGGUUUAAGAAAAGGUUUAUGGUUUAGAGGAAACAACACGGUUAAAGUUUUAGGUUUGAAAUUUAGAGUUUGUGGCGAAAUUGUCAGGGUUUAGGAAAAAUCAGGGUAGUUAGUUAUGAAAAAAAAUGUGCAGAUCUAAAUAUAUGUAUAAAAAAAAAAUAUGAAUUAAAAAAAAACAACGGCGUUGCUAGCGCAAAAUUGCGAUCAUCGCAACUGGAUCGGAUAACACAAAUGUCACGCCUCAUACACGUAUAUGUGAAAACGGCGUAUUGACACGAUCCGAUCCGAAAACAUAAUCAAAUUAUAACAUAAAAUAGAAAUAUAUAUAUAUUUAACACACUAGUUACAUAUUAUAAAUUAUAUAUUAUAUGAUCCAUAUGCAUUUUUAUUAACAACAAAAUUAUUAUUAUAUUAUAUUAUAUAUUAUGAGACAUGUAAAACUUAUAUAAAAACAAACACAUCAAAUACAUAAUACAAUGAACCAAAUUAUUAUACAUGUUAUACUUAUGUGCAUAAAAAAGCAAAACGGCGAUAUCCUGAUAUAUUUAACCAAACCGCAUGUAUCUGGAAUACAUAACACAGUCACACAUAUGAACAUGUAUUUGAAACACAGUAACAAAUAUAUCAACAAAAUAGAUAAAGUAUAUAUCAUAUAUAAACUAUUACCAAACUGUGUGUACGAUAGUAUAGAUCAGCCACUCUCAGUUUCUCUUUUUUGUUCUGUCUUUUGGCCUCCCUCUAUCAGUCAUGCUAGUAAAUAUAUAUAGGAACAAAUUAGGUUAAUGAUAAUGGGCCUAAGUUUAUUUUGAAACCCAAUAUUAAAUUAAAAACUGAAUAAAGUUAAAUAAUUAAAAUAGUUAAAAUUAAAAUAAAAACUAAUUAACCUAUUUAUUUAUUCUAGACCCAAUAUAAAAAUAAAUAGACUCAAAAAAAAAUAAAAGUCGGGCACCAAAAUGCUCGAAAAAAUAAAAUGAACACGUCAAAAUAAUCAGCGCGAAAUAAAUGACUCGGAAAAAUACAGCGUUUGGUCGGAUUUUGAAAUAAAAAUUAUGACCGUUUAAACUGCUCAGACUGAUCAACAUAUGACCAAAAAUAGUCGUAAAAAUAUUUUUAGCAUGUCAAAUUAAACCACGUGAACCGCAGGUUAAUGUUACCGACAUUUGCAAACUUAAACUUGACAUUUUUUCGUUGACUAAUUUUAGGCACAGUUAAAAAGUUAAUUUGACCAGUGUGUUUGUAAAUUCCGAGAAAUUAUUCCGGCUAAUAUUAAGACAGAAAAAAAUGUUAUGCUAUGAAGAUGAUGCAAAUGAAUGUGAAACAAAAAAUUGGUUAGAGUUAAAAAUAGAGGGCAAAUUUUGGGGUGCAACAAUUGUGUUUGGUGGGAUGUCAUAUCAGAUGGUCGAACAUUUUGUUAAACAAAUGCAGUCUGAAUUUGAAAUGAGCCUUGUUGGAGAGCUGACCUAUUUUCUUGGGCUACAAGUCAAGCAGAUAGAAGAUUCUAUCUUUCUAUCUCAAAGCAAAUAUGCCAAAAACAUUGUUAAGAAGUUUGGCAUGGAGAAUGCAAGUCAUAAAAGAACACCUGCUCCUACACAUCUGAAAGUCUCCAAAGAUGAAAAUGGUGUUAGUGUAGAUCAAAGUUUCUACAGAAGCAUGAUAGGAAGUCUGCUAUAUCUCACAGCAAGUAGACCUGACAUUACUUUUGCUGUAGGUGUUUGUGCUAGAUAUCAAGCUGAACCAAAAGUCAGUCACAUAAAUCAAGUGAAGAGGAUACUGAAAUGUGUCAAUGGCACCAGUGACUAUGGGAUGUUGUAUACUCAUGGAUCUGGAUCUAUGCUGACUGGAUAUUGUGAUACUGACUGGGCUGGAAGUGCUGAUGAUAGGAAAAGCACAUCAGGAGGAUGUUUCUUCUUGGGGAACAACUUAAUAUCAUGGUUUAGUAAGAAACAAAAUUGUGUGUCCUUGUCCACUACUGAAGCUGAAUACAUAGCAGCUGGGAGUAGUUGUUCUCAACUGGUUUGGAUGAAACAAAUGCUGACUGAAAUCAAUGUCAUGCAAGAUGUCAUGAUAUUAUACUGUGACAACCUGAGUGCUAUAAAUAUUUCUAAGAAUCCUAUUCAGCACAGCAGGACAAAACAAUUUGAUAUUCGUCAUCACUUUAUUAGAAAACUAGUGGAAGAGAAAACAUAGCCCUGGAGCAUGUUACUACUGAAAUGCAAUUAGCUGACAUAUUUAUAAAGGCUUUGGAUGCUAAUCAAUUUGAAUGUUUAAGAGGGAAAUUAGGGAUUUGUAUCCAUGAGAAUUUAUAGCAAUUGGAUGCUAAUCAAUUUGAAUGUUUAAGAGGGAAAUUAGGGAUUUGUAUCCAUGAGAAUUUAUAGCAAUUAAUUUGGAGUGGAAAAGGUAAUAAAAAUAUUGUCUGCCCACUUAAAAGAAAGUGCCCUAUUUAUGGAAAAUCAUUACCUAGUAUUGGAACUUCCAUCUAUAGCAUUUUCACAUGCAACCUCAGCUCAACCACUUUCACCUUCCUCAAACUUCAUCGACCUUCUCUGCUAGGGCAACACAAAUUCUUUCACAAGCUCAACAAGAUGUUGAAGACGAUGUCCCAGACAUCUCUCCUGUCAAAAAGUCAACUAUGUGAAAAUCUCCUGCAAAGGUUGCUGCUGUACACCUGGAUAACAUUUCCUUCCAUCUUGAAGAUGGUGUAGCCAAGUGGAAAUUUGUAAUCCAAAGGAGAGUAACUGUGGAAAGAGAACUGGAAAAGGAUGCUGUGGAGGUUAAGGAGGUCAUGGACCUGAUCAAGUCUGCUGGAUUGAUGAAGACAGUUAGUGGGUUAUCUCAUUGUUUUGAAGGUCUUGUUAAAGAAUUUGUGGUGAACAUCCCUGAGGACAUUGCUGACAAGAACAACAAAGAGUUUUGGAAGGUGUUUGUUAGAGGAAAGUGUGUGAAGUUUUCUCCAACUGUGAUCAAUAAGUUCCUAGGAAGAGGAAUAAAAGGUGCCGUUGAACUAGAGGCCAUAGACAAUGAGGUCUGUAGGAAAAUAACUGUUGGACAGGUCAAGGAGUGGCAAAGCAAAAAGCAUCUCUCUGCUGGAAAAUUAAUUGUGAAAUAUGAUAUCUUGCAUAAGAUAGGGUCAGCAAACUGGGUACCAACAAACCACAUCUCUACAAUCUCUAAUGCUCUUAGAAGGUUCAUAUUUGCUAUUGGAACCAAGCUUAAUUUUGAUUAUGGAAGAUUCAUGUUUGAACAAAUUGUCAAACAUGCUUCCACAAAUGCAGUGAAGCUGCCCAUAGCUUUUCCCUCAAUAAUUUGUGGGAUUUUGGAACCAAGCUUAAUUUUGAUUAUGGAAGAUUCAUGUUUGAACAAAUUGUCAAACAUGCUUCCACAAAUGCAGUGAAGCUGCCCAUAGCUUUUCCCUCAAUAAUUUGUGGGAUAAUCCUAAGCCAACAACCUGGAAUACUGAGCACAAGUGAUAUCCCUAGUAGAAGAAAACCUCCAUUAUCAGUUCAUUACAAAUUAUUUGAAGGCAGUCAUGUCAAUGACAUUGUCAUGACAUCUGCUAUAAAGAAGCCAACCUCUCAAGGUGGCAUGAUUGAUGAACUGAAAGAGACCUUUAAGGAAUUGGAGACUGGGAUAAAGGUGGCUAAAGCUAGGAAAGAAGCUCUGGAGGUUCUGAUUAAUAGCUUAGAGCAAGGAGAUAUGGAUAAUGUUGGUCAAGCCAAGGACACAGAUGCCCACACCUCAAGUGAGAGGUCUGAAUCUCAAGAUAAAUCAAGUGGCAGUUCUAGAUCUGAAGCUGGUGAAGAUGCUAGCUCCUCUGACUGAGUGGUGGUGAAGGUGGUUCCCCUGUUAUAAUGAUAUGCUGUUCUGGAUGCUUUGAUGCUUGAUGUUUGAUGUUGUUUUUGGGCAGUCUUGUUUUGAUGCCUUAAUGUAAUUUUUGGGUUCUCUUUGUGAUUUCUCUGGAUUUCUUUUUAUCUCAGCUUAUAUAGCUGUGUAUAAUUAUGGUUCUAUAACACCUGACAAUAUGUUUUAACAUUCUAUAUGUUUUAACAUUCUAUGUGACAUUCUCUGUUGGACUAAUAGACAUUUAUUUUGUCUCAUUGGUCUCUUUGGUCUAUUUUGACUAAAAAGGGGGAGUAUGUUUUAACAUUCUAUAUGUUUUAACAUUCUAUGUGACAUUCUCUGUUGGACUAAUAGACAUUUAUUUUGUCUCAUUGGUCUCUUUGGUCUAUUUUGACUAAAAAGGGGGAGAAGUAUGUGGAGAGCUGCAGUUAAUAUGUGCUGAAGUAGCUAGGCUAUAAAUAGAUGACAACUGAUGUUGAACAGAAUGAUGUUUUGUGUAGUAUAGGUGAUGUUGAAGGAGAUGUCAGAUGGGGUGAUGGAUGUUACAGGUGUUGUUGAAGGAGAUGUCUGUGUUGAACAGACUUAGGGGGAGAAGAAGCACAUAUGUGUUUAAUAUGUGUUUAAUGUGUGUUUACUAGUUGCUAUUAUAGCUAGUAAAUGUGUGGUCUAUUACUUCUGUUGCUGCUUAACUGCUGAUAUGUUUUUGUACUCUUGUGAACAAAUGGACUGAUGUAUGUUUUAGCCAAAAUUUGCCAAAGGGGGAGUUUGUUGGUUCUAUGUGUUGGCAACAAUUUUGGUAAAACCUAGAAUGUUCACAAGUUGUCACAAAUGUUGUCUUGACAUAAGAUAACUUGUACCUGCAGGAUGUUUAAAAUGUGAUUAUGCAGGAUUUUACUGUGAUGUCAGACCCGAUGUCAUGACAUCUGUAUACAAAACAUUCAGUCUGAAUGUUAUAUAUUAUGUGAUUGCAUUUUUAAUGCUAAGCUAUGUAUGAUUGAUGAGAUAAUUGAACACACUAUCAAUCAGUAAUUACAACUAGAUUGACUUAUUUUCCAAGGAGAUAUAUUUGCACCGAACUGGGUUAACAAUUGCUUGUGUCUCUUGCAUUACUGUUCUUUAUCUUUAAUCCUGUCUGUAUUGUUCAGAUAUUAGUGUCGUGACAUUACCUUCGACAUCUCAUAUCUGAUACCAGAAUUUCAAUCUUCAUGAACCCUAAGUGAUUGAAGACCUAUUUCCAUCUCAUUAUUUAUAAUAUCUGCACUUAUUAUGAUGUUUUUAUUUUUUAUUAUGAGUAGCUAAACCCCCCAAUGCUAGGAGGUGUCCUUGAUUUGGAUUUGUUGAUGAUUUUGAUUUGAACCUUGUGCUAACAAAAAUUUCUAUUAUAUUUUAUUUACUCUCAAUUUGUUCUUAAUUCUUUUGUUUUAGAAAAAUUGAGUUUGAUUUACAGUUAAUUGUUAAGCAAGAUUGUCAACGUAACACUCAAUUGAAAGUAUUUUAUAGUAGAUAUCACCUAGGACUAGGGAUACCCUAUAGAAACCAGAUUGUUCUUGUUAAAUUAAUGUCUAAAUUCUUCUGUAAUUCAAUAUGGACAUAUGAUUUGGUUUGAAUGUUUUAAGGUUUUCUCACUAAGUACUUAAGAGUAAACACCCUUAAGAACCGGUAAUCAAUGUUUUAAAAUAAGUUGUUGCAAGGUCGUGUUAAAAUUGUUAACGAAUCCUAUCAUACAUUCCAUAGCAUGCCCACUCUUAUUGCUUUCAUAUGCCAAAUGUUUUGUUUAAUGUUAUUUUUUAACUAAUUUUUCUUUACCAAAAACACCAAUUCAAAGCCCCCGAGUCUUUUGUUUAACUAAAUUAAAACACAACCUUUGAGAUUGGUACUUUGGAUUUCCCAUUAUUCAUAUGUUGGUAAAUUAGUAAACUUGUUAAUUUACUGAUCAAGUUUUUGGCGCCGCUGUCGGGGAUUGCCAAAGAUUAUAGAAUUUAAGUUUUAUUUUAGUUAAAAUUUGGUUGUUAUGUAAUUGAAUUCAUUUAAUUUUUUUAUUUUAAUUAUGUUUCGACUAACAUUUGUCUGAUAUUUGUAUGCGAGAAUCCUCAGUUGAUUUUCCUUUUGAUGUGGAACCAGAAAGAACAUUACAUGCCCGACUCAGAGAAGUUAGGCAAGCUAGACUGGAAGUUCUAGAGGAAAUCAACUCUGACCAUUUAGAUACUGAAUCAGAAAGAGAAGUAGAAAUAUUGGUUAUGGUUGAAAAUGAAGAAGAAAGACUUCUUGGGGAUUAUGGAAGAGAAAACGCCCCAAAUGGUCAUUUAACCAUAGUUAACCAACCGAUGAAUGUUCCAAACUUUCAGUUGCACCCAACUACUAUCCGACAACUCAAGAAGAGACCCUUCACAAGAAAAAUUAAUGAAGAUACAAAUAAAAAACUGCAAAGAUUUCUUACUAUGAGUACUACUUUAAAGAUAGAUGUGCAUACUGAAGAAAGCAAAAAGUUGAGAAUGUUUCUGUUUACUUUAGCUGAAGAUGUCGAAGAAUGGUUUUACUCUCUUCUUGCUGGAAGUAUCAUUACUUGUGUGGAGAUGGAAACAACUUUUUUGAAUGAGUAUUUUCAUGCUUCAGUUUUUCUCAAAAAAAUACACGACUUCCUUAACUUUAAACAAAAAUAGGGUGAAUCACUGGGUGAUUCAUAUAAUAGAUUCAAGAGGUUAAUUGUUGCUUGUCCUACUCAAAACCUAGAUUAAACUGAAUAGAUGCAAAUGUUAAUGGGCCCAGGUUGAAGACUAAACAAGUGGUUGAUGCAGCUGCUAGUGUCUCAUCCAACUUUACAACAUCCAUUGGUAUCAAGAAGGUAAUAGAAGUCAUUGUUGCUAAUGAACACUUACAGUUGUAUGAUAGGUGUACAAGCAAGCCAGAAGAAGUGAUCGAUUUGAAACUAGCUACUCAGAGUAUAAAAAUUGAAGAUCAAGUUGCUGCUGAAGUUGAAAGAAGAUUUAAGGCAAUGAAUAUGACUAAUCAACAGGUGGCUAAGGUUCAAUCGGUCCAAGCUGUCAGCUCUGAAAUUUAUGGUGGUCCUCACUUUUCUUUGUACUAUGUGUCCAAUGCGCAACAAAUUGGAGAAGUGAAUUAUCUGAAACUCUCUUUUCAUAAAAGAAAUUCUAGAAAGUAUUUUCAUAAAAGAAAAUUCUCUCUUUAUUUAUAUAUAUAUAGGUAAAAUAAUUUGGUGCCCCUAAAAUUAUGGUGCCUUGGGCUCUUGCCCCGGGAGCCCGUGCUAAAGGUCACCCCUGCAUGUGUGAUGCAAGUGAUAUUGCAGUAGGGUUAUGUUAGGACAAAGAAGAUAAAAGCUUUUGCAUGUGAUAUAUUAUGCUAAUCAUGUUUUGAAUCCUGCUCCGUUAAAUUAUUCAACUACUGAAAAAGAGUUGUUAGCAAUUGUUUAUGAUUUUGACAAGUUCAGAUCUUACUUGCUAGGAUUUAAAGUAAUUGUGUAUACUGAUCAUGCUUCUUUGAAAUAUUUGUUUCCUAAAUAGGAAUCAAAGCCAAGAUUAUUGAGAUGGAUAUUGUUGCUUCAAGAGUUUGAUUUAGAGAUCUGAGAUAAAAAGGGAUGUAAGAACACUGUUUUUGAUCACUUAUCCUGAAUGUCCCCGAUUUAAGAAACAAAAGAGACACACCCAAUUAAGGACUGAUGAACGCAUCCUAGCAAUUACUGGUGUACCUUGGUUUGCAGACUAUGCAAAUUAUUUGGUAGGUGGUGUGAUCCCUGAUGAUUUUGAUUAUAAAAUAAAGAAAAAGUUCUUACAUGAUUGUAGGUUAUAUCUCUAGGAUGAUCCAUUCCUUUACAAAAAGGGGAAGAUGGAUUAAUUUGAAGGUUUGUCCCAGAAGAAGAGCAAAGGGAAAUUUUCAAGGCAUGUCAUAACUCAUAGUAUGGAGGGAAUUUUAGUGGAGAUAGAAAAACUUCUAAAAUUAUCCAGUCAAGGAUGUAUUGGCCCACCUUGUUCAAAAUGCUCACUUCAUAGUACAAGAAUGUGACAGAUACCAGAGGACAUGUACUAUUUCAAAGAGGAACCAAAUUUCCCAAAAUGUUGGAGGUGGAACUGUUUGAUGUUUGGGGUAUUGAUUUUAUGGGACCGCUUCCACCAUCGUUUGGUAAAAACUACAUUUUAGUGGCGGUGGACUAUGUUUCUAAGUGGGUAGAAGUUGUAGAAUCACUUACAAAUGAUGCUAAGAUGGUGGUGAAUUUUCUUAAAAGAAAUAUCUUCACAAGGUUUGGAUUUCCAAGAGCACUCAUAAGUGAUGAAUGUACACAUUUCCUAAAUCUACUUAUGGAAAACUUGCUUAGGAAAUACAAUGUGAAGCACAAGAUCGCUACCCAAUACCACCCUCUUACAAGUGGACAGGUGAAAGUAUCUAACAUGCAAAUAAAACAAAUUAUGGAAAAGACUGCGAGUAUUUCCAAAAAAAAAUUGGGCAACAAAGUUGAAUGAUGCACUGUGGGCAUAUAAAAAUGCUUUCAAUAUACUCAUAGGUAUGUCUCCUUAUCAAUUAGUUUAUAGACAAGCAUGCCAUUUACCUUUAGAACUAGAACACAAAGCAUUGUGGGCCUCAAGAUUCUUGAACUAUGAUCUCUCAAAAGCGGGUGAAUCCAGAAUUCUUCAGCUCUAUGAGUUAGAAAAAUUUCAAAAUCAAGCUUACAAGAAUGCAAAAAUCUAUAAGGAAUAAACAAAAAAAUGGCAUGACCGAAAGAUUAAGAAAAAUGAAUUUUGGGAGGGACAAUUGGUUAUGUUGUUUAAUUCCAUGUUGAAGUUGUCUCCUAAAAAGCUAAAAUCUAGAUGGUAAUGCCCAUACAUUAUCAACAAAUUGUUCCGACAUUGAGCAAUAGAGCUGAAGAAUCAUAACAACGGGGACACCUUUAGUGUCAACGAGCAAAGAUUAAAACUCUACCCCCAAGGACAAGAAAGUGGCAUGGUGGAAAAGGUUCACUUUAUAAUACUCUAUAUUGAUCAUACAUCGAACUAUGGAUGUUAAAAAGCGCUUAUUGGGAGGCAUCCCAAGGGAGGUAAUAAUAGUUUUUAUAUUCAGUUAUGUGGUUUAAUUUAUAGUCUUUCAAUUUUCAUGAGUCGUGUGUCAAAAUUCCGAGCUAAAAUUGGGGAAAAUGUUAAAAGCAGGACAACACAAAAAGAAAGAAAAAAUAAAUGUUUUGCCCGUGAUGCUCAUACGUGUAUGGCCUACCCCAUUCGCGUAUGAGAAUGUCAAAUUUCCCAAAAUUACCAGGUCUCUUUUUCUCAUACGCGUAUGAGAGACGUCAUACGCAUAUGAGGAAGUUCAAAGGGUGCGAAGAAUUUGAAAAUCAAGGUCAUACGCAUAUAACCAUGUGAUACGCGUAUGCAAUAGUUACUUGGGCCCAUACGUAUAUCAUACGUGAUCUGGUUUUUGAACUAAAAUUGAUCUUUGCCCAUACGCGUAUGGAGAUGUGAUAGGUGUAUGGCCUUGUCAGGUCGUGUAUCAUACACGAAUGGCGCAUAUAGGCACCUAAAUAUAUUUUUUCUAACAUUUUCCACCCUACCUGAUACACUCUGACUCUCUCUCUCUCUCUAACAUUUUUCUCUGAAAUUUUCAUUUAUUCUUCAAAGUUUUUCUUUGUUUCAGUUGUAUAUAUCAUCAUCAACAUCAGAUAUGAACUUUUCUUCUUCUUUUGGUUCUACAAUGUUAUCUCUCCUGAGCAUCAAGAGAGGUUUUAUAGUUUCACUAACAGAAAAAUUAUUGAGGAGAGAGUAUUCAAUCUGCAUCCAGACGAACAUCUUGAGAUUCAUAAUGUGUUAAAAAAUUAUAAAAUGACUUUUUUGAUCAGUCAGAUCCAGCCUGUGGCUAAGGAUAUGAUACUUGAGUUUUAUGCAAAUGUAUUUGAACACCCUUAUGAGGACACUACUAUAGAGCCUGAUUUGAUAUCAUGGGUCAGGCGGAAGCAUAUUAAUUUUGAUUGGUAGACUUUGAACAAGUUUCUGAAGAUGAAGUUCAGAGAGCCAAACUGUUAGUAUUUUCAUAUGACCAGAUAUCCUGUUAACAUCGAAAGGAUUAUUUCUGGUGACAUCGAUGAUAUGGCUCAGAGUACUACGAAGAAGUCUAUGGGACAUAUUUUUUGAUGCUCCUGCUGUGUAAGAAAUCAAAAGUCGAGAACUUUAUAUAUGGACGCAUGAUGUAUCCUGCACGGGCAUUGGAUGUUGCAUGGAUAUAUGGCCACCAUAGAAAGGUGGCAUAGGAUCAGAGUGCUCCAGAGACAGGGGGGAGACUCGCAGAGUCUGCGGGAACGAGCAUACCUUUGACUUAGCACAUACCCGAGGGACUGCCUCUUGCUAAUGAGGACUCUCAGGCACACAAGGAUAAGACGAACAUGAUUUUAUUCAUGCAUAACUUCUAUGCGCAUACUGGUCUACCAGGGUUCUACCUUACCCAUCAGGUGGACACUUGGACAACAACUCAGUGUUUCAGAGAUUGCUUCUCAGGAGACCCGUCAGCGCCAUUCUAUGGUCGUUAUCAAUACCCGAGGAUUGAGACCCCAAUCCAACUUGGAGGACCUGUUCAACGACCGUCUCGGUAGAGUCCAUUUUCUCAACAUACUCCUCAACAUCACCAAGGCCCUUUCAUGAGUCCAGGACAGAGGGAGAAGUCUCUGUCGGAACAAAUGUCUCCUAUUUAUGCAUUUAUGCAUCAUGGAGGUGAUCUGACUGACAUGAUCAACUUUGAUCAGCAUAUGGAGGACAUGGGCAUAGAGGAUAAGGAUUAGUUUUCUUGAUUUUCUUGUUUUGUUUUUCUUUCCUUUUUACUAUUUAUUUUUAUUUUUUGUUAUUUUAGUAUUUUGAUUUCAUUGUACUUUUCCAAACAUUCACUUGAAUAUUAUAUCAGCAUUGUUUUAGUUAAUUCAAUUUAUGUUUUAUGUUAUUUAAGUGAUGGUUGUUAUCAUGUGUAAUGGUAAAUUCAUGACCAUCAAGUUAUGGAUAAGCUAGGCAUCAAUAAAAUCAGAGUCGCCACCGCGCUUUUAUUGUUUCCAAGGGAAAAGGGAAAAGUACAAAAAAAACCCAGAGAUAAGAAGUUUUCAAAUCAAAACUAAUAAAAUGCCAGAGAUUACAGGUAAGGGGGUUAAUUACACAGAGGGAAGGUGUUAGCACCCAAAGUGUCCUAGAUACUCCUAGGGAGCCCUUUCUUGUGUGCAUAUGUGUUUUUGUACAAAAUGAUGCUUGCAAUAAAUAGAGUAUGUGGAUGAGAAAAUAAUUCAUUAAUUAUAUUUUUGUGUUUGACAAGACCUUCGGACUUGUGCCUAGGUACCAACAUAAAAAUGAGGGAUCAAAACCUCGUAGUUCGUGGUAACAAUUUCAAAGUGAAUGCAUUGCUUUUAACAACAACAACAAAAUUAAGUUUAACAAAGGCACAAAAGGCCUAAAAAGGUUUGAAUGAGUGUUAGUUCUUUUCGUGUUUUGAAAUUUUAAGUCAAGUAUAGUUAGGUUCAUUUACAAGUUUGAUUAAGAAAAGAGUUUUAAAAAAUGCAAUGGCAUAAGGCCAAAGUUUCUAAUUUGCAAUAUGGUCUAAAUUUAGAAACACACAAGCAAAGAAGAUUUAAAAAGGGAGGAGUGAUUUGAAAUUAAAGAAGUGGGAAAGAGAUGAAGAGACUAAUCCUAAGUAGAAAUUUAAAAGUUGAAAGUUGAAAAGAUCUGACCAAUACGCUGCAAUCCAAUAGACAAGAAUGUCAUAUAGAAACCCAAAUUUCAUUUGGACUUAAGAAUCAAGCAAUAUCAAUACACAAAUAGCAAGAUGAAGAGCAAGGCAUCAAAUAAAGAUAGUCACAUCCAAGCUUAACAACUCCAUGAUCUUUUUCAUAAUCCCCCAUGUAUCAGAUGAACUCAAAGAUAGGCACUAGGCACAGGUUCAAAGUAACAGCUUCAAUCAGAUCAUGGUGCAGAUGAACUCAAAUGGGAUCACAAUACUUGCUUCAGAUGAAAUUUCAAUUCACAAGCACUAAGUUUCAUGAAAGUUGGCAUUGGCCAAGUCCUUUUGCAUAGGGAGUGUUGCCUAAUUCUAAGUCCAAUGUCUCAGAUCAAAUCCAACAGUCCACACAAAUGUCUUUUAGGGUUUUUGUUGUUAUUAUGUAUAAGUUGGCAUUGGCCAAGUCCUUUUGCAUAGGGAGUGUUGCCUAAUUCUAAGUCCAAUGUCUCAGAUCAAAUCCAACAGUCCACACAAAUGUCUUUUAGGGUUUUUGUUGUUAUUAUGUACAUUAAGAUCAAAAGACCACAAACACAAACAAGUAUAUACAAUCACAAUAUAAUCACAAGAUGAGGCUCAAAUGAGCAAAGUGAAAAUGGCGUUAAAGUAAACAAGUUAAAUGGUAUGAAUAAUGGCAAAUGAAUAAAGACUUAAAAUUAAAGUACAUAAAAGUAAAUGACUUGAAAUUAAAUGUUAAUUGUUAGUUGAUUAGAAGUUAGUAUUGCUUUUGCUUUUGUUUUGUUUAAGUCAUUCUUUGGAGAACACUCAACCCACUAUUCACAAGCAUGGAUCCUUGAACCAAGACAUCUCCCAAAGGAAGGAAAAAAGGCCAAGUUUCCACACAAUACCAUAAAAGAGGGGAGACUUACAAUCUCACUUACUAUAAUGCUAUGCCUUUGUAUCAACAAUUUAGCGUCAUGUUAAGCAAUCGUAAUUGGACUUAUGUAGAAUUCACAACUAUUUGAGGUUGGGCAAAAGAAAUUUUAGUGUUAAUGCAUGUUAGAGAUAUGGUAUUAUGAACCAUACUCCUAAAAUAUACCACACUUAAAAGAAUAUGCAAAAUGGGUGGACCUAAUCUCAUCCACACUUAUGUUGAUUUUGCAAUCAACUAGCCUUAGGAUAUAGAGACAUCAUAGGUCCAUGAAAUGAACGAGAAAAGAAUGGGAUUGAGAUGAAGAGGGAGGGGAAAUGGAAUCAACACAAAUUGGUCAAAGGAGGACUUUUACCAAAUUAAAAUCAUUCAUUCAUUUUGGGAGAUGAAAUAUACAUUUCAUCAAUCCCCUAAAUUCAAUCAUUUUAACUCAAAUAAGUCAAAUCAACCUUGACUAAGGCCCAACAACACAAGUCACACUCAACAAGUCAAUAUCAAAAGUUCAACAUAAUUUAUUUUGCAUUUAAACAAUUAAAAUCAAUUAAAUAAUGCAUCGAAUUAAAUUAUGGUUGGUCAAAAUCCUAAAACCUCAUCAAAACACCAAAUAAAUGGCCAUGAGAUUUAUCAUAGGUCAAACAAGGUCAAAGGACCUUGGAGAAAAAAAUUCAUUAAUUUUGGAAACUUAAAACCUCAUCAAAACACCAAAUAAAUGGCCAUGAGAUUUAUCAUAGGUCAAACAAGGUCAAAGGACCUUGGAGAAAAAAAUUCAUUAAUUUUGGAAACUUAAAACUAUUUUUAAACAAUUAAAAAUCUUCACAAAAACAAUUAAAUCAUGAAAAAUAUUAAUAAUGAUCCAAAAAUAAUUUUAAUUCAGAAAAUGAAAUAGGAAUUUAUUUAAAUUCUUUUGGUGAAACUCUCAUAUUUUUUGGAUCAAUAUUAAAAUUAAUAUGAAUUAAUGAAAAUAAAUCAAAUAAAAUGAAAAUCAGAAAAUAGCAAAAAACGUGGACCACUUGAUCUCCCUCAUUAAUUGAGGUGGCAGAUCAAGUGGUCCUCAACGUGCGUUCCAUGAUGGACACAAGUCAAAACGCUGCAGGGUGGUAUGCAAAACCAAUGUACGAGAUUAAAACAUUUCAAAUGGAUCAUGUGGUUCAGAUGAAUGCCAGCAUACCACCGGAGCCAAAGCUCCGGUCUCCUUCUCCGGUAAGCUUCACCGGACUGGUUCACUCACAACCAUCACCAAAAUUAAAAAGAAGGACAUAAAUUUAAAGUAAAAAUGCUUAGGAGCUUGAAUCUUGCCUCAAUUUCACCUAACUCCAAGUAUAUUGAAAGAUACAGGGAGUUGAAUUUUGAGGAUCAUGAUCUGAGUUGCUUCGAUUUGACCUUAAAGCAACUAAAUCUUGUUGCCUACAUUGCUAGGACUUCAGACAACCAAAGAUCAAGGAUACUUAUGGAGAAUUGAGUGAGAAUCGAAGAGAUGAAAAUUUCUGCAAAAUACCUUCAAUGCAGGUCUGUAUGCACUAGAUCUUGCUUCCAAUUGCUCUUGAUCUUGCUCAGGAUACUUGAUGGAAUGAAAAUGAAUCAGCAAAAGGUACAUGGCUCUUGGAGAUUUGAAUCUCAAAACAGUGGAGAUUCAAACUCAAUUUCCAAUGGAAAUUAUUAAGGUUAUCCUUUGAAUGAGAGGGUUUGGAGCUAGGGAUUCAAAGUUGGCGUGCAUGGGUCCUUAAUUCUGAGCAUGGAGGGCUCUAUUUAUAGCCAUAUGAUUGCUAAAUGCACACUUGAAAAUAAGUUCCAAAAAUAGCAAUGUACAUUUGUGAUACGGUGAACUGACUUUGUGUUUUUGCUUUGAAAAGCAAUGUUGCGGAUAACAAGAGUCGCCACCGACUUUUCUUUUAUCCAAUAAGGAAAGGUGGAAAAGAACAGGAAAGACCUUGAUUAGAUUUUGAGUUCGGGAGGUACAUUAUACAAAGGGGAGGUUGUUAGCUACCCUUUGUAUCCAUGGUUAUCCAUGGGCUCUUAAUUGCUUAAACUCACUUAUGUUUUCCUUGUUUGAGAAAGUGUUUGGGAAAUGUGGUGUGUUUAGAGAAAUAUUUUGAAAGGAGAGUUUAACUUUGUAAUGAUUCUUGUACGAAUGUAUACAAAGUGUUUAUCUCGUUUGAUUUUGAAAGAUGUUAGAAAAAUAUAACUCGGAGAUGAUUCUGGUGCGAAUGUUAUACCAAGUUGGUGAUUUUCUAAAAGAUGUUGUGAAAAGUGUGAGUGUAAAAGUAUUUUAGGCUGUGAGCAAGCAUUUAAAGAGUUAUACCUAACAAGGUCUUUUAUAGGUAUUUCCUAUCCUUAUGAGGGUAAAACUGUCCUUACUAUUGAAAGUAAGUAGUUCUUAUCCUUUUGGAUGUAAAGGGACAUCGUGGGGUCGUCGAUUGGCCAUUGAAGGCAACUAUUGUAAGGAUACCUUAACAUUCGAAGGGACGGAUCAUCUUUAAUCUAGGAUUACAACAAAGGGUCAUCGAGGGACUAAGUCAUAUCAUUCGAAGGCAACGUUUCGAGGACAAGGUCAUAUAUUUGAAGGCAACGUUCGAGGACUAUGAUUUAUCUUGUAGGGACAUUGACCUUUAUCGAAGGGACUAUGACUUAUCUGUUUAGGGAUGAUGAUGAUUUAAUCGAAAUGGUCUUUGCUAAGGGUAUCCCCACAUUCGCGGGACAUGACCGUAAUAUCGUAAGGCAACAAAGAGAGGGGCAAGAUCAUAUACUCGAAGGCAACGACAAAGUGAUCAGAAUAAAUCUCCCUAAUGGUAUCCCACAAAUAAAGUGGAAUACCGAGCAAGUUAUUUCUUCAAGAGUCAUGCGAGCCCUCACAAAAACUCAACAAGCAGGUUAGAAUAACAGGAUGAGGUGCAAUCAUGAGUUGCACCAAACAAAAAAAAUCAUAGCAAUAAUAGUGUCAGGUAAACAGCGCGCAAAUGCAAUAGAAGACAUAUUAAACAAACAUAGAACAGAUUAGAGCGCAAGCAGAAAAAAAAUCAAUUGGUGUCAUGUUCGCUACUGCCUCACCUAGCGAGGACUUGGCAAACCCUCGCUACAUGUUCGCUUAGCGAGGUGCUAGUGAACGUCUGCGGGUUCUAGGUUCUUCUUUGAUAACAAUGCGAUUUCAGAAACCCCAAACCCUAUGGCAUCCAUUACAGAAAUUACGUGAUUAAGCAUUCAAGGUAUUGUUUUACACAUUCAUGCACAUUUAAACCCACAGGCAAAACCUAACGAUACUUACCCUUCCAAAUUCAACCAUAAUGCUUCACACAUUUAGACAUUUCAAAUUGGGAGCAUAGAGUAGUGGGAGUAGGGCAAACCUGAUCGGAGGGAUCGAAUGAAAUUGGAUUACACCGUUGGGUUUGCAGAGCAAUCUUAGGGUUUAUGCCUGAUAGAGUUGGUGGAGGUAACCUCUGUGCAGAUGAUUUCCCUUCAGUGUAUAUGGAGUCUGCUCUGAAUUAGCUUCUAGGGUUUUCUCCGUUGUUCAGGGUUGUCUCCAGGGUUUUCUCCUCUGUAGUCGUCUUUUCUCCCCCUUUUUUCAAAUGAAGUCUUGGAAUUUAUAGCUGAUUUUUGUGUCUUGGUGGGCUCAGACUGAAGGCGAUUCAGGCCCAGAGUUUUUGUAUAUCCGCAAGCUUCGUUAGGCGAGUGAGCUAGCGAAGGGUUCGCUAGGCGAACACUCAGCGAGUGUUCCAGCGAAUACUCCCAGAUUUGGAUAAAAGCACAACUAGUACUUACUCGCUAGGCGAGCAGCUAGCGAGCAGGUGGCGAGCAUUCCAGUAGCAAAUUCAUCGGUACUCGCUGGAGCGAGGAAUGGAGCGUGGGCUUCGCCCAUCGAAGGGUUUCCUCGCCUAGCGAGCAUGACAGUUCAGGAAGUCAUCUUCUGGAUUUGGUCAUCUGUGCGCUGGACCUUUGCUUCUUUAAGAUUAAUGUUAUAAAAAAUGAAUAGAUCCCAUUUGAACCUGUUGAAAGUAUCAUAAAAAUAACGGGAAAUUUUGGGGUUAUGACAGUUGCCCUGUUCAUAUUUUAAACGACGAGAGAAUUAGAAUGUAUGUACGCCAUUUUGAUCUGGAGUGGACUUAGAAUGCCCCAAAAAUUUGCACUUGUUAAUUAAAGGAUAGUCUUGAUGGAGAUGGGCUUAAAGAUGCCAUCCAGAAAGUUUGAUGAUGAGAGCUUCAGAGUGCAUCGUACAUUAGACCAUAUCUGAAGGCAUGGGUGUCACACCGGGUCGUAUGCUAGACCGUAUAAUGAGUCCUCCAUUAGGUGAUAUUAGGGUGAGCUGAACCUGAUGAGAUGAGGAUUAGAAUGGGUCAUAUGCUAGACCGUAUCUGAGUAGCAGAGUGAACCGUCCGUUAGGCUGAAUCGGGCGCUAAAAAGUAGUCGUAUGCCAGACUACAUUUCAGAAUGUACCGUACGCUAGGUAGUAUCUGAGUCGCAGAAUGAGCCGUCCAUUAGGCUAUAUCUGAGGAUGAAAGAUCAGAAUGGAUCGUACGCUAGAUCGUAUCUGAGUAGCAGAAUGAGCUGUCCGUUAGGCUGUAUCUGGAGAAAUAAAGAUCAGAAUGGAUCGUACACUAGAUCGUAUCUGAGUAGCAGAAUGAGCCGUCCAUUAGGCUGUAUCUGAAGAAAUAAAGUUCAGAAUGGAUCGUACGCUAGAUCGUAUUUGAGUAGCAGAAUGAGCCGUCCAUUAGGCUGGCGACUUCACUGGGGAUGAAAGAUCAGAAUGGAUCAUACGCUAGAUCGUAUCUGAGUUGCAGAAUGAGCCGUCCAUUAGGCUGUAUCUGAUGACAAAAGGGGUAGUCAUACGCUAGACUAUAUUUCAGAAUGUACCGUACGCUAGGUAGUAUCUGAAGGGAUGAAUAUCCAAAUGGGUCGUACGCUAGACCGUAUUGGAGCAGUUGAAGGAGCCAUACAUUAGGCUGAAUCAGAAUGAGCCGUACAUUAGGCUAUAUCUGAUAAUAGUUGUAUAUGUUGUAUUUGCAAUGAAUGGAUGGGAUGGGCUUAAAGAUGCCAUCAUUAAGAGGAUAUCAGGAUACUUGUCAGAAUGAAUAUUCAUAUGGAUCAUAUCUGCAUCUUGAAUGUAAUUGAUAAAGAUAUCCGUCUGAAUGAAUCUUUAUUUUGACUGUAUCAGGAGGACAAUUAACCUGAAAAAAAAGUUAGCCUCAUGCCAUGUUAUGAUGCAUGAGAUGUUUUAUGCUCUUGAAAAUAAAUGCGAACAUUGCAUGCAUGCCUAUGCUGUGAAAUGAUGUAUGAAUUUUUUUUGCCAUGGGAAAAUAAAUCCCGAUAUUCUGGUUGGAGAUGUUUGUAUUGAUGACCCUUUCUUAGCUGGGGAUAUUUGAUUUCUGUCUUGAUGGUUAGAGUAUUCACAGAACACGCGGGAACACAAAGAUGCCAGUUGUCUAAGUAGUCUCAAUUCUCUCUGGAAUGACUAGUUUUGCUGGGGAACAGGAUUUGCAACCGGACUGUUGGAAAGCAUGGUUAGACCUUAUCCUCGCUUCUAAGUCUUUUAUAAUUGCUAUGUUCUUUUUAUGCACUGUUAUUUCGGUAAAAUCAAUAUAUUCAACUGCAUAUAUCUAUUCGAAUUAUCAAUGGGACAUUUUUGCAAAACAAAAGGAGAAAGUAAAACAAAAGUAUCUUUUUGGAAAUAAAAUUGUAUUGAUUUUGAAAGAGGGCCUAUAAACAAGCAAUUUUAAUACAAGGAGACAAAAAUCCUAGUAAGAGGAAAUUGUCAAGGAAGCAGAGAAAAAAAACAGCUAUGAGAAAAAGUCCUAUUGAUUUAAAUUCUGCUACUGCUAUUAUGUCUUCAAGCAUCUCAUCCCUUGCUGUCGGAUAGAAGUGAUUGGCUUGCUCAGUCCCUUUGACUUUGGCGAAGCUGAUCGAGAACGGGACAUAGUCAUACGCUUUAAUCCUUAAUUUUUGCUUGGACCGCCUUUUCAGGUUUUCAGUCCACCAGGAUACCCUUUUAUGCCCAAGCCGCCUUUUCAGGUUUUCGACUUGCCGGGUGUACAUUUUUAUAUGUUUAUCCCUAAUUUUUUCCGAACCCUUUUGGUUCGCCGGGAUGCCCUUACUUUUGCCUAGAUACGUCGACCUAGCGGGUCUCUUUUAUGCAUAGUAUUUUUUAACUAUGUCCGCGUUCACGGGAUGCGGGAAAUCUUCGCCAUCCAUUGUAGCAAGCAUCAUGGCUCCACAGAGCUACCUUCUUACUACAAAUGGCCUGUCAGUUAUGUGGGAGUCUUUGCUCUAGGAUCACCUUGUGGUGAAUUGAUGACAUUUCACCAAAGUCGCCAAUUGGUACACAUCCCCUGCGCGCGCUUCUUUGAAUUUUUUUGAUUCAAAUGGCUGGGUCAUGCGCUUUGAUAUAUAACUGCCCAUGUUCAAACGCCGCGAGUCUUUUCAUGCAAUCCUAAAUUUAUCUGAUCGAAGUCGAGUCUGAAUGCAUUUUCUUCAUUCUAAGCUGUCUUUAUCUUCAUUGUAAGAGAGGAAUUGAACAUUCCCUAGUAAAACUGGCUCCUUCCGCUGACUAAGAGAAGGGUUGCACUGUCGAAGGGCGUACUGAGUGCGAUACCCACGAUGAAGAGACAAAUCGCGUAAAAUCUCUGCAGUUUUGUAUGUUACUGUAUCUUUUGUAAUUCUUCUUUUAUAUUCUUUAUUAAGCGUAGUUUCUACAGGGCGCCAUAUUAUCUUUGGCCGAGGCUCAUACGCGAGAAAGAAGUUAUGGUGUAUUUAUUUUGAAUUGCGAAGUCGCGAGUUCCAGUAAUUCAUCUUUUGUUAAAUUAAGCUCACUUAUUAGUAAGUGGUAUCACUCUUUGAGGGAUGCCUAUAACCGAACAAAUAAGGACUAUUCUUGCAUGAACGUCCCUGCCUCACCACAUCUUGUGUCUACAGAAAGCAAAUGAGGCUUUGCUCUCCAUUGUAAUAAGUACAUCAUAGCAACAAGAGAAUGAAUGGUGCCAUUAGAAGCAGUUAGAUUGUAAUCUCUCAUCAUCUAUCAUGCCCACAUUGCAACAGGGCAAGGGAGCUUACACACGUUCAUGCGGCCGGAAGGUAGCAUGUACUUUGUCACGCAUAGAUUUGACAUGUGACAGUUAUGGGAUGAUGUGUUGGCAUCGGCUUCUCGUUAUCAGAGCCAAUUAAGACCUCCGAUCUCAGAAUCUUCUGGACCAUCGUUGUCCAACUAGAUGCAGCGUCCAAAAUACCGUUAUGCAUGUCUUCAUUAUCUUUUGCUGCUUCCUUGUGCUUUAUCCGACGCACCAGCGAAGCAGAGUCAAAUCAUUGAUUACGUUUUCGUAUAUACUCAUUACUCUCAAAAAGAAUUAUUUAGGGGAGCACUUCCUCAGGAAAUUUUCAAUAAUUGUAAAGUCUUGGGAAAUGCCCUUCAGUCGUAUUCGUUGCAGUUUGUAAGUGAUGGCCUUUUAUCUUCGUCAACAAGGUUUCUCUUAUAUCCAUCAAGCAUUACAGUUCAAUGAAAACAAACAAUAUCAAGCGCGGUGGAAUUCAUCAAUCUAAGUCGUUCAAAUGGUGUCAUGGGAGCUUUCAUUGUCCAUCCGACUAGUGUCGAGUGAACCAAUAGAAUGACAUGGUGAGCCAAUGCGUUCUUUCCAACGAUCUCUUUGAGGGAUAGUAUGUCUCGAACACUAAAACUCUUCAACACGUAUGGUCAUUACAAGUUCAACACUCAGGCCGCUCUCGUUAAGGGAUGAAGAUUCAGGGUGAUAGUUAGUGUCCCAUUCUCCCUGCAUGAUCUGACUCGAAUACUAAGGACGAAGUACCCGUACACACUCCAAAAAUUGAAUUUUCAGGUUAUAGAGCCUGAGUCCCAAAAAGACUAUCUUACAUAUCCUUAGUCCAUAUGUUCGCGGUACAGUCAACAAAUAGAUACUUGACGCAAUGAAACGCGUUUAUUGGCAACCUUGGGAGACAAUUAAAGUACAACACCACACGAAAUAGCCCACAAUCUGGCGAUUUUUAGGAAGAUCAUCAAAACCAUAGUCAUCGGGAUCCCAGUAGAGGUCUUACUCUGGUCCGUUCUUAUAAUAGUAACAAGCAUACCCUCAUAGGAAACUCAUAAUUUCAUAGUUAGGUAAUCAUCAAACUCCUGAUGGAGCCCAAAUGAUCAGCUAACACGCUUCUUUUGACUACCUUUCCUGGGGUAGUAUAUUGAUAUCAUUACUCUAUUAACAAUCAUCUUGCCAUCUUGUAUUUCUUCGGGAAGAGAGCAGGUUUAUUCAAAUAUAUAUUUGAUAAGGAUCAUUUUACGAAAUUCAAUAAAAGUGGUCAUGCAUUCAACAUGACUGUCUAAGUCAACGACGAGAACCCAAAGCCAAAAGCACAACAAGUUUUCUCAAGCCAGUGAGUUAUUUGUUUCCAGUCCGGUAAACUUUUUUGCUAAGUAUGUAUAUGCAUAGUCUUUUCGACCAGACUCAUCAAUGUUGCUCCCAGACACACCCAUUAAUUUUCUAACCACGGUCAACACAUGAUUAGAGUCUUCCACUUCAAAUAGUCGGCAUCAAAAUAUGAGUUCUUGGAGUUUCUUAAUUUUGUCAGAAGCUUCUGACAUUCAUCUUCCAAUAUUAUCUCUUUUUUUCUCAUGUAAUUGAAGAUGGGUUUGCAAGUAGUAGUCAAAUGGGAGAUAAAUCGGCGGCAAUUAUUCAAGCGUCGCAAAUAAAACUCUGAUCUUUUAUCUGUAGGGGAACUGCUACUAUGUCAUGAGAUCUCUGCUACUUAUGCCGUCGGUCAACAAGUGCCGAGCUUCCUUUACCACUGACAUAAAAAGCCCAAGGUUGUCACGCGGAAGUGCUUAAGCUCCAAAGUGCAUUUGUUCGUAUAUCAAUGAGUUUUGCGCGGAAGUGUCGCGUCGAGACUGAGCAGCGCAUCAAAGGAAAGUGUCGUGCGGGACCGCAGGGUAGCGCCAUCAAAGGCAGUGUCAGUGUAGAGCUGUAGAGAUUAUACCUGAUAGCCGAUAUUGUGCGGCUGUUCAGUAGGAGUUCAAUCUCAAAUUGUUAGGUUCUCAACCUCUAACAUUUGUAAAAUGAUCGAGAUGUUCUUCUUCAGUAUGAGAUCUGGCUAUCAUGUCAUCCACAUACACCUCUAUUUCAUGAUGGAUCAUAUCAUGGAACAAAACCACCAUAGCACGCUGGUAUGUUGCCCCUGCAUCCUUUAAACCGAAUGGCAUUACUUUGUAACAGAAAGUGCCCUAUUGCGUCACAAACAUAGUUUUCUCCAUGUCUUCAGGUGCCAUCUUAAUCUGGUUAUAACCUGAGAAUCCAUCCAUGAAUGAGAAUACCUUUUGUUGAGCGGUGUUAUGUACCAGGACAUCAAUGUGCGGAAGUGGAAAGUCAUCUUUGGGACUUGCUUUAUUCAAAUCUCUGUAAUCUAUACACAUUCGCACCUUACCAUCCUUCUUUGGCACUGGUACCACAUUAGCAACCCAUUGAGGAUAAGAAGUAACAGCUAGAAAACCUACAUUAAAUUGUUUCAUAACCUCGACUUUGAUUUUCUCAGACAUUUCAGGACGCAUGCGACGAACCUUUUGCUUAACAGGAUGACAAUCUUCCUUCAUCGGCAAACGAUGUACUACUAUAUCAGUAUCCAGUCCUGGCAUGUCUUCAUAAGACCAAGCAAAAAUCUCUACAUAGUCAUGUAACAUCUGAAUCAAUCUUUCUUUGACACUGUUUUCCAAGCCUGCUCCUAUUUUGACUUCUUUCUUGUCUACUUCAGUACCCAGAUUUACAAUUUCAAUUGAUUCCUCAUGCGGCUGUAUAGUCUUUUCUUCUUGCAGUCAUAGUCUGGCAAGCUCUCCAGGUACUUCGCAAUCUUCCUCACUUCCAUCCUCGGCUUGGUAGAUCGGAUUUUCAAAGCCAUAAUUAACAGUAGCAGAAUUAUUAUCAACCGGAUCCAGAGUGGAUAUGGAUCUGCAAUCGGUUAUGUGAGUGUGUGUAAGAAAACAUAGCUUAUUUGAAAGAUGACAGGAAAGAUAAAAGAGCGCAAUAUUUGAAUGCAAAAAGGUCCAUUGAUUUAUUGAAUGUGAAUAUGCUUAUGAAAAUGACAAAACCCUUGAAAAAUUAGCUAUUGUGCCCCGGGUACAGACACAAUGCUUUAAAAAAAAUUACAAAAUUUGAAACACUAAAAUAGCAAUAACAAUUACUCCUGACUAAAGGAAAUCGGGAUAGUGUCUUCAGCCUUCCAAUUAUUGAGUCCGCCACCAAUUGUUGGGAAAAUCCAGCUAUCCAAGUCGCAAUCGCUAUCAGCCUCUUCUAUAGCAUUAACAAUCUUGUCAUGAUUAGGCAGAGGAGCAGUGAUGACAUUAGGAGUCUCCGGAGGAUCAAAAUCAAUCUCUCCAGCGUCGAUCAUAUCUUGAAUCUUAUUCUUCAACAACCAACAAUCGUUUGUAUCAUGCCCGGGGCUAUCGGAGUGAUAUACACACCUGGCAUCGGGAUUAUAACGAGGAGAAGUAGUAUUGGGAUUUGCAGGAGGAUCUCUGAGGGUAAUUAAAUUUGCUUUUAGCAUACCCUGCAGUGCUUGUGCUAAAGUCAUAUUGAUCUUGGUAAACUGCCUUCUUGGCCUGUCUUGUCUGUGUUGGAAGUUUUGAGAUGGCGGUGCUACAAUCGUAACUGCUCCAACAGUAUGGUCACGAUUUUUCUUGUUAUGACCCCUUUGACCGUACACAACAUUUGAUUCAUUCUUCCCCUGAUAGGACUUUUUGGUGCUUGCAGAGGUAGCCGCCUGUAUCUUUCCACUUCGAAUGCCGCUUUCAACAUGUUCACCCGUCAAUAUAAGUUCAGUGAAACCCGAUGAGGAACUUCCCAAUAGAUGGCUGUAGAAUGGGCCAGUCAGUGUACCCAUGAACAUGUCCACUAAUUCUCGAUCAGUCAUAGGGGGUUUGACUCUGCCAGCCAAAUCUCUCCAUUUUUGAGCAUAUUCUUUGAAGCUUUCUUUAGAUCCCAUAGUCAUAUUCUGCAACUGUAGCCGAGUAGGNNNNNNNNNNNNNNNNNNNNNNNNNNNNNNNNNNNNNNNNNNNNNNNNNNNNNNNNNNNNNNNNNNNNNNNNNNNNNNNNNNNNNNNNNNNNNNNNNNNNNNNNNNNNNNNNNNNNNNNNNNNNNNNNNNNNNNNNNNNNNNNNNNNNNNNNNNNNNNNNNNNNNNNNNNNNNNNNNNNNNNNNNNNNNNNNNNNNNNNNNNNNNNNNNNNNNNNNNNNNNNNNNNNNNNNNNNNNNNNNNNNNNNNNNNNNNNNNNNNNNNNNNNNNNNNNNNNNNNNNNNNNNNNNNNNNNNNNNNNNNNNNNNNNNNNNNNNNNNNNNNNNNNNNNNNNNNNNNNNNNNNNNNNNNNNNNNNNNNNNNNNNNNNNNNNNNNNNNNNNNNNNNNNNNNNNNNNNNNNNNNNNNNNNNNNNNNNNNNNNNNNNNNNNNNNNNNNNNNNNNNNNNNNNNNNNNNNNNNNNNNNNNNNNNNNNNNNNNNNNNNNNNNNNNNNNNNNNNNNNNNNNNNNNNNNNNNNNNNNNNNNNNNNNNNNNNNNNNNNNNNNNNNNNNNNNNNNNNNNNNNNNNNNNNNNNNNNNNNNNNNNNNNNNNNNNNNNNNNNNNNNNNNNNNNNNNNNNNNNNNNNNNNNNNNNNNNNNNNNNNNNNNNNNNNNNNNNNNNNNNNNNNNNNNNNNNNNNNNNNNNNNNNNNNNNNNNNNNNNNNNNNNNNNNNNNNNNNNNNNNNNNNNNNNNNNNNNNNNNNNNNNNNNNNNNNNNNNNNNNNNNNNNNNNNNNNNNNNNNNNNNNNNNNNNNNNNNNNNNNNNNNNNNNNNNNNNNNNNNNNNNNNNNNNNNNNNNNNNNNNNNNNNNNNNNNNNNNNNNNNNNNNNNNNNNNNNNNNNNNNNNNNNNNNNNNNNNNNNNNNNNNNNNNNNNNNNNNNNNNNNNNNNNNNNNNNNNNNNNNNNNNNNNNNNNNNNNNNNNNNNNNNNNNNNNNNNNNNNNNNNNNNNNNNNNNNNNNNNNNNNNNNNNNNNNNNNNNNNNNNNNNNNNNNNNNNNNNNNNNNNNNNNNNNNNNNNNNNNNNNNNNNNNNNNNNNNNNNNNNNNNNNNNNNNNNNNNNNNNNNNNNNNNNNNNNNNNNNNNNNNNNAACGAAGGGUCAUCGAGGGACUAAGUCAUAUAUUCGAAGGCAACGUUCGAGGGACAAGGUCAUAUAUUCGAAGGCAACGUUCGAGGGACUAUGAUUUAUCUUGUAGGGACAUUGACCUUUUGAUCGAAGGGACUAUGACUUAUCUGUUUAGGGAUGACGAUGAUUUAAUCGAAAGGGUCUUUGCUAAGGGUAUCCCCACAUUUGCGGGACAUAACCGUAAUAUCGUAAGGCAACAAAGAGAGGGGCAAGAUCAUAUACUCGAAGGCAACGACAAAGUGAUCAGAAUAAAUCUCCCCAAUGGUAUCCCAUAAAUAAAGUGGAAUACCGAGCAAGUUAUUUCUUCAAGAGUCAUGCGAGCCCUCACAAAAACUCAACAAGCAGGUUAGAAUAACAGGAUGAGGUGCAAUCAAGAGUUGCACCAAACAAAAAAAAUCAUAGCAAUAAUAGUGUCAGGUAAACAGCGCACAAAUGCAAUAGAAGACAUAUUAAACAAACACAGAACAAAUUAGAGCGCAAGCAGAAAAAAAAAUCAAUUAAUGUCAUGUUCGCUACUGCCUCGCCUAGCGAGAACUUGGCAAACCCUCGCUACAUGUUUGCUUAGCGAGGUGCUAGCGAAUGUCUGCGGGUUCUAGGUUCUUCUUUGAUAACAGUGCGAUUUCAGAAACCCCAAACCCUAUGGCAUCCAUUACAUAAAUUAUGUGAUUAAGCAUUCAAGGUAUUGUUUUACACAUUCAUGCACAUUUAAACCCACAGGCAAAACCUAACGAUACUUACCCUUCCAAAUUCAACCAUAAUGCUUCACACAUUUAGACAUUUCAAAUUGGGAGCAUAGAGUAGUGGGAGUAGGGCAAACCUAAUCGGAGGGAUCGAAUGAAAUUGGAUUGCACCGUUGGGUUUGCAGAACAAUCUUAGGGUUUAUGCUUGAUAGAGUUGGUGGAGGUAACCUCUGUGCAGAUGAUUUCCCUUCAGUGUAUAUGGAUUAUGCUCUGAAUUAGCUUCUAGGGUUUUCUCCGUUGUUCAGGGUUGUCUCCAGGGUUUUCUCCUCUGUAGUCGUCCUUUCUCCCCCUUUUUUCAAAUGAAGUCUUGGAAUUUAUAGCUGAUUUUUGUGUCUUGGUGGGCUCAGACUGAAGGCGAUUCAGGCCCAGAAUUUUUGUAUAUCCGUAAGCUUCGCUAGGCGAGUGAGCUAGCGAAGGGUUCUCUAGGCGAACACUCAGCGAGUUUUCCAGCGAAUACUCUCAGAUUUGGAUAAAAGCACAACUGGUACUUACUCGCUAGGCGAGCAGCUAGCGAGCAUUCCAGUAGAAAAUUCAUCGGUACUCGCUGGAGCGAGGAAUGGAGCGUGAGCUUCGCCCAGCAAAGGGUUUGCUCGCCUAGCGAGCAUGACAGUUUAGGAAGUCAUCUUCUGGAUUUGGUCAUCUGUGCGCUGGACCUUUGCUUCUUUAAGAUUAAUGUUAUAAAAAAUGAAUAGAUCCCAUUUGAACCUGUUGAAAGUAUCAUAAAAAUUAACGGGCAAAUUUUGGGGUAUGACAACAUUGCAUGGAUGCAUGGGCGUGUGAUAGGCCCAUGUAGUCAUCUCUUCUGGUCCAAAAAUGAGUACAAACAUUGUUGAAGUCACAUUGGUAAGCCAUGCAGUUGUGUAUGAGAAAUGCAAGUUCAAUUAUGCCAAAUGGUCAUCCAUGUUCAAGACAUGUGAAAGUCACUCAUACUUUGUCCAAAUGGGAUGAAAUUGGACUUUUUGGAAAGGCUAGAUCAAGAGGAACAACUUUUAUGUUGAACACUUUUUCAUUUGAAGCUUGGAUCAUGAUGAAUUUUGAGGUGGAAAUUGGGAAAAUCAAACAUGUCAAAAACUUUUCUAAGUGUCAAGCCAUAUGUUCACUUAUUCCACCUUGGCUAACUUUUUAUGUGAGCUUCAAAUGAGAAAAGUUCCUUUAUAAAAGUUGUAUUUCUAUCAAAUUCCUUCAAAAUGGUCACAAAUUUGACCUCAUUUGGAUUUAGCAUGAAGGAUCAUGCAUUUUUGAAGUUGAGGAAAAUCACUUGUUCAAUGGCAUUGGUCAAAAAUGACCUAUAAUGUAUCCUCAUAUCACAUGCAUAUAAAAGUUGAAUUUGCUCUUCCUCUAAACAUAAAAGUUGAAUUAUACAUCUUGAAUUUUAUUUUGCAACUUGGAAAUAUUUCAUCUCAUAAAAAUUGAGAAAGUUAUGGCCUUGGGAAGUUGACCUCCAAAUUAGGCUUUAGACAAAAUGACCUAUAAUCUUUCACCAUAAAAAAUGACUUUCCAAGCAAAACUAGAUCUAGACCUCAACAUGAAAGUUAUUUGGAAUGUCAUUUAGACUAAAUUUUCUCUUGGAAUCAAAUUAGUAUGACAAAAAUUGUUGGAGAUAGGGUCUAGGGAACCCAGUUUUGAUCAGAUGAAUUCCUCUGAUCAACCACCAUGAACCAACUUGUUAGCUUGCCAUUCUCUUGACUUUUGGGACUCAUGGAGGAUAAUAUAUGUAUAAAAUUAUGAAAUUUGAAGUAUCCCUUGAAAUAUUUAAUCAAUUGGUGAAGAAGCUUGUUGAAGAAGUUACACAAGAUACCUAGAUGAAUUAGGGUUUCCAAGGCAAACCAAUUCCAAACUCUUGAUGAUUUCUUGAUCAAAAUAACAUGUAAAGAUCAUGGGGAUUCAUAUAUGAUUCUUAGAUCCAUAGUAAACCAAUUAUUGAUUGAGAUAUUGCAAUGAGGGUCUUAAACCCUAGAUGUGAGCUUGAUAGAUUAAAGGUGAGCACACGCCCUACCUACAAAAGAGUUAGUUUAUACAAAGACAUAUUUUUGGUAUUUUGGUUAGUAAAGAUGAUAAAAUACAAAGUAUAAUACAAUCACAUGAUGCUUAGUGAUCUCUCCCAAUGCAAACCCAAUGAAUGAGGGGUAAGGAGGAUGCCAAUGUGUGAUCCCAAUGCCAAUGCAUAUGAUGAGAAUAGCAUGAGGGAUCUUAGGGUCAAAAUUGGGGUCUUACAUCAUGUGUGGUUGACACAAAUGGCCUAGAUGAAAAACUUGUAUGCCCUAUACAUGUCAAGACCCGUCAAUUUUGAUAUUUCUGAAAUGAUUUGACGUGGUUUUAUGGAGUUCUAAUGGAAGGGGUGCAUGGUUAUCAUAACUGAGUGUGAAGUUGCAUCACACAAGAGGUACUGUAGACAAUGUUGGCUCUUACCAAGAUGGUGAGAACAAAAUCCAAACACAAUAUUCAUCAUGAGAGACCAUUCAUGUAUGUCUUUAUCAUCUAGAACUUGUGUAUACUCUUUUCUGAUAUUCAUUGCAUGAUUACAUACACGGAGGCGCGUUGUUUGAGCAUGUAUCCCUUUGUUUGUGAAAAUACCACAUUAUUAACCCAUGACCCAAACACCCCCACCCUGUUCAGAGUUAUUGUGUUUUAUUCUCGGGUAUGUGUUUCAUUCUAAGUUUGGGAUUGUUGUUGGAAUAACAUUCUUUAAGUUUGGAAAAGCUGUACAUCAUUGAUAAAGGAUAGUGCACCUAAAAAAAAGUUGAAAAAUCAACUUACUUGGAAAAAAAGUUAAAUAAAAGCAGUCACCAGAAGGAGAACUCGGUUGGAUACCAAGAAUCAAAGAGAAAUCCAAAAGCUGAGUAGUCCAUGAUGGCUAGCCCUAAAAAGAAAAUACCAAAAAACUUCCAGCAAUGGUACUUUAGAAUAAAUAGGCUCAACCCUAUGUAGGAGCAGCAUGCCCUACAACACAGAGCCUCAAAUUUUGGAAGGCCCCAAAAAUUUGAAAAGUCCAAUUUUUUUUUUACAUUAUUAUUAAUAAAUUUAAAAAAAUCAAAUAAAUUUAAAAAAUGCUAUAAUAAAUACUUAAUACAUUAAAAUAAAUGAGAUUGAUCAAAGUCAAAAUAGUUAUAAUUAAAUCUUAUUUUUAUUAAUAUAUAAUUAUUUUUUUAUGUGUCAUUUUUAAUUUUAUAAUAGUAUUUUUUCUGAAAAUUUUGGUCCAUUUUAAAACUAAAACUAGGCCUCUAAUUUGAUUGUGCCGACCCUAAGAAUGAAAAUCAUGAUGAGAAUGAUCGCAUGAACUCUGAACCAUCAGCCUACUUAUCCAUAUAAUUCUCCCACUUUAACCUAGGUCCCGUUACAACCAGGAAAGACCUCAAAAUGUGUGUGUAUUGUGCAUCUAGUAAUUGAAAGAGAGUUUAUUCAAGCUUAUGGUAUGGUAUUGUGUACUAUGAAUAUUGAGCGUAAAUACAUAAACACCAAAGAGAUUUGGUGAAUAUGUGAAUGGAGCUGACAGGAGAAGCAAUAACAUCAAGUGUAGGUGUGGCAGAUCAUUCGACCUCGGUGAUCAGGCCAAACGGGAGGUUGUAACAAAGGAGAACCAUGAAAGAUCUCAGAGGUAUGGUUUUAUAACUUUUGUUCUGUUUAAUUAAGGGCGACGUGAUUUUAUGUGCUAAAAGUUACUUGAGGGCAAGAAACAAGCUAAGUUUAGGGUUGUGAUAAGUAACCAUUUGUGUUAUAAUUAUCAUCAUUUGAAUGUUAAAAACAUAUAAAUUACUGUUAGUUAGGUUGUAGUUUAGGUUUGUUUUAAGUAAAUUUCUGUCAUGUCUUUGUCUGUGGUAAUUUGAUUGUUUCUGAUUAAUUUUGCAUCCUUGAGGUGGUGUUUCAUAUGUUUACAGGUCUGAAGAGACAAAGGAAAAUUGAUCAGAGCAAAAUUCAGGCUAAAAUGAAUGAGUAGGAGGAAAAAGGAGGAAAUGCACACAUAUUGCACAUACGUGUAUGAGUGAACUCAUACACGUAUGUCCACUCAACCUCACCCAUCUCCACACGUGUAAAAGUAGACAAGAGGAAAAACAAGCUCACUGCCCAUACGCGUAUGAGGUAGUCCAUACGUGUAUGGCCCCCAACUCACGCCACUAGGACUAGGCCAAGCCCUUACGCGUAUGGGUCCAUGCAUGCCAUACGUUAUACCUUGGGCUAUAUGCGUAUGAUGUAGUGAAAAGAGAGCCCAUACGCGUAUCAGAGAAGGCAAUACGCGUAUGGCAUGACCCAAAAUCUAAAAAAUCCCAAAAUUGACCUAUUUGGCCAAAGAACACAAAUUUCCAAGGGUUGAACAUUUUUUUUACUGUAGAAACAUGUUUUGAAGGCUGGAAAACUCAGAUUUUCGUGGUGAAUCAAGAUUUUCAUGAACCCUAAGUGAAUGAAGACCCAUUUUCCAAUCUCAUUAUCUGUAACAUCUACACUUGUUAUGAUGUUUUUAUUUAUUUAUUUAUUUUGAGUAGCUAAACCCCCCAAUACGCGUAUGGCUCUCUUUUCACUACAUCAUACGCGUAUGGCAUGACCCAAAAUCUAAAAAAUCCCAAAAUUGACCUAUUUAGCCAAAGAACACAAAUUUCCAAGGGUUGAACAUUUUUUUUUACUGUAGAAACAUGUUUUGAAGCUGGAAAACUCAGAUUUUCGUGGUGAAUCAAGAUUUUCAUGAACCCUAAGUGAAUGAAGACCCAUUUUCAUCUCAUUAUCUGUAACAUCUACACUUGUUAUGAUGUUUUUAUUUAUUUAUUUUGAGUAGCUAAACCCCCCAAUGCUAUGGGGUAUCUCUGAUUUAGAUUUAUUGAUGAUUUUGAUUUGAACCUUGUGAUAACAAAAAAUUCUAUUAUAUUUGAUUUACGUUCAAUUUGUUCUUAAUGUUUUCUCUUUAAAAAAAUUAAGUUAUAUUUACGGUUAAUUGGUAGGCAAGAUUGUCAAUGUUAACGCUCAAUUGAAAGUAUUUUGUAGUAGAUAUCACCUUCGACUAGGGAUACCCUAUAGAAACCGGAUUGUUCUUGAUAAUUUAAUGCUUAAAUUCAUCUAUAAUUCACUAUGGAUAUAGGAGUUGAUUUGAAUGUUUAAAAGUUUUCUCAUUAAGGACUUUGGAGUAAACACCCUUAAGAAUCGGUAUUCAAUAUUUUUAAAAAAGUUGUUGCAAGGUCAUGUUAGAAUAGUUAACGGAGCAUAUCAUACAUCUUUCCUAGCAUGCUUACUUUUAUUGCUUUGAUCCGUUCAACUGCUAUGUUAGUGUUAUUUGUUAAUUAAAUUUUCUUUACCAAAAGCACCAAUUCAAAACCCCGAAUUCUUUUGUUUAACUAAAUUAAAACACAAACUCUGUAUUGUCAAACAUGCCUUGAGAUCGAUACUUGGCAUUUCCCAUUAUUACUAUAUUGAAAGAGUAGUACACUUUCUAAUUUACCGAUCAAUUGCUUCAUAUGCAUAAAAAAGAUAUAAAUCCUAAUGGACUUUACAGUUGGACUCUGUUGCUAUUUAAGGAGGAGCUCUUUGUUGUAAAGACUUAGACUUUGAGAAACAAGCAAGGUGUGUUUAGUUGUUUUGAGCCUUUUGUUUUGGUUUUAGUUUUGUGUUGUUGAACUCUAUUCGCUAGUCGUAUUCCUAUAUUGAGGAAUAUAGUAUUUUUGAGUUGUAAUUUGUUCCAUCAUUCAUAAGAUAUGUUAACUGUCUAAACACUUGAGUAAGUCAUUUGGGUCUCAUAUUCAGGGGGAGUCCUGAAUAGGAGUUCAUAUGUAGUACUAGGAAAAUAGACUUUGAACUAGUAGGGUUUAACUAAGACUAAUUUGUAUUUUUUACUAUUAAGGCCCUCUAGACAUAGGAGACCUUACACUUAAUAGAGUUGACAUUUCCUUGUGUCCUUUUACUUAUAGUCUUUAUUUAUAUAUUACUGCAUUAAUCUUGUCAUACACAUUGAUACAAUAUUGUAUAUGACAUCUUUUCGUUCAAAGUACAAAAUUUCAAUUUUGAUACGUAUAGAUAAUCAAUAAUAUUUUAAAUUAUCUUUCUCUUAUUUUUGUCAAAUCAAACUUAAUUUUUAGAAUUGUUCAUUUCAAUGGACAAAAUUAUGAUUAUUCGAGUAUUAUAAUGAAAUUUUUUUUAAAUGGGAAGAGAAUGUGGAGUUAUGUUGAUGGAACUACUUUUAAGCUCGCGAAUAAAAACUAUUAUGCAUCAUAUGCAAAAGAGUUGGAAACAUGAGAUGUUAGUAAUUCGAAGAAACUUACUAGGAUCAAUAAUUUUGUUUCUCAGUCAACAUGUGUCCAACUAGCAAAAUAUGAUAUAGCUAAAGAGAUUUGGGAUGAUUCAAAAUAUUUGUAACUGGUGCGGUGGCACGAAUCUUCGGUGCGGUGAUCGGAUUGACCUACAAGAUUAACACUCCAACGUCCAAGUUACUAAAGUCAGAGAUAUGUAAUUUACAAGAGUGAAAAUGAGAUCAUACAUGAAAUGAUGUAUGGCAAGGCUUAUAUAUGGUAGGUGCUUAAAACCAUCCUCUUUAGAUUCGGCAUGCGUUGCAGAGAGUUGUCCGAUCAUACCUAAUAGUGAUUAGCGGAUGCUCUCAGAUAGGACGUUAUAAUUAGACAUGUUAUACUGGGCAUUUGACCGACUCGAAAUAGUUUUCUCCAAGUAUUUGCUAUCACAUGUGAAGCAGGAUUGCAUUAGAAGAUUUGGGGUUGCUCUCCAGAUUGCUCUUCUUCAUCGUUUUGGGUUAUUUACAUAGGUCUUUGGCUUGGAGAAGGGGAGCGGAAGAGCGUGUUGAGUGGCGUUUAUGAACUUAUCCAGAGGAGACAAUAUAAGCUGACGCUUCUUCGCAUACUGGGGUGGUUGAUCCUAUGAUAUUGGUUGUGGUUCAUUACUAGUGAUACAUCCUCCUGUAAAUUUUAUAGAAAUUAAUAAUAUUCAGGGUCCUUAAAGAGAUGAGGAUUUGGAAGAGCACGUAGAGGAAGAGGAAAGAGCCGGCCCAUUUAUCAGAUCUAAGAUGGUGUUCAAGGGACAAUACAAUGAAUAAAUAAGUAAAUAUCUCCAAGGUAUGAUCAGUUUAGCUUGCAAUAUUAUAACACAUCGACGUAAGUCUUGGAAGACUGGCACAAAAGCAGUAAAAACAAAUAUACGCUCCAUGCUGAACUUCAUAUUUAUCAUUGAAAAAAAUUAGAAGUUAUGCGAGGAUGUGUUGUGAUUUCACUUACCUUCCAUUUAUGUGAACCACUUACAAGAAAAGGGAAGUUUUAAGUUACGUGGUUCAAAGAAGAACUCCACCUCACAACUCAAAUCUAGUUGAUAAAGUAACCACAAGGGGAGUAUGAUGGAAAGAAAUAAACAUGUCAACCCUCAACAAUUAUCAACCAAUUUCACUUUCAUGUGCUCUAUUGUGAUUUUACUUUGUGUUUUUUUCUCUUUUUUUACACUGAUACUUGUUGAAAAUUCUAUCAGGUAUGCUAUAAGCAAUUAAAUUACAUCAUUGUUUUUCAUUUCUACUUUAUUACUACAUUAACAAAUAUUUCAAUCAUAUGUGAAAGUUGUUUAUUUUCUUUAGAACAUUGUUUAAUGAGAAAAACUUAAUGUAUUAUUUCAAUUUUGAUAAUUCAACGUUUACUUUUCACAUUAAUUUGAAGAAAAUGAUGACUUAACAUGUCACCUGCACGACUAAUCUAGCUGUACUAUUUGUUAUGCCAAAUGGAACACUAAACAUUUCUUUUGUGACUAUAAAUCCAAUUAGUUUUUCCUAUGCAGCUUCCGCAACAUAUUGACUAUUUGUAGUUUCCCAAGAGUCUUUCUUAAAAGAAUCACAUUGACCUUAUGGAUUUCCAAAGCUAAUAAUUAAGUAAAUAAGAGAUUAAUUAUUAUGUAUUGUUAAUAUAAAAAGUUUUAUACGUUCAAUUCAUCAUUAUCAUCUUUAUUCAUUAUUUUAUAGGUGGUUAAAAUAAAAAUCAAAUUUAUUCUAUAAUCUAACACUUAUGAUUAACAGACGAGACGAUGUAAAAUCUUUUUAUAGAGUUAGUUUUUCAAUUUAAUUCAAUAAAUAAUUGAAAUAGAUCACAAAACCUAUUUUAAAAAAUUAUUUAAAAAAUUAUUUUGACAUGCAAAAAUUGAGAGUCCUUGCCUUUCUGCCAUCAUUGUAAUCCCACUCUUUAAUUUAUGUACUUAUAAGGCAGUCUAAGGCAGUCUCAUGCCAACUUUAAAGAAAAGAGAAUUGAUAUCUUUACAUCAUAUUUCUACAUCUAUACCAUGUACAAUAAAAUUUCAAUUUUUUUUUUAUAAUUUUCUCUCUCCUUUUAUUAAUCAAAACAAUAUAUAUAUAUAUAUAUAUAUAUAUAUAUAUAUAUAUAUAUAUAUAUAUAUAUAUAUAUAUAUAUAUAUAUAUAUAUAUAUAUAUAUAUAUAUAUAUAUAUAUAUAUAUAUAUAUAUNNNNNNNNNNNNNNNNNNNNNNNNNNNNNNNNNNNNNNNNNNNNNNNNNNNNNNNNNNNNNNNNNNNNNNNNNNNNNNNNNNNNNNNNNNNNNNNNNUAAUCAUGCAAACAAAAAUAUUUUAUUAUGUUAUAUUAAAAAUUAUAGUUUACAGCGGUAAAUAUAUAAUAAUUUUUUUUUAUUAUAUCAUGUUGGUUUCUUGCUCGAGCUAUACUAUAAGAUAUGAUUUUAAUUCGAGAGACAUGUUAUGUAUGAGACAUAUAUAAAAAAAAAUUCUUAUUCAAAAUAGAGAGACCUCGUUCAAUGGUAGACGUGCAUGUUUAGUGAAAUUAAGAUUUAGAUUAAAAGGGACGUAAAAUAAUUGUUCUUUGUAUGUCGAUUUAUAAGAUGAGAAGGUAGCCAAUUCAAAUUUUAUACCUCUGAGGGAUACAUACCAUGAUAGUGAAAGAGUGACUGUUAUGGUUUUCUAUUUAUCCUUGAGGUUGAGAUGCUUUAGAAAUAUUUAUCCAAAUCUACAUGGUUUGUUGGACUGAACUAACAAGUCGUGGAGUUCAUAUUUGAGACGUAGGCUUGUUUUUGUUUGAGGUCGUGAACAUAACCUUAAACCUCAUGUCACUUCACAUCCAAAAAGUUAGAGGUCUAUAAGGGUGAAUUGGAAAAUGAAAUUAUUUUAGUCAACCAACACGUUAUCGUGAUACUUGUGAGGGUCAUGUAGUUCUCAUUGACGUUUUCACGUCCGAUUAAGUCAAAUAAAAUAUGUUACUUGUUAUGAGUGUCUUUAUUGCUUCAAAACCAACUCAGUGAGAUUUAGAAUAAUGUUCAAGAAGAAUUUUCAUUUUGAGUUAAUACUUGUUUUGUCAGAGAAUGUAAGAUUUUGAAUUCGAACGUUUCUAAUGUUGUUUUUUAGAAUAAUUAACAUUGUAGGAUGUAUAUGAUAUCACAUAUAGUUUCUUUUACAAAGAAAUGGUUCUUUCUUUGUAUGAAAUUCUAGUUGAAUAUUUUUCCUAAUUAACGAGCUUUUCAUUUGGUUUUUUGAGAUAUUUUUUUUAACGAGAUUGAAGUAAGCACUUUAUAUUUGAACAAUUGAAUAUUCAUAUAAAGAUACAACUCUUUACUAUGGAAAGUUUACCAAUGUUAUAUAUAUAAUUGGAAUUUACUAUAUCUCUAGUCAAUCAUAAUGUUUAUCCUUGUAUUCAUAUUCUUCAAUCUUGUGAAAAACUGUUUCAAAAAAACUAGUUGUCCAAAUAAAUAUAUCUAAUUUGUUCUAUAAAAAAACAUUAGUACAAAAAUGCUCAUAUAAGAGUAACAAAACAUACUUACACACAAACUAAGAAAAAGAAAUAAAAGACGCAUAAAAUUUGAUUUAUUUGAAAAAUUAAAAUAAAAUGUGUGGUACAAGUUUUUUAUUAGCAAGAAAUAAAAAACUUUUAACAUGAUGUUUUGAAGCAACAAUAUGUGUUUUUGUAACAUUGCACUGCAAUUUCAAAAAAUUUCAACCAAGAUCCAAACGAACUCUAAUGUGGCUGAAAUAUAACAUCUAAUUUGAGAAUAUAUGAUUUAUAUUUCUCUCUAAGAAUGAUACAACGCUUCAUGGUAGAAAGGUUGAAAGAGAUCGGGCGGUUGCUCAAAAAACUUUUAUUUUUACCACAACUUACAUUAAAGUUGAUAAUAAAGAAAAACAAGUUUAACUUAUGAUAUUAUUUAAUGAGAAAAACUUAAUGUAUUAUUUCAAUUUUGAUAAUUCAACGUUUAUUUUUCACAUUAAUUUGUAGAAAAUGAUGACUUAACAUGUCACUGCACGGCUAAUCUAGUUGUACUAUUUGUUACGCCAAAAUGGAACAACUAAACAUUUCUUUGUGUGACUAUUAAAUCCACAUAGUUUUCCUAUGCAUGCAGCUUCCACAACAGUAUUGACAUCUGAGCUUUCCCAAGAGCCCUUUCUUUAAAAGAACACAUUGACCUUGUGGAUGUUCAAAAAGCUAACAAACUGGAUUGUGAACAUUACUUGUCCAUUUGGAUGAUAGUUCUCGUUGGUGAGGCCUCUUCAUAUACAUUAGCACAAUAGUUUCCUAUUGUCACCGUUUGAACUGAACACUCUUUGAGGAUUACCACUAUUUCUCAAAUAAUAAACAAUGUGUUCAUGGUUUCCAUUUCAAGAUGACCUUGGUACAUGAUACACCUUUGUGAAUGGAACCUCCCACAAUUGUGUUGCACUUUUCCUUUCACAAUAUUUUCCACGAUAAUCGCACGUGUCACUGGCAUCCAUUUUGUAUUUGUAAUCCAAGAAGGCCAAAUAACAGACCAUGCUAUUGUCCAUUCACCCAAGCAAUGUCCUUUACCUAAGGCCUUGGAAGUCCACCACAAUAGGGUUUGUUCCAACUGGAGCUUUAAACUCUGACUUAUAACCAAGGUCAUAGGUUUCCCAAUAGGAAUAUUAGGUGAAUUCAGUGUUCCAUGACACAGCGACAUGUGAUUGCAAAUCAUAUAAAUAGUUUCCUCUCCACCAUUCAACCAACCUUAUAAGACAAAGGUUAGUUGACAAAUCCAUAGUAACAUAUUUUUUCCAAUCGAAUUGAACAUGCACCUGAAAUGCCCGUUUUUAAUCUCGUCACCAUGCACCAUAAUUUGCAAAGCCCGACGGUGGGCACUAAGCAAGUUAUAACUGUUGUUCCAUUCUUCAAAGAAACUUUCGUUUCAUAAGUGAAUUUAUUUCCCCAUUGGCCUAAAUUGGUAUCUAAUAUCUUCCCUAUUAACAUAACCAUGAAGUGUAUGGUGCCCAUAGUAAUUCACACUGAGAGUCCGCAUUUACUCAAAUUGAAGUGGUCAUUGAUGUCAACACUAGUCAUGUACCACAUAAAUAUCACUAGCAUCCAAGGUUAGUUCUUCUGCUCGCAAAAGCUCGUGUGCUUUAAAUAUUUUCCCUUUCCAUAUCAAGGUGUCUUUCUUUGCUCCAUUUUCCAUUUCCAUGUGAGUCCGAUUUAGAACUAUUAAUCACCACUCCUUUUCACCAUUAUUGAGGUUUGACUGUUAACCUUUGCUGUAUUGAAAAUUUCUUUGUUGGCAUCCAUUAAGAAUGGUGACGGACCAGGCAGGAAUAAAGUAUUACAUCAUUUUGUAAGUCAACAUUUGCAAUCUUUGCUAGUGUCAUUAUUGCUCAGGAAACAAAAUCUUGCGCAAUUGGAAUUAGAGUAUGUUGUAAGUGUGAUUCCAUUUCCCAGAUCCUUAUCAAUUUAUUGAUGUAUAAUUUGUAAGACAUUUUCAACCAAUUUAAUUGCUGCAUGAGUUGCUUAAGAUGUCCCCAUUUUGGUUGAUUCAAAUUCCGAUACUCGUCAAUUGGGUGCAUCAUGUCAUAAGAUGUUGUGAUAUAUGGUCCACCUGCUGUGCGGCCAAAGUUGGUUCCUCCAUGGUACAUGUAGUAGUUGUUUUAAGACACCUCCAUUUUGGAAAAAGCGUGCAACUGAGAAAGCUGAAUCUUCGCACUUCUAUGGGGAACCUUUUCCCCCAUUUUUGGAACAACCAAUCCAAUUUUCAGUGAACAUUUAGGACUUUUUGGGUUAUUGGGUUUAAAAUUAAUUUGACAAUAGUAUCCAUUGCAAGUAUUGAUGAUAGGUGAGGAGCAUCAGGUUGCUGACACAUGAUCAUGGAAACCCCAAUGUUUUGUGCUUAGAGCCAUCUGAGCACACCAUUUAACGUAUGUCUUCCUGCAUCUUUGUAAUUCCACAUGAUAUCUCAUAUUCAUUCUCAAUUUGGCUAGAAGAAUGGGACCUCCUUGUGAUGCAAAUAAAUUUGCUUCUUUGCACAUUCACGAUCUUUGUCGUAAAAUUUUGCAUUUCGUUUUGUAACCAUAUUAUCUUGUCCUUAAACUCAAUCCCAGGAAUAUUGUGAAGCCACACUGGGAUCCCUCCGUAGUUCCAUUUGCACAUGCAUAAGGACCAAUCCUCUAAUAAUGGCAUAUAGUCCAGCUUUUGGAUAAGCUUGAAAAUUUGACAAAUCCAAUUUCCUGAGAAAUUAUAUUCACGUUGAACAGGUUCGGUGACGAUCCAAAAUAUAUAAGUUUCAAUGGCAUCAAGCCACCAUCUUUGGCCUUUUGAAUAAGGUAGGCCACAUCUCCACGGUGCUUCUUGGAUAAUGAUUGCACCUGAAAAAAUAAGACGUCUUUCUCCAUUGAUAAUGAGAGUUUUGAAUCAUAAGAAACCUCUAUGGCAAAACAUGAGUGCACAUAAUUAUAGCUCAUUAAGAUAAUGUUUAAUACAGGAUAUCGAACCCAUUGUAAACAUGUAUGAUUCUCCGUCUUGGUUAUCGAAAUACUAUAACUGAGAAAAUGAAAUAUAUAGGAAAAUGUAGUUUGGUUUUCCAAAAUAGUGUUGAACUAUCUAAUCAAUAUUCUAAAUUAGAUUUUUCUUCACACAAAAUAUGUUAAUGAGUUGGUCACAACCAAAAGACACACAUGAAGUGAAUAAAACUCACCAAAUAAGAGUUCAAUGUCGUAGAAAUCUUCAAACAUUUAAACUUUAUUAUUCAUACAAUUAUUAAUUUCUAAUUUUAGUAAUGAAAAUAAUGAAUGACAAAAAAGAAUACUGCACAAAAGUGUCAGACAGCUAGUGAUAACAAAUUAGGCUCAUCGCAUGCAUCUAAAUUAUUUAAUUUGAAAUUUGUUAUAUAAUUAUCUAGAGUAAUGGAUAGGUAUUCUAAAAUAUUAAUAAAGUUGUUCAGGUUACACAGUGGUUUAGGAUAAAUGAAAAACAUAUAUAUAGUAAAUGAGUUGGAUAUAAACACCAUAAUAUAUAAUCAUAUCAUGUAUUUAUAAGGACCUGAAAUGAAGUUAUAUAUACAUGACUAUAUAGACUCUAACUCCUCCAAAAGAAUAGCUCCUAAAAAUAUCUUUUAAUUUAAUUUUACUUUCAAUGAAAAAAUAGUAGUUGUCUUCACAAUUGAAUUGAUUUUUUAUUAAAACUUCUCUCUAUAUAAAUAAAAUAAGAUACAUUAAAAUUAAAUGUAAUUAUUUAUUAUUUAAAUUUUUUUAUCAAUACCUUAACAUUAAACAUGCAAUGUAAAGAAAAACAUGUCAUAUAUUAAAAACUAAACACCUGACUAUGUAUUAUAAACUAUUUUGGGAGAUUUUGUUAAUAAGUUGUGUAUUUUUAAAAUUCUUAUAAUAUUUUUCAAAAUGUUCAUAAUAGAAACUAUUUU
rnacentral:lncRNA from 1 species